rnacentral:lncRNA from 1 species
GGGGAUGGUGCUUGCGUGGCGAAGCUCAGGGUAGAGUACGAGAGGCUGGACGGUGGCGGGGCGCUGUCGGCGGAGGACCAGGCGGCGCUCGCCGCCGGGUACCUCGACCUGCUCAAGAUGGUCGAGGCAUACCUGGUCGCCCACCCUGCCGAGUACGCCUAAUUAAACCAAAACGAGAAACAUCAGAAAUAAAUCAACUUUCCCUUCGUUCGAAAUUAUUUGUCGCAUAAAUAAAUAAAGUAAUAUGAUCAAGUAGCUUGUGUUGUUUGCCUCCUCAUCGACUUCGCGAGAAAAAUCAAUUGAUAAGCUUUAGUAUAAAUUAUUGAGGUAUAUAUGAGUGUUUAAUCCCUGUUUUAAGCUCGCAUUUCGUGUGUAAGUUGCUUCAAGCAUUGAUGGAGAUAAAUAUUUGAGCAGUUUGGUUUUGUGAUACAUGCACUUCUUUCUUAUCAGUCAAUUCAAAAUUAAAUGACGAGACAAGCCAAACGUAUAAAGGGCAAUAUCGAUCAUGUAACCAUUUUCAUAUGUGUGAUGGACCGUCGAUACCUAUACGCCAUACGUACAAGCUGGCAGAGGAUAAAAAAAAGGUAGGGCAAAUCUGACAUAAAAAGGUUCUGUCACUACAAGUAAUAGCGAUGGACCGAAAGACUAAGUUUUAUUGGGAUGUGAGACAACGAUAGAGCUUGACGUGACUUUAUAACUAAUGCAUUCAACUUUUAUAGGGAAUGCACUCAUAUUUUUGAGUCGAUGCAGUGGAACAUGUGCUUGCAAAAACCAAAUGCCAACUUAAGUGCUAAAUUGAUGGCCAACAACCCAACAGGGCGAGUUCAUACACAGGGCCUCGUUGUAUUUAUCUUAUUUUCCCAGCUAGACCAUGACUAGUUCAAAGAAAACCAUCCAGUCGAACAAGACAUAUACCUGAAUGAACGCCUUUUAGAAAAUCAAGGUGAGGCGGCCGCCCAACCUUGCCUUACCGGCUCCUCCGUCCUUAACGAGCAUACGUUCGGUUUAACCAUGUAUCGGCCCCUCACAAGAAAAAAAAAACAAAAUCUCUGGGCCAAUCCAAUCCAUAGUCGUCAUCACGACUUUGACCAGCAGCCAACAUGAGUCGUCGCCGCCCCCAGCGUCGACCCCGCUCGAGUUCACGUCGUCGUUGGGCUCAUCUACGUCGUCGCACAUGGCGCCAUCCAGCAACCCUGCUCUCACGCGGCACUGUCGUCGUCGCCCUACCCGUCAUUGGAGGUGCGAAGUACACCGUCUUUGGUGCAUUUCCCCGCAAGACGUCAUGUGAUGCACUUUCGCGCUCUUCCAAAUCGUCGACCAAGACGAGGAAGACGUCGAUGCUGAAAUUUUUGGCCAGCCCAAUAUAUAAUUUUAAAAAAUUCCUAAUAAAUCCUAGAGGCCCACGCAGCCCAUUUGUGCAAGGCAAAAUGUUGAAAUGUUUAGUCCCACAUUGCUAGUUUAGUGGGAGUCGGAUCUCCUUAUAAGGGAGGAUGUUUCCACACAUGUAUGAGCUUGAGAACAAGAGAGACAUGCACGCGUGCUCCUCCUCCUCCAUCGCCCGCCGCGCCGCGGGUUGCGGGAAUGAGCCGAACUAAAUUUUUGCCAUGCACGACUGGUAUACGAAAGGUCACUCGGAGAAGCUGAACUCUUCGGCUGUUGUGUGUUCGUUUUGUCUCCGUCGCUGGCCUCUCGCCUCCUUCUCUCGCGUCUAUAAAAGAGAGGUCGCUCCUCUCCAGAGAAGACGCAUCAGAACUUCCUCUCGCCACCGGUUCCUUUCUCUAUGAUGCUGCUACGUUCUUCCCCAUCCCGUCUUGCGACGUGGGAUACGUCUCCGUCGUAUCUACUUUUCCGAACACUUUUGCCCUUGUUUUGGACUCUAAUUUGCAUGAUUUGAAUGGAACUANNNNNNNNNNCGUUGUUUUCAGCAGAAUUGCCAUGGUGUUGUUUUUGUGCGGAAAUAAAAGUUCUCGGAAUGACCUGGAAAUUUACGAAGAAUUUUUCUGGAAUUAAUGAAAAAUACCUGCGCAAAGAUCCACCGGAGGGGGUGAGCCAGUGGGCCACAAGCCCAGACGGCGCGACCACCCCCAAGGCCGCACCAACCAGGCUUGUGGGGCCCACAGGACUCCACCGCCUCCAAACUCAGCUCCAUAUAUUCUGUUUCGCCCGGAAAAAAAUUAGAGAGAAGGAUUCAUCGCGUUUUACGAUAAGGAGGCGCCGCCACCUCCUGUUCUUCAUCUGGAGGGCAGAUCUGGAGUCCGUUCUGGGCUCUGGAGAGGGGAAAUCGUUGCCAUCAUCAUCAUCAACCUUCCUCCAUCGCCAAUUCCAUGAUGCUCUUCACCGUUGGCUUGCUGGACGGUGAUGAGUUGGAUGAGAUCUAUCAUGUAAUCGAGUUAGUUUUGACGGGGAUUGAUCCCUAGUAUCCACUAUGUUCUGAGAUUGAUGUUGCUACUACUUUGCCAUGCUUAAUGCUUGUCACUAGGGCCCGAGUGCCAUGAUUUCAGAUUUGAACCUAUUAUUUUGUCGCCAAUAUACGUGUGUUUUAGAUCCUAUCUUGCAAGCUGUAGUCACCUACUAUGUGUUAUGACCCAGCAACCCCGGAGUGACAAUAGCCGGAACCACUCCCGGAGAUGACCAUAGUAUGAGGAGUUCAUGUAUUCACCAAGUAUUAAUGCGUUGGUCCGGUUCUUUAUUAAAAUGAGAACCUUAAUAUCCCGUAGUUUCCAUUAGGACCCUGCUGCCACGGGAGGGAUGGACAAUAGAUGUCAUGCAAGUUCUUUUUCCUAAGCACGUAUGACUACAUACGGAAUACAUGCCUACAUUAGAUUGACGAACGGGAGCUAGUUACUUAUCUCUCCGUGUUAUAGCUGUUACAUGAUGAAUCACAUCCGGCAUAAUCAUCCAUCACCGAUCCAAUGCCUACGAGUCUUUUACUACUGGUCCUUGCUAUGUUACUUUGUCACUACUGUUGUUUCUUGCUGCUGCUGUCACUACUGCUGUUACUUGUUACUUUGCUGUUACCUGCUGCAAUACUAUUUACUGGCGCCAUUGAUACAACAAGUUACGAAUAGUCUGCCGUCAACAGACCUGUUUCUGGCACCGUUGCUAUCAUACCACUUUGCUACUGAUACUUUGCCUGCAGACACUAAUCUUUCAGGUGUGGUUGAAUUGACAACUCAGCUGCUNNNNNNNNNNNNNNNNNNNNNNNNNNNNNNNNNNNNNNNNNNNNNNNNNNNNNNNNNNNNNNNNNNNNNNNNNNNNNNNNNNNNNNNNNNNNNNNNNNNNUACCAUGGGAUCACUUGAUCCCUCUCGGUACAUCUUGUACGCUUUGUGUGUUGAUCAUCUUGAUUUACUCUUUGUCUGAGAUCUUGAUCAACCAUGUGUCUCUAUGACCAUUCUUUGGAUAAUACCUUGAAUACCAUCUUGGUCAUCAUAUAAACUCCUUGAACCCAACAGAUGGACUUCAAGAAGUGCCUAUGGACAAAUCCUAUAAAUGUAACUUAAGGCAACCAUUAGUCCAUAUGAGUUGUCAUCAAUUACCAAAACCACAUAUGGAGAUAUAUGCUCUAACACACUCAAGGAGAAAGGUUUCAAGCCUGGCUCACUCGAUCCUACUCUUCUUAAUAAAUCAUAUGAAGGUGAACUGUUUGUAUGUCAAAUCUAUCUUGAUGACAUUAUCUUCAGCUAUACUAACAACCGAUAUAGUGAUGAGUUCAAAGGGCUUGAAGUUUGAUCUCAUUGGUUAUUCAAAUUCAUAUUUUGCUGGUGAUAGAGUUGAUCGCAAGUCUACAUGAGGCACAUGUCAAUUUUUGGGUCGAUCUCCUGUAUGUUGGUCUUCGAAGAAGCAAAACUACGUCUCACUCUCCACUGCUAAAGCUGAAUACAUUGCUGUUGGCGCGUGUUGUACACAACUUCUAUGGAUCAAGCAAACUCUCAAGGACUAUGGCAUCAACGAUAAGAAAGUACCACUCUACUACAAUAAUGGGAGUGCUAUCAAGAUUGCCUACAACACUCGGAGACAAAGUACAUUCACACACGACAUCAUUCUCUUCGUGACCUUGUGUUGAAGGGAGACAUCAUCAUCGAACUUCUGAAGUGAGAGGAGCAAUUGGUUGAUAUCUUCACGAAGCCUUUGCAUGAGAGGAGUGUCAGUUAUGAAUCUGGCAUAUCUCGUAGUAGUGUCCCUAAGCUAGGCCUCUUGGAGCGAUGGUAGCAUGGACACAUGAUUUACAUAGGUUCGGGCUCCCUCGUACAGAUAAUACCCUACGUACUGCUUUCGAUUAUAUUGAUAUGGGGAUAGUACAUAGUACAUUUAUCUACCACGAGAUUGUUGUAAUGAAUAUGAGAUCAUCUACUGACUAGCCUGGCUUCGGUUUAUAUAAUUUAACAGAGGCCUAGGGUCUAGAGAGUCCUUGUCUUGUGCGCCAAGUCUUGUGGAAUCUCCCUUGUAUGCAUCAUGUGCUUCCCAAAGAGGACCAUUAGUGAACUGUCGUGGGGGUCCUCGGCCCGACCUACCGGGAGACGACGUGGUGUGUACUAACUAGUCCAGGACUCCGUUAGUAGCCCCCUGAACCAGUUUUCAAAUAGGGGACGCUCCUCAGUUCUUCCGAACAAUUCUUCGUCUUCGCCUGUCGGUCUUUGAAAGGCGGUUCAAUAGAUCUUCCCAUCUCCGAUCUUGAGGAUUGAUGACCUGUAUCCGAAGAGUUUACAUGUCGGGUAUCCGAGGAGUUCGCACAUCGAGCGUCCGAGGAGUUCAAGCGUCGAGCGUCCGAGGAGUUCAAGCGUCGAGCGUCCGAGGAGCCCUUUUUAUUUCUUGGGCUUUAUAAAUGCCUUGUUAUUUUUACACCACAUUUCAGGUCUCAAUGUUUUCCCCAUGCAGUGGUGUCCUCUUGCAUCUGAGCUUCACUGAUGGACUACAUCUGAGGUGUCAUUUUUGGCAGCCAAGCUCUAACUCUGGUCGACACCCGAGGGAUCAUAGAUUACCUUGAUCUUGAAAAAGUUCAAGGAGUUCAGUUGAUCUUAAUGCUGGAAACGUCAUCUACGGAACCAGCCACUCACAUUCAUGCUUUAUGCUAGACUGAUUCCGAGAUCAUCAAGGAGUGAAUAUCUGAUUUUUGUAACAUCCUUUAUGGAACCACCUCGGCCUUCGCUAUGUUUUGCAGAGUUUUUUUCGAUCGGGGCAAUUUAUUCAAUAUCGAGAUGUAUAGCCAGUAACCCCCGAGUCACUGUUUGGGAGGUAACACGUGAUCAGGGGAUCAAUGUACCCCUUUAAUUGAGAAGAGAAAAUCCCAAUUAAAUGUUGGGUACUCUAAUGAUUCUAUGUAUUCAAGUACUUUACAUCAUUAACGCUCAGAUCUGUAUUGUACAAACUUUGUUGACCGACCAUCAGCUUCAACCUCCUCGACCAAUAGCCGGGGAAUGUUUUCGUACUUUAUAAAUCCUUUAUGAGGGCAAAAGUUUAUGGAAAACAAGGUAAUCUGGUCAUACAUUUUUAUAAACAAAGGUACACCAAGAGAUAUGUUAUAUUAGUUUUUAACAUAAGAAACAUGUUGUGGGAAAAUAGUUCAUUUAUAAGUUCUUUUCUCUAGGCUAUCAUGUUGACUGUGAGCAUGAAAUCUCACCUUCGAUCAAUGUGGGAGGAAAGUAUGUGACCAUGCUGAGGUGCCUCAAGGAUCCCUUGGUAUGUGAUACGUCUCCAACGUAUCUAUAAUUUUUGAAGGUUCAAUGCUAUUAUCUUGUCAACUUCGGAUGUUUUAUAUGCAUAAAUAUGCUAUUUUAUAUCUUUUUGGGACUAACCUAUUAACUCGGUGUCAAGUGCCAGUUUCUGGUUUUUUUCGUGUUUUUGGCCCAUUUUCACAUGGAGUCCAAAUGGAAUGAAACUUUACGAUGAUUUUUUUGGACCAAAAGAGACCCCCGAAGCUUUGGGAGAAGGCCAGAUGGGCCACGAGGGAGUCACAAGCCCUCACGCCGCCACCCCCCACCCCCGAUGGUGGCGAGCACGCUUGUGACCUCCUCAUGGGCCCAACUGACGCAAUUCCACCGCCAUAAAUUCCUAUAAAUUCAGAAACCCCCAAAAAGAAACCUAGAUCGGGAGUUCCGCCACGGCAAGCCUCUGUAGCCACCAAAAACCAAUCUGGAGCCCGUUUUGGCACCCUGCCGGAGGGGGAAUCCAUCUCCGGUGGCCAUCUUCAUCAUCCCGGCGAUCUCCAUGACGAGGAGGGAGUAGUUCUCCCUCGGGGCUUAGGGUAUGUACCAGUAGCUAUGUGUUUGAUCUCUCUCUCUCUCUCUUGUGUUCUUGAGAUGUCUUGAUCUCGAUGUACCAUGGGCUUUGCUACUAUAGUUGGAUCUUAUGGUGUUCUUCCCCCUCUCCCUCUUGUAAUGAAUUGAGUUUCCCCUUUGGAGUUAUCUUAUCGGAUUGAGUCUUUGAGAACACUUGAUGUAUGUCUUGCAAGUGUCUAUCUGCUGUGAUCACCUUGCGGGUUUGUGAAAAUUGGGAACCUAUGCAUAUGUUGGCACACGUGGAUUCAUGUGAGUACUUGAUGUAUGUUUUGGUGAUCAACUUGCAGGUUCGUGACAUUGGGAAUCUAUGCACAGGGGUUGGCACACGUUUUGACUCUCUAGUAGAAACUUUGGGGCACUCUUUGAAGUUCUAUGUGUUGGUUGAAUAGAUGAUUUUGAGAUUAUGUGAUGCAUAUCGUAUAAUCAUGCCCACGGAUACUUGAGGUGACAAUGGAGUAUCUAAGUGACAUUUGGGUCUUGGUUGAUAUGUAUCUUAAGGUGUUAUUCUAGUACGAACUCUUGAAUAGAUCGAUGAGAAAGAAUAAAUUUUUGGUGGUUUCGUACCCGAAAAUAAUCUCUUCGUUUGUUCCCCGCUAUUAGUGACUUUGGAGUGACUCUUUGUUGCAUGUUGAGGGCUAGUUAUAUGAUCCAAUUAUGUUAUCAUUGUUGAGAGAACUUCACUAGUGAUAGUAUGAACCCUAGGCCUUGUUUCCACGCAUUGCAAUACCGUUCGUGCUCACUUUUACCAUUUGUUACCUUGCUGUUUUUGUAAUUUCAGAUUACAAAAACCUAUAUCUACCAUCCAUAUUGCACUUGUAUCACCAUCUCUUCGCUGAACUAGUGCACCUAUACAAUUUACCAUUGUAUUGGGUGUGUUGGGGACACAAGAGACUCUUUGUUAUUUGGUUGCAGGGUUGCUUGAGAGAGACCAUCNNNNNNNNNNAUAUAUCUACCAUCCAUAUUGCACUUGUGUCACCAUAUCUUUGCCGAACUAGUGCACUUAUACAAUUUACCAUUGUAUUGGGUGUAUUGGGGACAAAAGAGACUCUUUGUUAUUUGGUUGCAGGGUUGCUUGAGAGAGACCAUCUUCAUCCUACGCCUCCUGCGGAUUGAUAAACUUUAGGUCACCCACUUGAGGGAAAAUUGCUACUGUCCUACAAACCUCUGCACUUGGAGGCCCAACAACGUCUACAAGGAGAAGGUUGCGUAGUAGACAUCAAGCUCUUUUCUGGCUCCGUUGCCGGGGAGGCUAGGUAAGCGGCACUAACAUCCCGUCAAUGAAGCUCUUUUCUGGCGCCGUUGCCGGGGAAGCUAGGUAAGCGGCACUAACCUCCCGUCAACGAAGCUCUUUUCUGGCGCCGUUGCCGGGGAGGUUAGAGCUUGAAGGUAUAUCUAUAGAUCUUGCAAUCGAAUCUUUUUGUUUCUUGUUCUUUCGCUGAAAAUUACAAAACAUGGAAUUGAGGAUGCCUCAUAUGCUCCAUCUUUUCAAUGUCUUUCGUGAGCAUGAUGGGAAGGAAAAUUGUGCUCAAGUGCUGAAAGAAGAAUUACAUAGAAUGCUUGGCAUAGAAUAUGUGAAUGAUGAGCAAGAUUGCAAUGUUGUUAGCAUGAAUUCUAUGAAUACCCAUGAUGCUAAUGAUAUGCAAAGCCACAAGCUUGGGGAUGCUAUAUUUGAUGAAGACGAUCUUUUUAGUUCUUCCACUUUGAAUGAUCAAAAUUAUUUUGAUGAAAGCAUGCCCCCUAUCUAUGAUGAUUAUUGUGAGGAUACUUAUGCUUUGAAGAAGAGGGAUGAUAAAACUUGUCAUACUCUCGAGAACCCCUUUGCUAAACCUUGCUUUUUCAUUGUGGACAUAAUUUGUAGUGCUCAAGUCUUUUACGAUACUCCCACCACUAUUCUUGAGAAUAGAUUUCCUUAUGUGGAGAGUAGUAAAAUUUCUAUGAUUGUAGAUCAUGAAAAGAAUGCUUUAGGUGCUGGUUAUAUUGUUGAAUUCAUUCAUGAUGCUACUGAAAAUUACUAUGAGAGAGGAUCAUAUGCUUCUACUUAUUGCAAUAGUAUCAAGCUUCCUCUCCAUAUGUUGAAAUUUUUGAAGCUAUGCUUGUUUUGCCUUCCUAUGCUAGUUGAUUCUUGCUCCAAUAAAUUGUUUGAUCACAAAAUCCCUAUGCAUAGGAAGUGGGUUAGACUUAAAUGUGCUAGCCAUUUGAUCCAUGAUGCUCUCGUUGUGUUUCAAUCCUUACCUUUUAUGUGAGCAUCAUUGAAAUCAAUGCCUAGCUAAGGGUUUUAAACGAUAGCGCUUGUUGGGAGGCAACCCAAUGAAUAAAUUUUUCUUUGCUUUUUGCUUCCUGUUUUGUUUUCUCCACACCAUCAUAAUUCUGUUAUGAUUGUGUCUUUUGUGUUUUUGCCAAGCAAAACCGUUAUGAUUAGUCUUGGGGAUGAUCGUUUGGUCAUGCUGGAAAAGACAGAAACUUUCUACUCACGAAAAGAAUUUUAUUUUUUUUCUGUAAAAGCUUUUAAGUUGAUUCUUUUUGCUUCUGAUUGCUACACAAAUACUUGAGACUGUCGGAAGUUUUCUGAAUUGUUGAAGUACCAGAGGUAUACGAAAUAUACAGAUUUCUACAGAGUGGUCUGCUGUUAACAGAUUCUGUUUUUGUUGUGUUGGUUGCUUAUUUUGAUGAAACUAUGGAUAGUAUCGGAGGGUACUAGCCAUGGAAAAGUGAAAAUACAGCAACCCAACACCAACAUAAGUAGAAUUUAAGUUUGCUAUAGUACCUAAGGAAGUGGUGAUUUUCUUUCUUAUACUAAUGAUAUCACGAGUUUCUGUUUAAGUUUCGUGUUGUGAAGUUUUCAAGUUUUGGGUGAAGUUCUUAUGGACAAAGAGAUAAAGAGUGGCAAUCAAGCUUGGGGAUUCCCAAGGCACCCCAAGAGAUUCAAGGAUGCCUUAAAAGCCUAAGCUUGGGGAUGCCCCGGGAAGGCAUCCCCUCUCUCGUCUUCAAUCCAUCGGUAACGUUACUUGGGGCUAUAUUUUUAUUCACCACAUGUUAUGUGUCUUUGCUUGGAGCAUCUUGUAUCGUAGGAGUCUUUUAUUUUUGUUGUGUCACAAUCAUCCUUUCUGCACACCUAGAGAGAGAGACAUGCACUCACCAUGAUUUUGUCGAGCUUCACUUAUAUCCUUUGGUAGACAAUUCAGCUCACAUGUGCUUCACUUAUAUCUUUUGAGCUAGAUACUUUUGCUCUAUGUGCUUCACUUAUAUCUUUUAGAGCGCAGUGGUGCGUAGCUUGGUAGUUGAUCUAUGCUUUGAAAGUAGUCUCAAAAUGGGUAGUUAUCCAAAGGGAUACGAAAACUUCCACCUUCAUGUGCAUUGAAUAGUUAGAGAAGUUUGGUUCAUCUCAAUUAGUUUUGAGUUGUGGUUUUGGUAAUAUUGAAGUCAUGCUAGUAAGGUGUUGUGGAUCUAGAAAUACUUGUGUUGAAGUUAGUGAUUCCCGUAGCAUGCACGUAUGGUGAACCGCUACGUGAUGAAGUCUAAGCAUGAUUAGUCUUUUGAUUGUCAUCCUUUGCGUGGCGGUCGGGAUCGCGCGAUGGUUUAUACCUACCAACCCUUCCCCUAGGAGUAUGCGUUGAAUGCUUUGUUUCGAUUACUAAUAAAACUUUUGCAACAAGUAUAUGAGUUCUUCUUGACUAAUGUUGAGUCCAUGGUUUAGAUCCACUUUCACCUUCCACCAUCACUAUCUUCUUAGUGCCGUGCAACUUUCGCCGGUGCAUAAAACCCACCAUUAGCCUCCCUCAAAACAGCCACCAUACCUACCUACUAUGGCUUUUUCAAAGUCAUUCCAAGAUAUAUUUCCAUGCAACUACCACCAUGACAUGUGCCAUCACGUCUACAUUGCUAUUGCAUGAUCAUAAGAUAGCUAGCAUGAUGUUUCCAUUAAUGUCUAUGCCAUGCUAGAUCAUUGUCACGGUACACUACCGAAGGCAUUCCAUAUAGAGUCAUCAUUGCUCUAAGUUUUGAGUUGUAAGUGUGAUGAUCAUCAUUGAUGGAGCAUUGUACCAUGUGAGGAAAUAAAAGAGGCCGGCGAUACCCAUAUACAAAAAAGAGGCCAAAGAUUCCCACCAAAAAAAAGAGGCCAAAGAGCCCACCAAAAAAAAUGAGAGAAAAAGAGUGAAGGGACAAUGCUACUAUCUCCUUUCCACACUUGUGCAUAGUAAGCACCAUGAUCUUCAUGAUUGAGAGUCUCUCAUUUUGUCACCAUCAUAUAGCUAGUGGGAAAUUUUCAUUAUAUAACUUGGCUUGUAUAUUCCAAUGAUAGGCUUCCUCAAAAUUGCCUUAGGUCUUCGUGAGCAAGCAUGUUGGAUGCACACCCACUAGUUUUCCUUAAGAGCUUUCACAUACUCUUAGCUCUAGUGCAUCAUUUGUAUGGCAAUCCCUACUCAUUCACAUUGAUAUCUAUUGAUGAGCAUCUCCACAGCUCAUUGAUAUGCCUAGUUAAUGUGACCAUCUUCUCCUUUUUUUGUCUUGCAACCUCCACCACACUCCACACCAUCUAUAGUGCUAUAACCAUGGCUCACGCUCAUGUAUUGCGUGAGAGUUGAAAAGGUUUGAGAAAGUAAAGGUGUGAAACAAUUACUUGGCCAAUACCGGGGUUGUGCAUGAUUAAAUUCGUUGUGCAAUGAUGAUAGAGCAUAGCCUGACUAUAUGCUUUUGUAGGGAUAACUUUCUUUUGGCCUUGUUAUUUUGAAAGUUCAUGAUUACCUUGCUAGUUUGCUUGAAUUAUUAUUGUUUCCACGUCAAUAGCAAACUAUUGUUUUAAAUCUAACGGAUCUGAACAUUCAUUUCACGUGAGAGAAGUUACAAAAGACAACUAUGCUAGGUAGCAUGCAAAAUCAAAAAUUCAUUCUUUAUCACUUCCAUGCUAUUAUCUUGUCAACUUUGGAUGUUUUAUAUGCAUGAAUAUGCUAUUUUAUAUCUUUUUUGGGACUAACCUAUUAACUCAGUGCCAAGUGCGAGUUUCUGUUUUUUUCGUGUUUUUGGCCCAUUUUCCGACGGAGUCCAAAUGGAAUGAAACUUUACGAUGAUUUUUUUGGGACCAAAAGAGACCCCCGAAGCUUUGGGAGAAGGCUAGAUGGGCCACGAGGGAGUCACAAGCCCUCACGCCGCCACCCCCCCCCCCCCCNNNNNNNNNNCGCGAAUUGAUAAACCUUAGGUCACCCACUUGAGGGAAAAUUGCUACUGUCCUACAAACCUGUGCACUUGGAGGCCCAACAACGUCUACAAGGAGAAGGUUGCGUAGUAGACAUCAUUAUGGUUUACUUUGACUCCAUUGCGACUACUUAUAAUCUGAAAGUGACCCAUCACCAACUUCCACCCCUUUGUAGAUGCUACGCAGGGUGUUUUCAUACUAUCAAGACAACCCUUAGCCGACGUCUCGGUGCUCGGAGGCUGUUGUGUUAGUGGAAACAAGGAAAUCAGAAAUUCGGGAUUUAUAACUUCACUUUGUCAUGGGAGCUUAUGUUCGGGGGCAAAUUAAUAGCCUCCGGUAUAUGUCGACUCCUCAGAUCAUUUGAGGUCGAACCACCAACAACUUGGCCUUCUCAAGGAAGAGAGGCCCUUCAUUUUACUCGGAUAACCUUGAUGAACUAUAUUUGGUGUAACACCGCGUGUAGUUUCCUAACUGAUGUAUGCAUGUUGUGAUAGUCAAAUUUCGGCUUUCUCCAAGUGAGGCACUUAAUCGAAGUGGUUCUCCCUUUACCUCCUUGGCCGAACUAAGCGGAAACGUAAGGGGUAAGCACAGGAGAUGAGCAAUCCAGCUAUUAACUAAAGACACAACUUGAAAUCAAUGCAUAUAAGUGCAAAAUACUGAGGAUGUUUUGCUGGGGACUUCAUGGAGUACUUUGGCUUUUGGUGGGUUCGGCUCUAGUCGCAGCCCCCUGUUAAAAUAGCCGAUAAUUUUAAGGCAUUUGGCGUUGUAUUGCGAUAGUUAUGCUUGGAAAAACCAAAAAAAUUGUGUAAAAAAUCUAUGUCUAAAUAGAAUCAAGUUUGUUGGUGCAAAUACGAAUUUGGUCUUAAAAAAAUAUGAGCUUCCGUUGUGCUUUGUCAUGACUCAUCCGAUCUCUAGACUUCAAGCGGGUCAGCCUUCGGCUUCAACCUCCCUUCCCAAAGGCGAAGUGCUUCUGAGGCCAGUUUAGCAAACUAAACUUGAUCGGCUCUAGAGAGAAAUCAGGUUGUCUCACUAUUUGACCAUAGGCUCGAGUCGAAAAAGGAGUAGCACAGAAAGACUUUGCAACGACUAGGAAGAGAACACUUUAAAAUAAGGCACAUAAAAGUUUGUGAUCCCUAGUUAACUUGAGGAGAGAAAGUUGUUUUUAAUAAACUACAUUUUUAACAAACAAUAUUUUUGUUUUAAAAUAUAAUGCUUGGUUGAACCAAGCAAAAAAAUUGAAAAAUUGAAAAACUGAAAAUAAUUGAGCAUGAAAGCAACUUAGCUGAUUAAUGUGUUCGGUGAUGAUGAUGUGGUCCGAGUUUGCGGGGGUCGAGGUCCUGCCCCCCAAGCCGGUCCCGAGGUGCCCGAGCGAAGAGCUCGACUUGAUGAAGUAACAACACAAUGCUACCGAAGUGGCAGUGAAGCCCCCUUCCAGCACAGGUGAUGCGCCAGGUUGACAAUAUAACUUUGGCUGACGAAGGCGAGGCGACAACGUGAGCAUGCCGAGGUGACCGCGUGACGCAGCCGAAGUUGAUUACCUACACUCAUGAAGUAGGACAAGCUAAAUAAUAAUAAGAAAAUAAAUAAAAAUUAUUUGUAGAAUUAUUUAUGUGAAAUAAAUUAUUUAGAAGAGAUGUGGCUUGGCGCGAUGCCGAUGUUGACACACACGGUCGGCACAACGAGGUAUAAAAUCCGAAUUCGAUGGGUCAUCGAAAUUUGUGCUAGGGUGACUACAGAAAUUGGUCCAUGGAGGUGGGGCAACGACGUCGGUACACCAGGGUGACAAUGAUAUCCGGUCUAAAUCCUUUAUCUGCACAUCUCAAAUAAUGCAAGCCAGAGAUAAUAAUAAUAUUUUUUACGUAAUAUUACACAGAGUAUGAAUAAUAAAACAAACAUGGCUUCCGUGUAGCAUAAGUAGAAUCAAGAACACUGUGAUGUCGAUGCAGAUAAGAGUCCGUUGGUUCAGCAGAAAUAACUUGGUUGAUGUCAUGUAGCUUGACAACUCGUGCCUGCUACCGUGGGGCGAAAGAUACUCUACCGAAUCACAACAACGAAGCUGGUUUCCCGAGGUGUCAGAUUAAAAUUGUGUCGACUGACGCAGGAGAGUUCGCAGCGAUCUCAGGUUAAUAAACACAAGCAAAGGAUGAGAGGCAUAGUUUAUCCAUAAGAUCUCGUAAUGUGUGCUGCAACCUAGCAUUCAAUUAACCUAAAUAAUAACGCCCACAUGUGCGGCACGAGGCAACAUGGUCCACACGCCUCUAUAAUCAUUCAUCUUGCCACAUCAAACAUAUGACAUCAGCGAAACCUUUUUGGACUUUUAGAUUUAAAAAUGUUUAAUCUCUUAAAUAAAAACCCCAAUUAAAAAUUUAUUUACACCAUUAAAUCCGUCUCGACGAGAUCUUUAAAACUAGAUACCAUAUUGAUAUGUUUCGACGAUAUUUUUUGGGGGCUACAAGUUGCCACAUGUUUACACUAAAGUUGCCAUAGGGUUUACAAUAAAGUUGCCACGACAUGUUUCAUCUUGUUUUUUCUUCUAGAUUUAAAGCUACCAUUGUAUUUGAACUACUUUUCAUGGUCUUUUUUAUUAAUUCGUCAUGACAAAUUUUAGUAAUUAACCAUGACAAAUUUAAUUCAUGAAUCAUGGAAACUUUUGGUAAUUCAUCAUGUCAAAUUGAGUCUAUAGAUCAUGGCAAUUCUAGUAUUUUGAACACGAAAAACAUUUUUUGUAUGAAUCAUGGCAAAUUUUAGUGCAUGUAUCAUGGAAAAUUUAAGUAAUUCAGCAUGGCAGUUUUAGUUUAUUGUUAAUGGCAAAUUUGAGUCAAUGACCAUGCAUUUUUAAAAUAACUAGCGACAUUUAUUUUUUACUUAUGAACCAUGUCAAAAUUAUUUCAUGGAUCAUGGAAAAUUUAGUAAUUCAUCAUAGCAAGUUUAGUUUGUCAAUUUCCUUUUUUAUAACAUGUAAAAGUUUAUUUUGAACAUAGAAGAAAAAGUAGUUAAAAUAUAUCAUGGCAACUUCAGCGUAAUCAUGAUGGCAAUUUUUGUGCAAUAGAAAUGGCAACUUUUAACCCCAAAAAUGUCGUCAAAAUAUAUCAAUACGAGAUCUAAUUCCAAGAUCUCGUUGCGGCGGAUUUAAUGGUGAAAACGGUUUUCCAAUUGAAUUUUUUAUUUAAGAGAUAAAACAUUUUACAAACUAAAAAGGCAAAAGAUUCUUGUUGACAUCAUCAGUUUCGUCACUUGUGCAUGCAUGCGGUGAUGUAUCACAACCUCUCAUCAUUGAGAGUGUGGGCUCUUGUUACUCCUAUCACACAUGUGGGCGUUAUCGCCACCCUUAAUUGAUGCAUUAGUACUCGUCUACGCUUGCAUCAACAGAAAUUAAUGGCCUCACAUCGACAAUCUUGAUAAUUCAGAAAAAAUAAAGGAGAAAAAGGAAAGAAUAUCCCUGAUGUGUGCUCUCAUCGAUCCGAGUUCCUCCCAUCACACUGCUUAACUACUCCGCAUGGUCUCCUCGGCUGGAUCGCCCAUCGGCUGUAUUGCAAAGUCCGAACAGCGGGCACCACCGUUGUUGAACUUUUUUUGAUCCGAUCAUACUACAAACAACAUAGCACGAUACGGCAGCAACGGUUCUGCAAAAGAAAUAAUUUAUGUGGAAUAGACCUAAUUGAAAAAGCAUCACUUGAUUAUCCCAUCGAACCAUGACGAUCACCCAACAUGCUCUCAAUGAAAACACCAAUAUCGGUUAUCAAUCUGGCAUAUCUUGUAGUAGGGGACCUCAGCUAGGCGUCUUGGAGCGAUGAUAACAUGGAAACAUGAUUUUACCCAGGUUCAGGCCCCCUCGAGGAUAUAAUACCCUGCAUCCUGCUUUUGAUUAUAUUGAUAUGGGGAUAGUACAUAGUACACGUAUCUACCACGAGAUUGUUGUAAUGAAUGUGAGAUCAUCUAUGGACUAGCCUGGCCUCAGUUUAUAUAACGUACUACGUGCCUAGGGUUUAGAAGAGUUCUUGUCUUGUGCGCCAAGUGUUGUGGAAUCUCCCUUGCAUGCAUCAUGUGCUGCCCGAAGUGGUCCAUUAGCAAACCGCUAGCCUUAACAUACAAACCAUACCUUCUACAUGAUGAUGUGCUUUCUCGUCCUAGCUACUCCCGUUGCUAAGUUUUUUGCUCUCCGAAAAGUCUUGAUUUAUUUAUGUGAAAGAAGGAAUGGGACUUCAUCGGGUAUAGCAUCAACAUGGUUUUGAUCAUCUAGAAACCUCACAAAAAACCAUACUACACGAGAUUUAUCUAAUUUCACAUUGAAAUGAGAAUCCGAGUAGAAUCGAGUCUCGAGUCUUAGCCUACGGUAGCAGCCACCCAUGGUUAAGAAUUGCUUUGCCGUUUCCCAACCCUGAAACAAAUAAAUCUCCUCAAGCGUAUUCUUCCCGAAGCACCUUUUCCUUGUUUCAUCCUUUCUCUUCUAAUGUUGAAGCAGCACUCUUUUUUGCAUAGUUAUGGUCGAACACGUAGGGCUCUUCCUUUGAACCAAACAUCACUGCAAUUAUCUUCCAAUGCCUAUCCAAUAUUUCUUGCUGAUAUUCAGCUUGCCCAAUAUCUUCAUCAUCAUCACUCACCGUGUCAACUGCCCACUAGGAGCACUGCCAACCUCCUAUGCAAAAUUAGAAAUAAACAUAUGUAAGUUGUUGUCACUCGGUUGUUAUAUCAUUCCCUGCCAUACAAAUUAUUCACUAUACUUGGCUCGCGUCAUCAACAUAAGAUUCGUCGAGAUCGUUCUGCCCAUUGUCAACAUCAACGUCUACGUGUAGAGCUUUAAAAGUAAGACAUGUAAGUUCCGAGUUGCUUGUUAAAAAAACUAUCAACAAAUGCGUCACUUACAUUAGCACUCUCGGCUUUGGCCUCACUGAUAUGGGUGUCUUCGGGAGGUAGGUUUUCAUAUGACAUCCAAGAUUAAUUCUAACUAGUAGAUUCAUAGCCAGCAUAUCCGAUUUGAUGCUCCAUCCAAACACCUUCAAAUGGAGUCCCGGAGCAAUCUAAACACCGCACAACAAUAUCAGUGACAUAUUCCAUUCAAAUACAAAAUCGAUGAUGUCCUAUGAGGAACAAAAUAAUAUGUCCAAAAGCAAAUUUUAUGUUAGAAACCACUGUUAAGAUGAUUUUUUCGGCACCAUAUCAAUGUGCGCAAAGGGACCACCAAAUGGUUAAGUUAUAUAAACAAAGUAGUGGUUUUUUUGGCACCAUUACAAUAUGCACAAAAAACAGGGGUGCCAAGAUCAAACCUUCUGUUGAUUAAGUUCCAACGUAGGCCGGGGGUCGAUUGUUAGAAAUAUGAGCAAUUUACCAUAGGAUUUUAUUAAAAGAAAAGCUAGGAUAAACAUGACCAUCAUAAUAAAGAUGAAAGAAGAAAAUGCAAAAUAGAGAUGAGAUGACAAAAGACAUGUGCACAUAUGAUCUAGAAAAGAACAUAUGUGUAACCAUUCUAUAUACACAAGGUAUCAUAUGGAGUGAUGAGCAGAAACGGAACAUAUCUAGAAGUGAAACUAUAGUAAGAAGUUGCGGUAGGAACUCAAAGAAAAAGAACAUGAGUACAUACUAAGUUGUAGCAGCAGUAGGGUUGGUGUUGGCGUUGGGCAUGUUACCGAAGAGGUGGUCGACGUCGGGGAAGCAGUCGUCGUCCGGGAAGAGAUUGUCGGUGUCCGUGAUGGAAGCCAGUAGUCGCGCUGAGCGCUCCCCAAAAACCUUAUUGCCCUUCUCCCCUACAUGACUCAAAGAGACGGAGUUUCGGAGGCCUACUGUCCCGACCUACGGUGCAAGCCGCAAGACGGGAUGGGAAAGAACGUAGCAACAACACAGAGAAAGGAACCGGUGGCGAGAGCAAGUUCUGAUGCGUAUUCUUUGGAGAGGAGUGACCUCUCUUUUAUAGACGCAAGAGAAGGAGGCGAGAGGCCAGCGACGGGAGCCGAAGAGAUCGAGGGAGCCGAAACGAACAGACAGCAGCCGAAGAGUGUAGUGUUCGCUUCCAAUAUCCACUACAGCAAAAAAAACGUUCAGCUUCUCCGCGUGACCUUUCGUAUAACAGUCAUGCGUGGCAAAAAUUUAGUUCGGCUCAGCUCAUUCCCGCAACCCACGGCGCGGCACGACGAGACGGGUGGCGGCGGAGGAGGAGGAGGAGCACGCAUGUUUGUCUCUCUUGUUCUCAAGCUCAUACAUGUGUGGAAACAUCCUCCCUUAUAAGGACAUCCAACUCCCACUAAACUAGCAAUGUGGGACUAAACAUUUCCACCUCUUGCCUUGCACAAAUAGGCUGCAUGGGCCCCUAGGAUUUAUUAGGAAUUUUCUGAAAUUAUAUAUUGGGCUGGCCAAAAAUUCCAACAAUCCCUCACCAGAUCCGAGAGGCACACAAAAUUUUCCUUUGGUUCCAAAACACUGUUUUAUAUACUGAUAUUGCAGUGGAGACUGUUAAGUUGAACUUCCACCUAGAACUCUAUGCUACACCAGUAGGCAACUUUAAAAGUGGACUAGGCCUUGAACUGCAAGUUUUCUGCGAAUCUAGCUUCACACUGAGCCUUGAUCGAUACUAGGCUAGCGUGGGACUUCCCCUGGGUGGAGCUUAUGCGUCAUACUCCGAGACCUUUCAUGAGUUUACUAGAGAGCACCCUACUCUCAUAGAUAGCGACGUUAACAAUCGGACUCAUAUAGGUAUGUUCUUCAAAAGAUGUUCUGCAGGACAACAUCUCUUCUUCAAUAAGCCACUUAGAACAUAUUAAGAUGUAUAUCAACCUGCCAUGCAGUUUAAGAAAGUAUUGCAUCUUCAUGGAGUGGUAUUAUCAAUGAUAAGGAUACUUUCCUCUCGGCUGAUCAAUAGCUUGUCUUCCACAUCUAAUUCACGGGAUCUCCGAUCACAAAGAAUAGGUUACCACUGUGAACAACUCAAAUUGUGGGUCUCAUACCCAUCUCCCUCGAUGCAUUAUCUAUCACAUUACGUGAUAGACCCUUAGUAAAAGGAUCUACCAGAUUUUAGGAUGUUUGGAUAUAAUCCAAUGCAAUAACUCCGGAGUUUCUCAUUUUCCUGACAGAUUUUAACCUUCUCUGAACGUGUCUUGAUGAUUUCAUGUUAUCCUUUGAGCUGCUCACUUUUGUGAUCACAGUUUGAUUGUCGCAGUUCAUAAGGAUACCCGGUACAGGUUUCUCGACAACUGGGAAGUCACUCAAGAGCCGGCAAAGUCAAUCUACUUCGACCGUAGCUGUAUCUAGUGUUGUGAGUUCUGCUUCCAUUGUUUACCUUGUUAAGAUCGUUUGCUUGCAAGACUUUCAAGAAACAACUACACCUCCAUGAGUGAAUACAUAUCCGCUCGUGGCAUUUAUCUCAUCAGCAUGAGAGAUCUAGUUUGAAUCACUAUACCCUUCAAGCACCUUUGGGUGUCCAGUAUAGUGAAUUCCAUAAUUUGCAGUGCCUUUUAAAUAACGCAAAACUCUCUCUAGAGCUUUCCAAUGCACAUCUCCUGGUUUUGAGACAAACCGACUCAGUUUGCUAACAUCAAAAGAGAUGUCAGGUCUUGUAGCACUGGCUAAGUACAUAAGCGAGCCAAUAAUCUGAGAAUAUUUCAAUUGGUCUCUAGCAAUUUUUCGAUUCUUUCGAAGCAGCACGCUCGCAUCAUAUGGUGUGGGAGAGGACUUGCAGUCACUAUACCCAAAGAGACUCGAGAUCUUUUCCAUAUAGUGAGAUUGAAGCAACGUGAUCCCACCAUCUUCGUUUCUCAACAACUUGAUGUUCAGAAUGACAUCAGCCACUCUUAAACCCUUCAUCUCAAAAUAGUGAUAUAGGAAAUCCUUGACCUCUUUAAUAACAUUCAGAUUUGUUCCGAAAAUCAGUAUGUCAUCAACAUACAAGCAAAGGAUAACUACCUCGCCCCCACCAUGGCGAUAGUACAUACAUUUAUCAGCUUCGUUUACAACAAAGCGUGCAGUUGUUAGAGUUCCUUCAAACUUCUCAUGCCACUGCUUGGGUGCUUGCUUAAGUCCAUAUAAAGACUUCAGCAACUUGCAUACUUUUCCUUCCUGACCAUCUACUACAAACCCAUCUGGUUGUUCCAUGUAAAUUUCCUCAUCCAACUCUCCAUUUAGGAAAGCAGUCUUAACAUCCACUUGAUGAACCAGAAGACCAUGUGAGGCGGCUAGUGAAAGUAGUACUCGAAUAGUGGUCAGUCGAGCCACAUGUGAGUAAGUAUCAAAGAAGUCUUCGCCUUCCUUUUGGGUAUAACCCUUAGCCAUGAGCCAUGCCUUGUACUUUUUGAUAGUACCAUCAGGCCUAAGUUUCAUCUUGAAUACCCAUUUACAUCCUAUAGGUUUGCACCCAUAAGGACGAUCAGUGAUCUCCCAAGUUUCAUUUGCCAAGAUGGAAUCCAUCUCACUACGGACUGCUUCCUUCCAGUAGUCAGCAUCUUCAGACGCAUAGGCCUCUAAAAUAGAGCUGGGAGUGUCAUCUAUGAGAUACACAAGAAAAUCAUCACCAAAGGACUUUGAAGUCCUUUGUCUCUUGCUCCUGGUAGGAACUUCAUUGUUCUCCUCCACAAUAUUUUCAAAGUGUUCCAUCGAAAUGAUAGGUUCAUGAAUUGUAACUAAUUCAUGAUUCGAUGAAUUAGGCAUAUCCUGAUUAGAUGAGGUAGCUUUAUCUUUCAUGGGAAAUAUAUCUUCGAAAAAAGUCGCAUCAUUCGACUCCAUGAUUGUACCGACAUGCAUGUGAGAUACAUCGAAUGGAGAAAUCUCUUUAUUCUUUGUGGGAACUUGGUUUAGGACAUGACAUGCAGUCAAUAUCGCCUCCCCCCCCACCAUGCCUUGGAGAGACCCGAUGUGUCUAACAUGGCGUUAACCAAAUCAGUUAGAGUACGGUUCUUUCUUUCAGCUACCCCAUUUGACUGAGGUGAAUAGGGAGGCAUCCUCUGAUGGAUUAUACCAUGUUCCUCACAGAAGUAAUCAAAUUCAUUUGAGAAAUACUCUCCACCAUGAUCGGACCUAAGCCGCUUGAUCUUCGAUCAAGUUGAUUUUCUACUUCAGCUUCAUAGAUCUUGAAAAAGUUCAAAGCCUCAUCCUUAAAUUUCAGAAGAUACAAUCGACAGUAUCUAGUGGAGUCAUCAAUUAACGUCAUGAAAUAUUUCUUUCCACCUUUUGUCAAAAUACCAUUCAUUUCACAUAGAUCUGAAUGUAUGAACUCUAGUGGUGCAAGAUUUCUCGUUUCGGCAGUCGUGUGAGACUUAGGAGGUUGCUUGGCUUGCACACAAACUUGACACUUAGAUCCCUUGACGGUGGUGAAGCUAGGGAUUAAGUUCAAUUUGACAAGUCGCGACAUGCAACGAAAAUUAACAUGGCAGAGACGUGAAUGCCACACAUUUGAUUCACUAUUGUUGUAAACAUGAUUAACAACUUUAUUGCAAACGUCUCCCAAGGAUAAACGGAACAGGCCUCCUGACUCGUAGCCUUUACCAACAAAAAUUAAAUACUUGGAUAUUACAGAUUUAUUCGACUCAAAGACAAGCUUGUAGCCAUCUCUACACAAAAGAGAUCCGCUAACAAGAUUUUUAUUCACAGAGGGGACAUAAUGCACGUUCUUCAGCCACACGACCUUCCCCGAAGUAAACUUCAGAUCGACCGUGCCAACACCACGAACAGAAGCACUUGAAACAUUUCCCAUCAGCACGGUGGAAGUCCCUGUGGACUGAUAAGACGAAAACAUGGAAAUAUCACCGCAUACAUGCACAUUAGCACCCGUGUCAGUCAACCAAUCGGGAAAAUGACAUACUGAAAGGAUAGUGGGAAAUAUACCACACCCAGCAUCCUCCACGUCAGUGUCACCAAUGAUAACAUUAGCGGACUUGCUGCCUCUCCCAUGUUGAUGCUUGUCAUAGCGGUUAGGGCACUUAGGUGCCCAAUGAUCAGGAUCUCCACACACAUGACAAACACCUUUCUUCUUGUCAUUCUUCUUCUUGAAGUUGGUGUGUUGUACAACCUUGUUCUUUCCAUCGAACUUUGCUUUACCAUCAAACUUCCCCUUGUUCUUGAAAUUGUGGGGCUGGAAGUUUUUCUUCUGUACCAGAUUGGCACUAGAACCUCCUUCAAUACCUCGAGCACGUGUGUCUUUUGCUCUCGCGUUUUCUUCCACAUCAAGAGUACCUAUGAGAUCCGAAACGGAAAACGCUUGCCUCUUAUGCUUCAGUAAGGUAGCAAAGUUCCUCCACGAAGGAGGAAGUUUAGUGAUGAUUCCUCCGGCAACAAACUUGUCGGGUUGCAGGCAAUUGAAGUUCUCAAAUUCUCUUGCAAAUGACUGUAUCUCGUGAGCUUGCUCAACCACGGAGCGCUCUUUAGUCAUCCUGUAGUCCUAGAAUAGUUCCAUGAUGUACAACUCAGUGCCAGCAUCAGAGACCCCAAACUUGGCCUCGAGUGCAUCCCACAUUUCUUUUCCAUUAUCAAUUGACGCAUAAGCAUCAACUAUGUUCUCACCAGGAACGCUCAAGAGAGCAGCCUUAAACAAGGUAUCCAUUUUCUGGAAAGCUAGUUCCUAUUGAGCAUCAUGAUCUCCUUCAGGUUUGCCAAGAGUGGUGUCAUAGCAGCUCAUGGUUUGAAACCAUAGAACAGCUCUCACGCGCCACCUCUUAUAGUGGAUACCCUCAAAAAUAGGAGGUCUCAUGGAAACAGCAAAACCACUCGGGGUAAAUGCCUAUAAUAAGGUUUUUGGAUUGUUGGAAAUAUGAGCAAUUUACCAUAGGAUUUUAUUAAAAGAAAAGCUAGGAUAAACAUGACCAUCAUAAUAAAGAUGAAAGAAGACAUGCAAAAUAGAGAUGAGAUGACGAAAGGCAUGUGCACAUAUGAUCUAGAAAAGAACAUAUGUGUAACUGUUCUAUAUACACAAGGUAUCAUAUGGAGUGAUGACCAGAAAUGGAACAUAUCUAGAAGUGAAACUAUAGUAAGAACAUGAGUACGUACUGAGUUGCAACAGCAAUAGGGUUGGUGUUGGCAUUGACCAUGUUCCCGAAGAGGUGGUUGACGUCACGAAAGUUGUCGUCGUCCGGGAAGAGAUUGUCGGUGUCCGUGAUGGAAGCCAGUAGUCACGCUGAGCGCUCCCCAAAUACCUUAUCGCCCUUCUCCCAUACAUGACUCAAAGAGACGGAGUUUCGGAGGCCUAGUGUCACGACCUACGGUGCACGUUGAUAACCCACAAGUGUAGGGGAUCGCAACAGUUUUCGAGGGUAGAGUAUUCAACCCAAAUUUAUUGAUUCGACUCAAGGGGAAGCGAAAGAAUAUUCUCAAGUAUUAGCAGCUGAGUUGUCAAUUCAACCACACCUGAAAGAUUAGUGUCUGCAAGCAAAGUAUCAGUAGCAAAGUGGUAUGAUAGCAAUGGUGCCAGAAAAAUAUCUGUUGGCAGCAGACUAUUCCUUACUUGUUGUAUCAAUGGCGCCUAAAAAAGUCUUGCACCAGGUAACAACAAAGUAGCAAGUAACAACAGCAGUGACAGCAGUAGCAAGGAACAACAGUAGUGACAACAGUAGCAAGUAACAGCAGUAGUGACAGUAGUAGCAAGUAACAGCAGUAGUGACAGUGGCGACAACAUAAUAGGUUCAUAUCUGAAAUCAUGGCACUCGGGCCCUAGUGACAAGCAUUAUUCAUGGCAAAGUAGUAGCAACAUCAAUCUCAGAACAUAGUAGAUACUAGGGAUCAAUCCCCGUCAAAACUAACUCGAUUACAUGAUUGAUAUAAUCCAACUCAUCACCGUCCAGCAAGCCUACGAUGAGAUUACUCACGAACGGUGAAGAGCAUCAUGGAAUUGUCGAUGGAGGAAGGUUGAUGAUGACGAUGGCGAUGACUUCCCCUCUCCGGAGCCCAGAACGGACUCCAGAUCUGCCCUCCAGAUGAAGAACAAGAGGUGGCGGCGCCUCCGUAUCACAAAACGCGAUGAAUCCUUCUCCCUGAUUUUUUUCCCAGGCGAAACGGAACAUAUAUAGCUGAGAUUGGAGGCGGUGGAGCCUCGUGGACCCCACAAGCCUGGUUGGUGCGGCCAGGGGGUCGCCGCGCCAUCUGGGCUUGUGGCCCACUGGCUUACCCCCUCCGGUGGAUCUUUGCGCAGGUAUUUUUCAUUAAUUCCAGAAAAAUUCUCCGUAAAUUUUCAGGUCAUUCCGAGAACUUCUAUUUCUGCCCAAGGCAAAACCAUGGCAAUUCUGCUGAAAACAGCAUUAGUCCGGGUUAGUUCCAUUCAAAUCAUGCAAGUUAGAGUCCAAAACAAGGGCAAAAGAGUUCGGAAAAGUAGAUACGACAGAGACGUAUCAACUCCCCCAAGCUUAAAGCCUUGCUUGUCCUCAAGCAAUUCAGUUGACAAACUGAAAGAGACAAAAGAAAAACUUUGACGAACUCUGUUUGAUCUUGUUGUUGCAACUAUGUCUAGCUCAUAACCAGAAUUUCAGCAAGAUCACAAGCGAACCACAUAAGCAAAUGACAUCUAGGUCUCACGGUAAACUCAUAUCAAUGGCAUAAUCAACUAGCGAGCAAAUAAUAAUAAGCCUCAAAUGUCAACACUUCAAUCAAAACAACGUGAAGUAGUACGAACAGAUGGUAUCUCGCUAGCUCUUUCUGAGACCGCAAAACAUAAAUGCAGAGCACCUUCAAAGACCAAGGGCUGACUAAACAUUUUAAUUCAAUGCAAUGAAGAUCCAGUCACAGUCAUACUCAGCACAGUUAAAAGCAAAGCAUAAAAAUGACAGAGGUGCUCUCUAAUUGGUGCUUUUAUAAGAGGAGGAUGACUCAACAGGAACAUAAAUAGAUAAGCCCUUCGCACAGGGAAGCAUUGAUUUGCAGAGGUGCCAGAGCUCAAGCUUUGAAAACAGAGAUAAUAAUUUUGGGUGGCAUGCUUUCAUUGUCAACGCAAUGACUAAGAGUUCUCAACAUCUUCCACGCUACACAUGCUAUAGGCGGUUCCCAAACAGAAAAGUAAAGUUUUGACUUCCCCACCACCAAUCAAUCACACUCCACGGCUAGCCGAAUCCUCGAGUACCGUCUAUACCAACAUCAAUCCUAGGGGAGUUUUGUUUGCAAUUAUCUUUUUGAUUUGAGCAUGGAACUGGGAAUUCCAAUUACCGGCCCCUUUCUCGUGAAUGAUAGUGAAUAAACACAUAUCGAGGAUAACACGCCUAGCAUGGAAGAUACCAAUAGCUCCCUGUCACCACAUGAGCGGUUCGGGCAUGCAAAACAGAUUAUUUCUUGAAGGUUUAGAGAGUAGCACAUGCAAAUUUACUUGGAACGGCAGGUAGAUACCGCACAUAGGUAGGUAUGGUGGACUCAUAUGACACAACUUUGGGUUUAUGGAAGUGGAUGCACAAGCAGUAUUCCCGCUUAGUACAAGUGAAGGCUAGCAAAAGACUGGGAAGCGACCAACUAGAGAGCGACAACAGUCAUCAAAAUGCAUUGAGAUUAACUAACAUUGAGUGCAAGCAUGAGUAGGACAUAAAUCACCAUGAACAUGAACAUCAUAGAGGCUAUGUUGAUUUUGUUUCAACUACAGUGUGAACAUGCUCCAAGUCAAGCCACUUGAAACAUUCAAAGGAGGAUACCAUCCUAUCAUACUACAUCACAGUCAUCUCAAAAUUCAUGUGGGCAUCCAAGACAAACCAUUAUAAGCUCCUAGCUAAGUAAGCAUGGCAUAAGCAACUAUGAUCUCUAAGUUGUCAUUGCAAACAUGUUUCUCUCACAACAAAGCUGACUCAGGCAUGAUGAGCUAGUCAUAAUUACAAAAACAAAAUAGAUCGAGUUCAUACCAGCUUUUCCAGGCUCAGUCACUUCAUCAUAUAUCAUCAUUAUUGCCUUUCACUUGCACGACCGAACGAUGUGAACAAUAAUAAGAGUGCCCGUGCAUUGGACUACACUGGAAUCUGCAGGCAAACACAAAGGAGAAGACAAAGUAAUAUGGCUCUUUGAAAGCUAAACAGGUAUGCAUGCAAGAGCCACUAAACAUUGUAACCAAUAUCUUCUACCUUGACCCAAAGAAAAAGAAAACUAUUUACACGGGAAAGCUCCCAACAAGCAAAAGAAGAACAAGAAAAUAUUUUUGGGUUUGCUCAAACUAGACAGACACACAAAAACAAAACUAGAAAAAGAAAAUAAACUAGCAUGCAUGAUACAGUGGAAAAGUGUGAACACCGGCGAACAAAGUGAAAGCAUAAGCAAGAAUGUAAAGUCGGUGAGAAACACGUACUNNNNNNNNNNNNNNNNNNNNNNNNNNNNNNNNNNNNNNNNNNNNNNNNNNNNNNNNNNNNNNNNNNNNNNNNNNNNNNNNNNNNNNNNNNNNNNNNNNNNGUGUUUCCUUCAUCUUUGCAAAGGGUCCCCCAGCGGUAGUACCGCUGGGCCUAGCGGUAGUACCGCUGGCCUUAGCGGUAGUACCGCUGGAGUGCUAGCAGUAGUACCGCUGCAUCCAGCGGUAGUACCUCUCCAGGAGCUUAGUACCACGUGCCUAGCGGUUGUACGUGGACGGACCUUUUUGCGAAGACUUUCUUGGCGGUGGUAGUGCUUAUGCACUACCAGGGGCCCAGCGGUAGUACCGCUGCACCCAGCGGUAGUACCGCAGGAGUGCCAGCGGUAGUACCGCUGCAUCCAGCAGUAGUACCGCUAGGCACGGGCUGUGAGUGGGAAAACGGUUGGAUUUCCCCCCCCCCCCACUAUAUAAAGGGUUCUUCUAGCUGUGGAACUCUAUCUCUGACCCUCCCAAGCUCCAUUGUUGCUCCCUAAGAUCAAAAGUGCCCGAUCUCUCUCCCUAGCCAAUCAAACUUGUUGAUUCUUUAGGGAUUGGUUGAGAUGGCCUAGAUCCAUACUUCCACCAAGAGAAAAAUUGAUUCCCCCACCAAUCCCUUGCGGAUCUUGUUACUCUUGGGUGCUUGAGCAUCCUAGAUGGUUGAGGUCACCUUGAAGCCACAUUCCAUUGUGGUGAAGCUUCGUGGUCUUGUUGGGAGCCUCCAAGCUUUGUGUGGAGUUUGCCCCAACCUUGUUUGUAAAGGUUCGGUCGCCGCGUUCAAGGGCACCUGUAGUGGAAUCACGGUACCUUGCAUCGUGCGAGGACAUGAGGAGAAUACGGUGGCCUUAGUGGCUUAUUGGGGAGCAUUGUGCCUCCACACCGCUUCAACGGAGACGUACUUCCCGUCAAAGGGAAGGAACUUCGGUAACAUAUCCUCUUCUUCAUUGGUUCCACUUGUGGUUAUCUCUAACCUUUACUUUGUGUAUGCUUAUGUUGUUGUCUUUCCCUUACUUGUCUUAGUAGCUAUUGCUGCUAGCUUCAUUACGGUUCACCCCAUUGUUGUCAUAUUUGUGAACCCGUAUGUUGUUUACCCUAUCUUGCUAAGAUUAAUUAAAAAGUGGUCGUUGCCUAUUCAAACCCCCCCCCNNNNNNNNNNNNNNNNNNNNNNNNNNNNNNNNNNNNNNNNNNNNNNNNNNNNNNNNNNNNNNNNNNNNNNNNNNNNNNNNNNNNNNNNNNNNNNNNNNNNNNNNNNNNNNNNNNNNNNNNNNNNNNNNNNNNNNNNNNNNNNNNNNNNNNNNNNNNNNNNNNNNNNNNNNNNNNNNNNNNNNNNNNNNNNNNNAGAUCCGAUCUUGCAAGUUGUAGUUACCUACUAUGUGUUAUGAUCCGGCAACCCCGGAGUGACAAUAACCGGAACCACUCCCGGUGAUGACCAUAGUUUGAGGAUUUCAUGUGUUCACAAAGUGCUAAUGCGUUGGUCCGGUUCUUUAUUAAAAGGAGAACCUUAAUAUCCCGUAGUUUCCUUUUGGACCCCGCUGCCACGGGAGGGAUGGACAAUAGAUGUCAUGCAAGUUCUUUUCCCUAAGCACGUACGACGACACACGGAAUGCAUGCCUACAUCACAUUGACGAACGGGAGCUAGCCACAUAUCUCUCCAUGUUAUAGCUGUUGCAUGAUGAAUAUCAUCCAAACAAAUAUCGACCCAUUGCCUACGAGUUUGUCCUACUGUUGCUACUAGUGUCGCUUGCUACUGCUGCUACUUGCUACUGUUGUCACUACUGUUGUUCCNNNNNNNNNNGCCGUUACUCGUUACUUUGCUGUUACUACAGUGCUUGCAGAUACUAAUCUUUCAGGUGUGGUUGAAUCUGACAAAUUCAGCUGCUAAUACUCGAGAGUAUUCUCUCACCUCCUUUUGGCGAUCUACAAAUUUGGGUCGAAUACUCUACCCUCGAAAACUGNNNNNNNNNNNNNNNNNNNNNNNNNNNNNNNNNNNNNNNNNNNNNNNNNNNNNNNNNNNNNNNNNNNNNNNNNNNNNNNNNNNNNNNNNNNNNNNNNNNNCGAAUGCUAGUAUCCGACUGGACGAUAUAGGACCCGUUCCUGACUUGAUAAUGGGGAUUCCUUAAUUCAGUCGGGGUAGACUUAGGGUCUUGUCUUUGUGUGGGGUAGUCCUUGGGUAGGACCUGUAUGGCAGGCCUAUGACCCUACCCUAGGACUACGACCCCAUCAUUAGUCCCCGAAUGGAUCGGGGUUGAAACGACGAAGCAGUGCUUGAAGUUCGGAUCCGACUGGAGUAGAUUCGUCUUGGGCGUUGCUUGCCUCUAUCCAUUUUACCUUUUCUGACCAACGAUCCGAGUGGAAGUGCUUGCGAAACCGACUGUUGGGAACCGAGUGUUUCCGCUGCAUCUUUUGACGCGACCGGUCAACUCACAGCGGUGGGUUUCCCGGGAUCUCAAAUUUUAGGUUCCGCGCGCUCAGCGGGGACGACGUCAGCGCACUCGAGUAGCGUCUGACGCCUUGAUUCUCGCGCCUUCAAGUCCUCCACUGAUAUCGCCGCAGCCGGUCGGGCGGAUAAGGUUUCGGGGCCACCCGCCAGUGACCUAGUCGGAACUCUAUUUAAAUCUGGGCGGCGAGGUUUCUUCGUUACGCUCGCCGAAUCUUUCGCUCUCGCCUGCUCCGUCUUCCUCGCCACCUCCAGCGCUCCCAUACUCCCUCCUUCUCCUUCCUCUCGAGAGUUCGCCGUCGCCUCCAUGACCAAGGGUCAGACCAGCAAGAUGGAGGCGAGGAAGAAGAAGGGCAAGGCGGCGGCAGCGGCCGCUGCCGGCGGGGUGGAUCCAAGGAGACUUCCUCCCCUCCAGAGUGACGGAGGGAGAUCUGCUGCAGCUGGUGGAGCAUGGAGUGCUCGUGCACAAGUCCUGGAGACUGCCGGCGGAGGACGAGGUCGAGCCAGCGCCCCGGGAGGGGGAGCGCGUCCUGCUCCUCAGCCAUGUCCACCGAGGUUUUUCUUUGCCCCCGCAUCCUUUCUUCAAGGGCAUCAUGAAUCACUUCGGUGCCCAACUUCACCAUUUCCCUCCGAAUGCCAUCGCGCACCUUUCUGCCUUCAUAGUCUUAUGUGAGUGUUUUAUCGGCUGCCCUCCCCAUUGGGGUUUGUUCAAACACAUCUUCUCCGUCUGAUCCCAAACCAUCAAACGACUUAGCCAGUCGGAUGAUAAGACGCACCUCCUCCAGCUCUGUGGGGGUUUAGGAUUCCAGAAGAAGAGUCGGAGUAGCUAUCCUGCUCUCCAGUUAAGUGAGUAGGUUAGGAACUGGCAGUCGACGUGGUUCUACUGCCAGGAUAUCGCCUGUCCAAAUGCGUCGACUGGUCUGCCUCCUUUUAGUCUAGACCGGCCCGCCCCGCCUAAGCAGCUCGCGCUCUCGAAGGCGGAGAAGAACGAUGUCCAGCCCUUGGUUGAGGCGCUCGUGGACGUCGUCAGGAGGGGGUCACCGGUAUAGACCUGCUGGAAGUCUUCCUUGGUCGGUGGAUCCAGCCUCUGCAGGCUCGCGACCAUGCCAUGUGGCAUUACACGGGGCCCGAGGAUUCCACUCGGACCAAUGUUGUGGGCGUGACUGAGGAGAGGGUGACCUCGUGGGUGCUCCAGAUCACGGGCCCCUGUGAGAAUCCCAAAGAAUCACGGCGAGUGAAGCCCUUCUGCGCGGAUAAUCCCCCGCCGAAUCAGGUGAGAGACUCUUGUCGAGUGCUCCUAAUUGUCUUAAUCUUGUCGUUUGCUUGAAUCUGUGUGUGAUGUUUGAUGUCGCCGACUGAAUUUUAUGCAGGAGUGGACCAACUGGUUUUCUCCCGUCUCGAACGGGAAUCCGACCGAGGAGGAGGAGGGCAGCUAGGAGGGCAGCGUGGAGAGCACGGAAUAUGUCUCCGACAGUGGGGAGUCGGAGGAAGAGUCCAGCGAGGAGGAGGAAGAAGACGAGGAGCAGGACUCGCCACCCCCACAACUGGAGCAUCGGACCAAGCGCCGACACGAACCCGCUGUCCCCUCAGCUCCUCCCGCGUCUUCGAGUGCUCCGCCUACUGCUCCAGUGGUCCCGAGUGUUCGAAGCGCUAAGAGUACCCGGGAUGCCGCCGCUGAGCCUGCAGGCCAAUCUUCUAAGGCGCCCAAGACGAGUGGGCCUAAACCUCGGAAGGCUCUGCCGCGAAUAAGGGUCGCUGUCCCCGUCACCUCCACGUAAGUGUACUCAGCUUUCAGUUUUUCUUCUGAUAUCCGAGUGAAUUUCUGCUUACUGGCCGACUGGAUAUCACUCGACAGGGUCGCUACUUCUGCCACCUCCCCGGCGCGUCAGGAAUACGACCCCAUGGACACGGACAACGUCGUCUCGUCUCAGCCAGGUGCAUUGUAGGAACGUCGAGUGUUUUAUACCAUCGCUUCUUUCUUUUUCUGAGACCUCGUGUCAUUCGGCCUGUCAGGGGCGAUCUGCCUGGAUGAGGGCGGCCAGGGGAGAGCCAACCCAGCUGUGGAGCCUGUUCUUGAGGCUGCUCCUCCCGCUGCCGCCCUCGCCGCCGACGUGCUGCCGACGGAGGCACCGCCGCCGACUGAACCAGUGCUGGUGGAGGAGGAGCCGACUGGGGCGGGCCUUGGAAUGCCUCAGGAACCUCCGACGAUUCCAGGUUCGUCGCAUGCUGAAUUCAGCAUCCAGCGUCUUCCAGAGGAGUAGGUGGGAGCGGCCAAGGGGGCUAUGGUGCAGGCGGAGCUGAUGACUGGAGAAGCCAAGAGGGCCUAUGACUCCAUUGCGGCCUUGUACCAGCGGAGCUUGGAGCUACGCGAUGAUAUCCGAGUAAGUGGUCUAGUAAGCAUUUACUUUUCCCCUGUAACCCUCUGGGUGUUAUUGAAUAUCAGCUGUUGUUUGCAAUGGGUUCACUCUGAGUGAACCCAGUGGGUGUAGUCCCCGAGACUUCUGUCGAGUGCUUGCACCGACAGUUGUCUUUAUACACUUUGCCUUGAGUUUGGUUGUGUCUGUAAAUAGGAUUACCGAGUGCGAGUAAUUGUUGCAGUCGGAGUGCACUUACGGUAAGAGUCCCCGAGAGUAAGUUGUACUCAGGUCGGGUAGUAUUGGCCUCGGAGGCGUAGGUGAUAACAUGCAUUUCAAUAGGGCAAGCCUGCUUGAGGUGCAUGCCAGUGGGGUCACGCUUAGUGAACCCACUGGGUGUAGUCCCCGAGACCGCUGUCGACUGCUUGCGUCAGCAGGGGUCUGAAGAACUUAGACUGUUAACUGUUGAACUUUCUGAUUGUCCCUUGUUUGUUGUUGGCAGAAAACUUGUGCAAUGGGAUCAGCCUAUGAGACUCUCAAGGCGGAGAGGAAUCAGUUCGCUGGCGAACUUGAUGCGGCCAUGCUUGCAAUGGCUGGCAUUAAGGAUUCCCUGGCGGAACGGGAGAAAUCAUUGGAGCAGGCGCGUGAAGUGAACAAGGUGUUGACUGAGGAAGGGGAAAAGAUGGGGAAGCAGAGGACUACGCUGAUGAGUCAGAUGGAUGUGCUGAACAAACGAUGUAGAGCACAAGAGAAAUAUGUCAGCGACUGGGCUCGGCAGAUGAUGACGCGUCUGGCUGGUAAGUCCUUAUUUUUCCGAGUGGUUGUGCUAUGCGCGUAGCACUCGGCGCUUAUUGUCUGUUUGUCCUAUUGUCGCAGAUUUUUGCUUUGACGCCGAAGCUGAAGCGGCUGACGUGGAGCGUUCGAUUCUUGAGAACUUUCCACUCGGCGACGACGCCAAUCGGGAUCUGCUCCGUGCGCACAUCCGCGUGGGCAAAGUUGGUCCUUUCAUCGGUCGACUGAGAGAAGUCGUCGGCCGAAUCGACAAGGAGCUUUGGCCAGAAGAUGAGUCGCGGCAGGAGAUGGAGAACCUGAUGACCCGACUGGCGGAGAUUCCCAACAGAGUGCAGUCGUGGAAGAAAUCUGCAGCUCGUUGUGGUGCAGAUGUUGCUCUGUCCCUGGUCCGAGUCCAUUGCAAGGAGGUGCGUGAGGAAAAAAUGAAGACGCGGAAGGUCGCCAACACGAAGAAGCUUCGAUUCGAAGACUUCAUGGAGACGUUCCUUGAGAGUGCUACCCGCAUCGCCGACGGAAUCGACUUGGACACUUUCGUGGAGCCCUCCAGUCCUGGUACCGGCCCAGCUGACGCGUAAGAAACUUUAUCCUCGGUAUGCCGAGUGUUUAUCUGUAAGGUACUUUGGCCACUUCUGUUGUCCGUCACACUUUUAAAUCGGUGCGGGCAAACUUGAUCCGCACCGAGUUAGCUAUCUUUGCGAGGAUUUUGGAAUCCGAUUUUUGCUCUUCUGUUGCAAUGUUGAUUCGAGUUUUUGGUUGGCGUUUCUUGGUGAAGCCAAAGGCAAACAGCCGAUGCUGGAUUGCUGUUAAGCUCCCUCCGAGUGUAACGUGAAGUGCACACUCGGAGAAGGUUAUUACUUAGGCGAUGCUGGAUCGCAGCUAAGCCCCCGAGUGUGACGUGUAGUGCACACUCAGAGAAGGUUAAUACUUAGGAGAUGCUGGAUCGCAGCUAAGCCCCGAGUGUGACGUUAAGUGCACACUCGGAGAGAGUGAAUACUUAGGCGAUGCUGGAUCGCAGCUAAGCCCCCGAGUGUGACGUUAAGUGCACACUCGGAGAGAGUUAAUACUUAGGCGAUGCUGGAUCGUAGCUAAGCCCCCGAGUGUGACGUUAAGUGCACACUCGGAGAGAGUUAAUACUUAGGCGAUGCUGGAUCGCAGCUAAGCCCCGAGUGUGACGUUAAGUGCACACUCGGAUAAAGAUAAUACUUAGGGGAUGCUGGGUCGCAGCUAAGCCCCCGAGUGAGACGUUAAGUACACACUCGGAUAAAGUUAAUACUUAGGCGAUGCUGGACCGCACCUAAGCCCCCGAGUGUGACGUUAAGUGCACAUUUGGAGAGAGUUAAUACUUAGGUGAUGCUGGAUCGCAGCUAAGCACCCGAGUGUGACGUUAAGUGCACACUCGGAGAGAGUUAAUACUUAGGCGAUGCUGGAUCGCAGCUAAGCCCCCGAGUGUGAUGUUAAGUGCACACUCGGAGAGAGUUAAUACUUAGGCGAUGCGGGAUCGCAGCUAAGCCCCCGAGUGUGACGUUAAGUACACACUCGGAGAAAGUUAAUACUUAGGCGAUGUUGGAUCGAAGCUAAGUUUUUUUUUUAAGACCGGAGUCUGCGACCGCGGAAGAACUUUGAACCUGCAAAAAACUCAAUCUGCUUUAUAUUACUUCGCCAACACUUGUUCUUUACAUCGCUUUAGUCGACGGUCACGUGUAGAAGCGCUUCAGGAGAUCUCCGUUCCAUGCGCGCGGCUCGUCAGUCUCUCUUUCGAUGUUGUAGAGUCUGUAUGCUCCGUUGUUCAGCACCUUGGAGAUGAUGAAGGGUCCUUCCCAGGCCGGAGCUAACUUGUGAGGUCUUUGUUGAUCCACUCGGAGCACCAGGUCGUCUGCUUGGAACGUCCGACUUCUGACGUGGCAUGCAUGAAAACGCCGCAGAUUUUGUUGAUAAAUGGUCGAGCGAGUUAAUGCCAUCUCGCGUUCUUCCUCUAGAAGAUCUACUCCAUCUUGCCUUGCUUGUUCUGCCUCAGCUUCGGAGAAGGGUUCGACUCGUGGGGCAUUAUGAAGCAGGUCACUCGGAAGGACCGCUUCUGCUCCAUAAACGAGGAAGAACGGUGAUCGCCCCGUUGAUCUGUUCGGAGUGGUGCGGAGGCCCCAAAGCACUGAAGGUAACUCGAUGACCCAUGCGCCAGCAGCGUGUCCCACCUCUCGCAGGAGUCGGGGCUUCAAACCUUGAAGAAUAAGCCCAUUCACCCGCUCAGCCUGUCCGUUGGAUUGAGGAUGUGCUACGGAAGCAAAAUCCACUCGGAUACCCUGACUCACGCAGAAACCCUUGAAUCUGUCCGAGUCGAAGUUUGUCCCGUUGUCCGUAAUUAUGCUGUGAGGUACACCGAAUCUGAAGAUGAUGUCCCUGACAAACUUGACGGCUGUCGAAGCGUCGAGCUUCUUGAUGGGCUUCGCUUCGAUCCACUUCGUGAACUUGUCGACUGCCACCAACAGAUGUGUGUAUCCACCUUGGCCUGUCUUGAAUGGGCCGACUGUAUCUAAUCCCCACACUGCAAACGGCCACACAAGAGGGAUCGUCUUCAAUGCAGACGUUGGCUUGUGGGACUUGUUGGAGUAGAACUGGCAGCCCUCACAUCGAUCAACCAUAUCCCUAGCCAUCUCAUUAGCCUGUAGCCAAAAUAACCAGCCCUGAACGCCUUGGCUACGAUUGCUCUCGAAGAAGCGUGAUGACCGCGGGUUCCCGAGUGAAUAUCCUCCAGAAUCAGCUGCCCCUCCUCUGGGGAGAUGCAUCGUUGAAGAACACCCGAGAUACUUUCCUUGUACAAUUGGCCUUCAAUGACAGUGAAUGACUUCGAUCUGCGGACUAUCUGCCUGGCUUGGCUUCGUCUUCUGGAAGUUCUUGCCUCAAGAUAUAUGCCAUGAUCGGCACAGUCCAAUCGGGAAUGACAGCCAGAAUCUCCAUGACCAGAUCAACCACCACAGGUACAUCGACUUCAGUCGGACCUGUUGCGCUCUUGGGUUGUACCAAUUCCUAUGUGAAAGGAUCUUCUUUGACUGACGGGAGGUGGAGGUGUUCAAGGCAGACGUCACUCGGGACUGGUCUCCGAGUGGAUCCGAGUUUUGCUAACUCGUCAGCUGCUUGGUUCUUCAGUCUUGGAACAUGGUGGAGCUCCAGACCUUCAAACUUCUUCUCUAGCUUCCUCACUGCAUUGCAGUAUGUGGUCAUGGUGGGGUUCUUGACGUCCCACUCUUUCAUCACUUGAUUGACCACCAAAUCUGAAUCGCCGUAGACCAUCAAGCGACGGACGCCGAGUGAGAUGGCCAUGCACAAUCCGUAGAGGAGAGCCUCGUACUCUGCCUCGUUGUUGGAGGAAUCAAAGUGUAUCUGCAACACGUAUUUGAGCUUGUCGCCCUUUGGUGAUAUGAUCACAACGCCAGCGCCGGAGCCAUUCAACAUCUUAGACCCAUCGAAGAACAUUGUCCAAUGAGCCGAGUAGAUGUGGGUCGGUUGCUGUUGUUCUACCCAUUCUGCUAUAAAGUCAGCUAGGGCUUGAGACUUAAUAGCUUUCUUGGCCUCGAACUUGAUGUCACAGUACAACAUCUCCAUUGCCCACUUCGCCACUCGGCCUGAUGCGUCUCGAUUGUGGAGAAUUUCCGACAACGGAGCAUUAGAAACGACAGAUACCGAGUGGUCUUGGAAAUAAUGAGCCACCUUCUUCGCAGUCAUAUAGAUCCCAUAGAUAAGUUUUUGAUAAUGGGGAUACCUCUGCUUGGAAGGAGUCGGGACUUCGGAAACAUAGUAGACUGGCCGCUGAACUUUGUAUGCUUUGCCUUCUUCUUCUCGCUCGACUGUAAGAACAGUACUGACAACUUGAUUUGUAGCCGCAAUAUAUAGAAGAAGGGGCUCUUUACUGAGCGGAGCAGUAAGAACCGGCUGGGUGGAAAGUAGGACUUUGAGGUCGUCGAAUGCGACUUGGGCUUCAUCUAUCCACUCGAAGGUAUCUGAUUUCUUCAUGAGUCGGUACAGAGGAAGUGCUUUUUCGCCGAGUCGACUGAUGAACCUGCUCAAAGCCGCUAGGCAACCUGUGAGCCGUUGAACAUCGUGUAUUCUGACCGGCCUUUCCAUUCGGACGAUGGUCCCGAUCUUUUCGGGGUUGACGUCGAUCCCUCGUUCGGAAAUGAAGAAACCGAGUAACUUUCCGCUGGGAACACCGAAUGAACAUUUGGAUGGGUUGAGCUUGAUAUCGUACCUACGAAGGUUGGCGAAUGUUUCUGCCAAGUCAGUCAGCAGGUCGGAACCUUUGUGUGACUUGACUACGAUAUCAUCCAUAUAUGCCUCCACAUUGCGACCGAUCUGGUCAAGGAGACAUUUUUGGAUCAUGCGCAUAAAGGUAGCUCCUGCAUUCUUCAGACCGAAAGGCAUAGUGAUGUAGCAGAAGCACCCGAAUGGGGUGAUGAAGGCUGUCUUUAACUCAUCGGGACCAUACAGACGGAUCUGAUGAUANNNNNNNNNNNNNNNNNNNNNNNNNNNNNNNNNNNNNNNNNNNNNNNNNNNNNNNNNNNNNNNNNNNNNNNNNNNNNNNNNNNNNNNNNNNNNNNNNNNNCGGUACUAGAUCGUGGGACUGAUCGCGGGAUUGUUCGCGGGGCGGAUCGAGGGACGUGAGGACGUUCCACUACAUCAACCGCGUUCUCUAACGCUUCUGCUGUACGAUCUACAAGGGUACGUAGAUCACUCAUCCCCUCUCGUAGAUGGACAUCACCAUGAUAGGUCUUCGUGCGCGUAGGAAAAUUUUUGUUUCCCAUGCGACGUUCCCCAACAAAAACUGGGUUGGAGGUUUAUGGAUGCACAAGUAGUAUCUCUACUUGGUGCGGGAGUUUUGGCUAAUAUGAGGUGGAAGCAAUCGUCACAUGCUAAGGGAUCUCUAAUCAUAUAACAUUGUUUGGAACCAAGCAAACACAAUUCAUUAUGUUGUCUUCCUUGUCCAACAUCUACUCCUAAGCAUGUAAUAGUUUGGUGAGUGCUCACAAUUGUAAAAAGUGUCUAAGAUGAUAUAUUUAUAUGUGAACCUCUCUUUCCUUAUUACUUCUUAUUAAUUGCAACAAUGACUGAGNNNNNNNNNNNNNNNNNNNNNNNNNNNNNNNNNNNNNNNNNNNNNNNNNNNNNNNNNNNNNNNNNNNNNNNNNNNNNNNNNNNNNNNNNNNNNNNNNNNNGCACACUUAAGGUUCGACAUUGUUUUAUGCGUAUUUGAGUUAUAUGGUUUGUUACCGAAUGUUGUUCGGAGUCCCGGAUGAGAUCACGGACGUCACGAGGGUUUCCGGAAUGGUCUGGAAACGAAGAUUGAUAUAUAGGAUGACCUCAUUUGAUUACCGGAAGGUUUUCGGAGUUACCGGGAAUGUACCGGGAAUGACGAAUGGGUUCCGGGAGUUCACCGGGGGGGGCAACCCACCCCGGGGAAGCCCAUAGGCUUUGGGGAGACACACCAGCCCUUAGUGGGCUGGUGGGACAGCCCCAAGGGGGCCUAUGCGCCAAGGAGAGGAAAUCAAAGGAAAAGAAAAAAAAAGAGGGAAGAAGUGGGAAGGGAGGGGGACUCCUCCCACCAAACCAAGUCCAACUCGGUUUGGGGGGGGAGUCCUCCCCACCUUGGCUCGGCCGACCCCUUGGGAGUCCCUUGGACCCCAAGGCAAGGUCCCCCUCCCUCCUCCUAUAUAUAUGGGGCUUUUAGGGCAGAUUUGAGACGACUUUCUCACGGCUGCCCGACCACAUAUCUCCAUAGUUUUUCCUCUAGAUCGCGUUUCUGCGGAGCUCGGGCGGAGCCCUGCUGAGACGAGAUCAUCACCAACCUCCGGAGCGCCGUCAUGCUGCCGGAGAACUCUUCUACCUCUCCGUCUCUCUUGCUGGAUCAAGAAGGCCGAGAUCAUCGUCGAGCUGUACGUGUGCUGAACGCGGAGGUGCCGUCCGUUCGGCACUAGAUCGCGGGACGGUUCGUGGGACGGUUCGCGGGGCGGAUCGAGGGACGUGAGGACGUUCCACUACAUCAACCGCGUUCUCUAACGCUUCUGCUGUACGAUCUACAAGGGUACGUAGAUCACUCAUCCCCUCUCGUAGAUGGACAUCACCAUGAUAGGUCUUCGUGCGCGUAGGAAAAUUUUUGUUUCCCAUGCGACGUUCCCCAACAAAAACUGGGUUGGAGGUUUAUGGAUGCACAAGUAGUAUCUCUACUUGGUGCGGGAGUUUUGGCUAAUAUGAGGUGGAAGCAAUCGUCACAUGCUAAGGGAUCUCUAAUCAUAUAACAUUGUUUGGAACCAAGCAAACACAAUUCAUUAUGUUGUCUUCCUUGUCCAACAUCUACUCCUAAGCAUGUAAUAGUUUGGUGAGUGCUCACAAUUGUAAAAAGUGUCUAAGAUGAUAUAUUUAUAUGUGAACCUCUCUUUCCUUAUUACUUCUUAUUAAUUGCAACAAUGACUGAGGUCUAUGUUGAUUUAUUCUCAACAAGUUUCAAUCAUCAUACGUGUCAUAAGUGAAGUUAUCACUUUCCAUAAGAUCGUCUCAUGAUCUUUCAUGCUAUCGUUCUUUUCAUACUUUUGAUCAUGGCACAAAGCAAAGCCCUUGACUAAGACACUCUUUAUUAUAUAGCUCGUAAGCUCGAAUACAUCGGGGGAGAGACAAAAGCAAAAGACUCAAACUAAAAACUAAAGACUUAUUCCUCUAAAAGAAAAAAUAAAAACUGAAAAGGAAAGAACUAAAACAAAGGUAAAAGCAAAAGAUAUAAAGGUGACACGAUACCAGAGCAACUCCCCCAAGCUUGGCAGAAGCCAAGGGGAUUGCCCAUACCAAUGCUUAGUUGUCUUCCUUUGGUGGUGAUGGUGGUGUUGUUGGAGCAGUUUUGAGCUUGUCUAAUUUCCACUUGAGCAAAAAGUUUUGCUCCCUUAGAUCGUCAUUUUCCUCCUCAAGUUUCAAAACUCUAUGGCAAAGCUCCUGCUUACUCUCCUGCAAGAAACGAGAAGGGAUAAACAAGGUCUUAGGCUUCUUCCUAUGGUCAGGGAGGCUUGACUUCUUGAACUCCAUAUGGGUGUUUGCAGGUUGAGGUAGAGGAGCCUCCUCUUCAUCGGAACACGUUUGCUCCUUCCCUUUGGGCUCAUAGUCCUCUUCCUCAUCAGUGGUCCAGCCAUAUGGUUCCAAGUCCCCAUUAAUCCUAGAGUUAGCACAAUCAUCGGCCACAUAGAUCUCUUCUUCUGAAUCUUGAGAAGACAUCUUGACCUAAAUCUGUGGCACACAACAAGCUCGAAACGAAAACAGAGGAAAACUACGCGAUACGGAGAUCAAAACCUUCGGGCGACUAUAUAUUGAUUUUUUUUCUGGGCCAGAAGGAGUAUUCCGCAAGAAAACGGAGUCUGGGAGGCACACGAGGUGCCCACAAGCUUGCCCUCCGCCACCAGGGGGUGGUGGCGGAGUGGGCCCUUGUGGCUGCCUCGUUCGCUCUCCGGACUGCUUUUUAUUUUUCUAAUUUUCAAAAAAUUCCAAAACGAAAGAAAUUUCCUAUUGGAAAAGUAUCGGAGUCCAAUUUCUUGCCGAAACAGAUACAUCUUCGUUUUGAAGGUCUGAAACAGGCUGAUAAACAUCCCUUAUGUACUACUCUGGAGUUAUGACAUUGAUGAUAUUGGUCUCAACAUUUAUGGGAGUACCAGAGAUGUGAUGCUUGAUUCUUUGCCCAUUUACCACUCUAGGAAAAUUUCCUUCCGUGUUAUUGAUUUUGAUGGCACCAAAAUGAUAUACUUCCUCGACAACAUAGGGACCUUCCCAUUUAGAGAGAAGCUUGCCUGCAAAGAAUCUCAAACGAGAAUUGUAUAGCAAGACAUAAUCACCUACAUUGAACUCUCGUUUCUGUAUUCGUUUGUCGUGUCAUCUCUUAACCUUUUCCUUGAACAACCUGGCAUUCUCAUAUGCCUGGGCUCUCCAUUCAUCUAACGAGCUGAUAUCAAACAACCGCUUCUCACCGGCAAGUUUGAAAUCAAAGUUGAGCUCUUUGAUUGCCCAAUAAGCUUUGUGUUCCAGCUCAAGAGGUAAAUGACAGGCCUUACCGUAAACCAUUUUAUACGGUGACAUGCCCAUGGGAUUCUUAUAAGCAGUCCUAUAAGCCCAUAGUGCAUCAUAAAGUUUGCUAGACCAGUUCUUUCGAGAUCUAUUGACGGUCUUUUGUAAGAUCAACUUGAUCUCCCUAUUACUCAACUCAACUUGACCACUAGACUGAGGAUGAUACGGAGAUGCAACUCUAUGGUUGACAUCAUACUUAGCUAGCAUCUUGCGGAAAACACCAUGAAUGAAGUGUGAACCGCCAUCAGUCAUCAAGUAUCUAGGGACUCCAAAUCUUGGGAAUAUGACUUCUCUAAGCAUCUUAAUAGAGGUGUGGUGAUCAACAUUUUUAGUGGGGAUAGCUUCUACCCACUUAGUAACGUAAUCCACAGCAACUAAGAUGUGAGUGUACCCAUUGGAACUCGGGAAGGGUCCCAUAUAAUCAAAGCCCCAGACAUCAAAUGGUUCAUUGACAAGUGAAUAGUUCAUAGGCAUUUCCUCACGCUUACUGAUUUCCCUAUCCUUUGUCAUUCGUCACAAGACAAUACAAACUUACGUGCAUCCUUGAAGAGAGUGAGCCAAUAGAAACCUGAUUGCAAUACCUUAUGGGCAGUUCUAUCUCCAGCGUGGUGUCCUCUGUAGGCUUCGGAAUUACACUUCUGCAGGAUCUGUCCCUGUUCAUGUUCAGGCACACAACGUUUAAUAACACCAUCUACUCCUUUCUUAUAAAGGUGAGGAUCAUCCCAAAAGUAGUGUCUCAAAUCAAAGAAGAAUUUCUUCUUUUGCAGAUAGGUGAAACUGGGUAGUAUGUAUUUGGCUACGAUAUAGUUUGCAUAAUCGGCAUACCACGGUGCACUAAGUGAAGUGCGGAUGACAUUUAUUUGCUCAUCAGGAAAGCUAUCAUCAAUAGGUAGUGGGUCAUCAAGGACAUUCUCUAGCCUAGACAAGUUAUAUGCUACAGGGUUAUCAGCACCCUUUCGGUCAAUGACGUGCAAAUCAAAUUCCUGUAGCAGAAGAACCCAUCUGAUCAGCCUAGGCUUAGCGUCCUUCUUCUCCAUGAGGUACUUAAUAGCAGCAUGAUCAGAGUGAAUAGUGACUUUGGAGUCAACUAUGUAAGAUCUGAACUUUUCACAUGCAAACACGACUGCUAAAAAUUCCUUCUUCGUAGUGGCAUAGUUUCUUUGGCCACUGUCUAGAAUUUUACUAGCAUAGUGAAUGACAUUCAACUUCUUGUCAACUCUUUGUCCUAGAACAACACCAACAGCGUAAUCACCCUCGUCACUCAUGAUUUCAAAGGGCAAGUUCCAGUCAGGUGGUUGAACAAUAGGUGCGGUUAUCAAAGCCUUCUUAAGUAUUUCGAAAGCUUCCUCACAAUCCUCAUCAAAAACAAAAGGAACAUCCUUCUGCAAGAGGUUGGUAAGAGGCCUAGAAAUCUUAGAGAAGUCUUCAAUAAACCUUCUAUAGAAACCAGCAUGACCUAGGAAACUUCGUAUACCUCUGAUAUCUAUGGGGCAAGGCAUUUUCUCAAUUGCAUCAACCUUAGCCUUAUCAACUUCAAUGCCUCUUUCAAAUAUUUUAUGUCCUAAGACGAUACCUUCAUUAACCAUAAAGUGACACUUCUCCCAAUUCAACAUGAGGUUGGUUUCUUCGCAUCUCUGUAAGACUCGAUCAAGGUUGCUGAGGCAAUCAUCAAAGGAAGACCCGUAAACGGAGAAGUCAUCCUUGAAAACCUCGACAAUCUUUUCACGAAAGUCAGAGAAUAUAGCCAUCAUACAUCUUUGAAAGGUGGCAGGUGCAUUGCAUAAGCCAAAAGGCAUACGUCUAUAGGCAAAGGUACCGAAAGAGCAGGUGAAAGUGGUAUUCUCUUGAUCAGAUUGUGCAACAGGUAUUUGCGAGAAACCUGAAUAACCGUCUAGAAAGCAGAAGUGUGUGUGUUUUUAUAGCCUUUCUAGCAUUUGGUCGAUGAACGGCAAAGGAUAAUGAUCUUUCCUUGUUGCCUUGUUCAGUUUCCGGAAGUCUAUCACCAUUCUAUAGCUGGUAAUAAUCCUUUGUGGGAUUAGUUCAUCCUUAUCAUUAGGAACGACGGUGAUACCUCCUUUCUUAGGUACGCAAUGUACUAGACUUACCCAAUCACUAUGAGCAACAGGAUAAAUGAUUCCUGCUUCCAAAAGCUUUAAUAUUUCUUUUCUAACGACCUCUUUCAUCUUAGGAUUUAAUCUCCUUUCAUGAUCAACAAUUGGUUUAAAGUCAGGAUCGGUUUUAAUCUUGUGUUGACAUAGAGUAGGACUAAUACCCUUAAGAUCAUCAAGAGUAUAUCCAAUAGCAGCGCGGUGCUUCCUCGGAGUUUUUAGUAACUUCUUCUCUUCGCGCUCUGAGAGGAGAGCACUAAUAAUGACAGGACAUAUCUCCUUCUCAUCAAGAUAGGCAUACUUAAGAGUAUCAGGCAACUUUUAAGCUCGAACACAGGAUCACCCUUUGGUGGGGGAGGAUCCCCAAGUAGUUCAACAGGCAGAUUAUUCUUGAGAAUAGGAUAUUGUUCUAAGACAAUUUUAUCUCUCUCAUCUCUCUCCUCCAUAUGCAUAUCAUUUUCAUGCUCAAGCAGAUAUUGCUCUAAAGGAUCCGUAGGAGGUACGGCAAUAGAGGCAAGAGAAAUGAUUUCAUCUCUACCAGAUGACUCUCUUUCAUGGGGAUGUCUUCCAAACUUGGAGAAGAUAAAUUCAUGAGACACACCCUCGAAACUUACUGUGACAGUCUGCUUAAUGCAAUCAUUGUGAGGAUUGACAGUGUUGAGAAAGGGUCUACCAAAUAUGAAGGGACAAAAGCUAUCUUGUGCAGUACCAAGGAUGAGGAAAUCAGUAGGAUACUUCGUCUUACCACAUAGGACUUCUACGUCUCUCACAAUUCCCAGAGGGCAGAUAAUGUCUCUAUUAGCUAGCGUAAUAGUGACAUCAAUGGGUUCUAACUCAGCAGGUGCAAUCUCAUCUUUGAUUUCAUCAUAUAGAGAAUGGGGUAUUGCACUAACACUACCUCCCAUAUCACAUAAACCAUGGUAACAUUGAUCUCCUAUCUUAACAGGAACAACGGGCAGGCCAACUACAGGUCCGUGUUUGUCUUUCGCGUGAGGUUUAGCAAUUCUAGCGGAGUCCUCAUAGAAUUUGAUAACAUGCCCAUCUAUGUCCUCGGCUAAAAGAUCUUUGAUAAUAGCAACAGUAGGUUCAACUCUAAUCUCCUCAGGGGGUGCAAGUGGUCUAAUGUAACCCCUAUGUAUAACAGUUCGAGGUUUAGAAUAAUCCUUUAUCCUAGCAGGGUAUGGUGGUUUCUCAGUGUAAGCACAAGGAACAACAGGAUCACUAAAAGCUAUGAUUUUCUCCUGAACUAGAUUGGUUUUGGCUAUGUUGCUUUCUACAGGAAGAUGAUAUUAAAACCACUUCUCUUUGGGAAUAUCAACAUGAGCAGCAAAAGAUUCACAUAGAGAAGCUACUAUCUUAGAGUCAAGUCCAUACUUAGCGCUAAAAUCUCUAGAAGUGUUUGUCUCAACAAAAGAUUUAACGCAAUCAAACUGGAAAUUCAUACCUGACUCCUUACCUUCCUCCAGCUCCCAAUCUUCAGAGUUGCGUUUGAUUCUCUCCAAUAAACUCCACUUGUCAUUGAUACGUCUCCAACGUAUCUACUUUUCCAAAGUCUUUUGCCCUUGUUUUGGACUAUAAUUUGCAUGAUUUGAAUGGAACUAACCUGGACUGACGCUGUUUUCAGCAGAAUUGCCUUGGUGUUAUUUUUGUGCAGAAAUCAAAGUUCUCCAAACGUCCUGAAAAUUUACGGGGAGCAGUUUUGGAAAAUAUCAAAAAUAUCUGCGCCAAGUUCCACCUCAGGGGGUGGGCCAGUGGGCCACAAGCCCCUGCUCCGCCACCACCCCCUGGUGGCGGUGGGCAGGCUUGUGGGGCCCAUAGGCACAUGCCGCCCCCAACUCCAGCUCUAUAAGUUGUCUUUCGUCCCAGAAAAAAUAAAAAGAGAAGUUUUCGUCGCGUUUUCGAUACGGAGGCGCAGCCACCACCUGUUCUUCAUCCGGAGGGCAGAUCUGGAGUCCGUCUUGGGCUCCGAAGAGGGGAAAUCGUAGCCAUUGUCAUCAUCAACCUUCUUCCCUCUCCAAUUCCAUGAAGCUCUUUGUCGUUCGUGAGUAAUCUAUUCGUAGGCUCGCUGGGCGGUGAUGAGUAGGAUGGGAUCUAUCAUGUAAUCGAGUUAGUUUUGAUGGGGAUUCAUCCCUAGUAUCCACUAUGUUCUGAGAUUUGAUGUUGCUACUACUUUGCCAUGCUUAAUGCUUGUCACUAAGGCCCGAGUGCCAUGAUUUCAGAUCUGAAAUUAUUAUGUUGUCACCAAUAUAUGUGUGUUUUUGAUCCGAUCUUGGAAGUUGUAGUUACCUCCUAUGUGUUAUGAUCCGGCAACCCCGGAGUGACAAUGACCGGAACCACUCCCGGUGAUGACCAUAGUUUGAGGAGUUCAUGUGUUCACCAAGUGCUAAUGCGUUGGUCCGGUUCUUUAUUAAAAGGAGAACAUUAAUAUCCCAUAGUUUCCUUUUGGACCCCGCUGCCACGGGACGGAUGGACAAUAGAUGUCAUGCAAGUUCUUUUCCCUAAGCACGUAUGACGACACACGGAAUGCAUGCCUACAUCACAUUGAUGAACGGAGCUAGCCACAUAUCUCUCCGUGUUAUAGCUGUUGCAUGAUGAAUAUCAUCCAAACAAAUAACCGACCCAUUGCCUACGAGUUUGUCCUGUUGUUGCUACUACUAUCGCUUGCUACUGCUGCUACUUGCUACUGUUGUCACUACUGUUGUUCCUUGCCACUGCUAUUGCUCGUUACACUGCCGUUACUCGUUACUUUGCUGUUACUACAGUGCUUGCAGAUACUAAUCUUUCAGGUGUGGUUGAAUCUGACAAAUUCAGCUGCUAAUACUCGAGAGUAUUCUCUCACCUCCUUUUGGCGAUCUACAAAUUUGGGUCGAAUACUCUACCCUCGAAAACUGUUGCGAACGCACGCGCUGGUGGGCCAUCAACAACAUUCUUCCAGUUUCAUUGUCGUGGAGUGCCAUCAGCAUUCUUCUGGUGCCGUUGCAGGAGAAGGUUUGUUGUCAUAAGCAUUCGUGUAGUUAACGCCAGAGAUUGCGCAGAUCAGCAUUUUUCUGGCGCCGUUGCCGGGGAGGCAUUGCUAUAUUCUUUGAGUCACUUGUGAUUUAUAUCUUCUGAUCACUAUGAAGAAUCUGAAGGAUCCGAAGACCAAAGUCUUUCCCUCAACUACGAGGGGAGGUAAGGAAUUGCCAUCUAGCUCUACACUUGAUUCACCUUCAGUUAUGAGUAAGUUUGCGACAUCACCUCCUGCUAGAAAUCUUGAUAUGUCGCCUGUGCUUGAUGAUGCUUGUGAUACUACUGCUAGAGAUUCUAUGCUUGAUACUAUGCCUGAUGAUACUAUGCAUGAUACUACUAGAGAUGUUAUGCUUGAUACUAUGCCUGAUAUUGCUAUAGAUGCUAUGCCUGAUACUGCUUUGCCUGAUGAUGCUAGAGAUGCUAUUUUUCCUGAUGAUGCUAUGCUUGAUACUGCUAGAGAUACUACUUUGCGUGAUGUUCCACUAGGAGUGUUCCUUGAUGCUCAUAUUGCUAGAGUUACUGCCAAUGCUCGUGAUGCUUCUAAAACUACCGAUACUAUUGAGAUAGAACCUGCUUUUGCUCCUGCUAGAUCUAUCUCUCCUAGAUAUGAAUUGCCUGAUAUACCUGAGGGUUACGUUGUGGAUGGAGAGAUAGUUGAGGAUUUUCUUGCGUGUAAGGAUUCUAUGACGCUGAGAAAUUAAUUCUCAAGUGGAAGGAAAAAUCUCGUGAAGCUAGGAUGAAAAAUGACCCGAAGUUGGCCACUUCGGCUAUCUUUGUCACCGAUAAGGAUUAUGAAUUCUCUGUCGACCCUCAGAUAAUCUCUCUAGUCGAAUCUGAUCCUUUUCACGGUUAUGAGUCUGAGACGGUCAUAGCCCAUCUUGCCAAACUAUCCAAAAUAUCCAACCUUUUCACUAAUGAGGAGAAGAUCCGCCACUACUAUAUCCUUAAGUUGUUUCCUUUCUCUCUAAAGGAUGACGCUAAAGCCUGGUUCACCUCUCUUGCUCCUGGAUGUGUGCGUAGUCCCCAGGAUAUGGUCUAUUACUUCUGUGAGAAAUAUUUCCCUGCCCAUAAGAAGCAAGCUGCCUUGCAGGAAAUAUACAACUUUGCUCAACUCCAAGAAGAGAGUCUUCCACAAGCUUGGGGGAGGCUCGUCCAGCUACAGAAUGCUUUGCCUGAUCACCCUCUUAAGAAGAACGAGAUACUUGAUAUCCUCUAUAACGGACUUACCGAUGCCUCUAGAGACCACCUAGAUAGUUGUGUUGGUUGUGUUUUUAGGGAACGGACUGUAGAACAAGCUGAGACCCUACUGAAUAACCUCUUGAUCAACGAUAAUGCUUGGACUAUUCCUGAACCACCUCCUAAGCCAACUCCUAAGAAAAGUGGUAUUCUAUUCCUCAGUCCCGAAGAUAUGCAAGAAGCCAAGAAAUCUAUGCAAGAGAAAGGCAUUAGAGCUGAAGAUGUCAAAAAUCUACCACCUAUCAAAGAGAUCCAUGGUCUCGAUAACCCGAUAGAGGUAGUAGAAGUGAAUUAUCUGCAUAGGUUUUAUGAGAGUGAUAUUCCUUUUGAUAAACCUGCUAGCCUAUGCUUUGAUGAAUUUGACAACUUUGUUGCCAAACAACAAAGUUUCAAUGAUUAUGUUAGCAGACAUUUGGAACAAAGUACUCGUAUGCUUAGCCAUUUAAGUGCUUGUGUAGACAGAAAUGUCAAUGCUCUGAAGCUUCUGAGUAAACAUGCCUCUAUGAUUACUACUCAGGUAGAACAAGUACUUAAAGCUCAGAAUGACCUGCUCAAUGAAUUAAAUGACAAGUUUGGCGGAAUCAUUACUAGAGGAGGCAAAAUGACUCAGGAACCUUUGUAUCCUAAAGGUCAUCCUAAGAGAAUUGAUCAAGAUUCUCAAGGAAUCAAUGCUGAUACACUGAGUCAUCCUAAGGAGAAGAAGAAGGAUGAUAGAAACCUGCAUGCCAGUUCACCAAAUACUGUCACACCUGAAGAACCUAAUGAUAUUUCUACGUCUGAUGCAGAAACACAAUCUGGUGAUGAACAUGAACGUGGUGACAAUAUGGACAAUGAUGUUCGUAAUAAUGCUCAACCUAGCCAUGAUGAGGAUGUGGAGAUUGAACCUAUGGUUAAUCCUGAUAAUCCACAACCUAAGAGAUACGAUAAGAAUGACUUCACUACAACGAAGCAUGGUAAAGAAAGAGAGCCAUGGGUUCAGAGACCUAUGCCCUUUCCUCCAAAGCCAUCCAAGAAAAAGAAUGAUGAGGAUUUUGAGCGCUUCGUUGAGAUGAUAAGACAUGUCUUUCUGCGGAUGCGGUUAACUGAUAUGCUCAAGAUGUCUCCGUAUGUCAUGUACAUGAAAGAUAUCGUGACUAAUAAACGGAAGAUACCAGAUCUUGAGAUCUCCACCAUGCUUGCCAAUUAUACUUUCAAAGGUGGAACUCCUAAGAAACUUGGUGAUCCCGGAGUGCCCACCAUACCUUGCUCCAUUAAAGGAAACUACGUAAGAACUGCCUUAUGUGACCUUGGAGUCGGUGUUAGUGUUAUGCCGCUCUCUCUUUAUUGUAGACUUGGAUUAGAUAAGUUGACACCCACUGAAAUUUCUCUGCAAAUGGCCGACAAAUCAACUGCUUUCCCUAUCGGCAUUUGCGAGGAUGUGCCUGUUGUGGUUGCUAAUACCACUAUCUUAACAGACUUUGUUAUCUUGGAUAUCCCCGAGGACGAUGUCAUGGCUAUUAUCCUUGGAAGACCCUUUUUAAACACUGCAGGGGCUGUUAUAGAUUGUAACAAAGGCAAUGUCACUUUCCAUGUCAACGGUAAUGAGCACACCGUGCACUUUCCGAAGAAAUGAUAUCGAGUACAUUGCAUCAAUGCUAUCGAAAAGACUUCAUCGAUUCUUAUUGGGAGCUUUGAAUGCCCUAUUCCUCGUGUCAAGAUGAAGUAUGAUUUUGUUUUUGGGGAGAUACAUAUCCCCAUUGAGGUGACUUAGUGGUUAUUUGAAAAUUCUCCGUUCUCUCUUGCGAUUCGAGAAGGUUUUGUCAUAAGGAUUUGAUCAACCCCAUUGACGAAUUUCUUCCGAUGACCAUGAAACGGAUGAAUUAAAGAGUCACAUACCUCUGUUUUGAGUCUUCAUUUUCUGUUGCUUAGAAGAAAAAUGAUAGAAUUAGUUUAGCUUUUCCUGUUUUCUGUUUUAGCGUCCCGGAGAAAAAUACCUCGAAAUAAAAGUUCUCCGAUGGUCCUGUAAAUUUAGUAUGAUUUUUUCUGGAAUUUUUGAUAAUUUCUGGGCCUGAGAGCUGGUCAGGGGGCCUGUCCAGUGGGCCACAAGCCCCUCCCCCACCGCCACCUACCCCCCUAUUGGCAGGGUGCAAGCUUGUGGGGGCCAUAGGCAUCCCCUCCACUCAUUCCAGCUCCGAGCCUCUUCUUCCACCUCCAGAAAAAAUUGUUUCGCAGCUCAAACCCGUGUUCUUGCUCAUUUGGCUGUGAUUUUCAAUCUCCUUGCUCAAAGCACCAUUCUCCAAACCGUUUUGGGGAAAUUUCUCCUUGGUAAGUGACUCCUCCAUUGGUCCAAUUAGUUUUUUCUCUAGUGCUUUAUCCUUCGCGUAUUCUUGCUACCUUGGUGACCCAGUUCUUCAGCUAGAAAUGUUGAUUUUAGCCGGUCCCAUGUAGUUUUAGCGCGUGAUACGGUCUCUAGGCACUAGUAAGAGUAGUUGCUACAAGUUGGGUUGAUCCUUGUUCACUUCUCUUUCGAAGUCUCUAAAAAUUUAAGAAUUUUGCAGAGCUAGAAAAAGGAAAAGAUGAGGAGGUUCUUGAGAGGCUCUUCAAGUCGUAACCACAAGGAGGAUGAGAAGAACCACCCCAAGUACGCAGUCCCUCGAGUCACAGAAGUUCGAGCGUGCGAGUGGCCAAGUGAUGAAUUUUUGCGAGCCAUCGGACUUUAUGAAGACUUGGUGGAGAAUGCAGGUCUUACUGCAUUCGUUGAAGAUAAGUGCCUACAAUAUCUCCUCCUCACCAAUAUUUUCGUCCAAAGCUUCAACUUUUAUCCGAGAAAGAAUCCUCCCAUGGUUGAGUUCAUGAUUUACGAUGUCCCCCGGUGCAUGACGUUGCAUGACUUUUGCAAUGUAUGCAAAUUACCUUAUGUUGGGAAUAUCCGUGACCCUCGUCCACGGGACUUGGAGGAUUUCAUUGGUUCUAUUGCUGUUGGAGAGGAGAGAGGAGUGUCUCGCGCUAGAAUUGCUAGCAUACAUUUUCCUGUGCUUCGGUACUUCUCACUAUUUGUGGGAAAAUGUUUGAUUGGCCGUGGGGAGGCUGGAUCACUUAGUUCUCCAGACCUUGCUGUUUUGCACGAAGGCCUUUAUAACGAUAAGACUUAUAGCUUGGGCGCUAUAGUAGCUCAACGGUUAAACUUGAACCGUUCCAAGGGUGUUGUCUAUGGAGAUAUCUAUGCUACCCUUCUUGCCAGACACUUUGAGAUACUGAUUAGACUGGGAGAGGAAGGAGAGAUGCUUCUCCCUAAGAGAUAUCUGGAUUAUGACAGCAUGGUUCGCCAUGAUUUUCUGGAUAGAGAUGCUAGUAGACGGAUGAUUUAUAACCUGGUGUUUAGUCAGGGUACUCGAGAGACUAUUACUUUGCGUGCUCCUUCUUUGUUUGAUCUUCAUGCAGGCAGGUGCACUAUUAUGCCCGCGGACAUCUACGCAUAUUGGGGCUUGGCCCAACCACAGGCGCCCGUGCCCGAGCCGCCAGUCGAGUACCAGACGCCAGUUUAUCAGUGGGAGCCAGAGGAGCUCACAAAGCAGUGGCAUCCACAGUCUGCUCCAGAGUAUCCUGCAGCUGGUUAUUUCCCACCAUGGGAGUAGACCAAGCUAGGCCAAAAGCCUAAGCUUGGGGGAGUACGUGUUCUCACCGACUUUACACUCAUGCUUAUGCUUUCACUUUGUUAGCCGGUGUUUACACUUUGCCACUGUAUUAUCCAUGCUAGUUUAUCUUUGUUUUCUUGUUUUCUUGUUUUGUGUCGUUUUGAGAAAACCGAAAAAGAUUUUCCUUUCUUCUUUUGCUUGUUGGGAGCUUUCCCAUGUAAAUAGUUUUCUUUUUCUUUGUGUCAAGGUAGAAGAUAUUGGUUACAAUGUUUAUUGGUUCUUACAUGCUUACCUAUUUAGCUUUCAAAGAGCCAUAUUAUUUUGUCUUCUCCUUUGUGUUUGCCUGCACAUUCAGCUUAGUCCAAUUCGCUUAUUAUCAUUUUCAUCGUUCGAUCGUGCAAAUGAAAGGCAACAAUGAUGAUAUAUGAUGAAGUGACUGAGACAGAAAAGCUGGUAUGAACUCUAUCUAUUUUGUUUUUGUAAUUAUGACUAUCUUGUCGACCCAGAUUUAGCUUUGUUGUGAGAGAACCAAGUUUGCAAUGACAACUUAGAGAUCAUAGUUUCUGAUGCCAUGCUUAUUUAGCAAAGAGCUUAUAAUGGUUUGUCUUGAUUGCCAACAUAGAUUUUGAGAUGACUAUGAUGUAGCAUGCUAGGAUGGUAUUCUCCUUUGAAUGUUUCAAGUGGAUUGACUUGGCACAUGUUCAUGCAUGUAGUUGAAACAAAAUCAACAUCGCCUCUAUGAUGUUCGUGUUCAUGGUGAUUUAUAUCCUGUUCAUGCUUGCAUUUAAUGUUAGUCAAACUCAUUGCAUCUUGAUGACUGUUGUCGCUCUCUAGUUGGUCGCUUCCCUGUCUUUUGCUAGCCUUCGCUUAUACUAAGCGGGAAUACUGCUUGUGCAUCCACUUCCAUAAACCCAAAAGUUUUUCCAUGAGAGUCCACCAUACCUACCUAUUUGCAGUAUCUACCUUCCGUUCCAAGUAAAUUUGCAUGUGCCACUCUCUAAACCUUCAAGAAAUAAAUCUGUUUUGCAUGCCCGAACCGCUCAUGUCGUGACAGAGGGCUAUUUGUAUCUUCCAUGCUAGGAGUGUUAUCCUCGACAUGUGUUUAUUCACAGUCAUUCACAAGAAAGGGGCCGGUAUUUGGGAUGCCCAGUUCCAUGCUUACAUCGAAAACAUAAUUGUAAAACAAGACUCCCCCCAUAUUGAUGUUAGUAUGGACGGUACCCGAGGAUUCGGCUAGCCGUGGAGUGUGAUUGAUUGGUGGUGCAGGAGUUAAAACUUUACUUUUCUGUUUGGGAACCACCUAUAGCAUGAGUAGCAUGGAAGAUAUUGAGAACUCUUGGUCAUUGCGUUGACAAUGAAAGCAUGCCACCCAAAAUUAUUAUCUUUGUUUCGAAAGCUUGAGCUCUGGCACCUCUGCAAAUCAAUGCUUCCCUCUGCGAAGGGCCUGUCGAGUCAUCCUCCUCUUAUAUAAGCCCCAAUUAGAGAGCACCUCUGUCAUUUUUAUGCUUUGUUUUGAUUGAUAUUGAGUAUGACUAUGACUGGAUCUUCGUUGCUACAAAUUACAAUGUUUAGUCAGCCCUUGAUCUUUGAAAGUGCUCUGCAUUUAUGUUUUGCGGUCUCAGAAAGAGCUAGCGAGACACCAGCUAUUCAUAUUGCUUCAUGCUUGUUUUGAUUGAAGUGUUGUUAUUUGAAACUCAUAAUUAUUUGCUCGUUAGCUGAUUAUGCCAUUGAUAUUAGUUUACCGUGAGACCUUUGUGUCAUUUGCUUAUGUGGUUAACUUGUGAUCUUGCUGAAAUUCUGGUUAUGAGUCAGACAUAGUUGCAACAACAAGAUCAAACAGAGUUUGUCAAAGUUUUUCUUUCUCUCUCAGUUUGUCAACUGAGUUGCUUGAGGACAAGCAAGGUUUUAAGCUUGGGGGAGUUGAUACGUCUCCAAUGUAUCUACUUUUCCAAACUCUUUUGCCCUUGUUUUGGACUAUAAUGUGCAUGAUUUGAAUGGAACUAACCUCGACUGACGCUGUUUUCAGCAGAAUUGCCUUGGUGUUAUUUUUGUGCAUAAAUCAAAGUUCUCCAAACAUCCUCAAAAUUUACGGGGAGCAGUUUUGGAAAAUAUCAAAAAUAUCUGCGCCAAGUUCCACCUCAGGGGGUGGGCCAGUGGGCCACAAGCCCCUGCUCCGCCACCACCCCCCUGGUGGCGGUGGGCAGGCUUGUGGGGCCCACAGGCACCUACCGCCCCCAAAUCCAGCUGUAUAAGUUGUCUUUUGUCCCAGAAAAAAUCAAAAGAGAAGUUUUCAUCGCGUUUUCGAUACGGAGGCGCCGCCACCACCUGUUCUUCAUCUGGAGGGCAGAUCUGGAGUCUGUCUUGGGCUCCGGAGAGGGGAAAUCAUCGCCAUUGUCAUCAUCAACCUUCUUCCUCUCCAAUUCCAUGAAGCUCUUCGUCGUUCGUGAGUAAUCUAUUCGUAGGCUCGCUCGGCGGUGAUGAGUAGGAUGAGAUCUAUCAUGUAAUCGAGUUAGUUUUGAUGGGGAUUGGUCCCUAGUAUCCACUAUCUUCUGAGAUUUGAUGUUGCUACUACUUUGCCAUGCUUAAUGCUUGUCACUAGGUGUUGGGGCAUAGUUUAUGCCUAAGUAAUUUUGGUGAUUGAUGACAGUACCACAAAGGACUAACCGUGUGUAUUAAGAUUUCAGAUAACACACGUCAACGGAACAAGACGAGUCGCCCCCUCUUUCGUGGAACAGAAGCACGGUGUUCCCUACGAUUCUCUUUAUUUGAGUCAUAGGAAAGCCGUACUAUUAAGAGGGGAACCGUAGUGGAAAGUUUUGGGUGGAAUCAAUCUUGCACGCGCACACUUCACAUAUUUUCCCCCUUGCCGGCAACUUUGGAGUGGCUCCCGCCGUACUGUUUCCUUCAUCUUUGCAAAGGGUCCCCGAGCGGUAGUACCGCUGGGCCUAGCGGUAGUACCGCUAGCGUGCUAGCGGUAGUACCGCCCCUGGUCAACGGUAGUACCGCUCCAGGAGCUUAGUACCGCCUGCCUAGCGGUUGUACGUGGACGGACCUUUUUGCGAAGACUUUCUUGGCGGUGGUAGUGCUUAUACACUACCACGGGCCCAGCGGUAGUACCGCUGAAGCGAGCGGUAGUACCGCUGGAGUGCCAGCGCUAGUACCGUUGCAUCCAGCGGUAGUACCGCUAGGCACGGGCUGUGAGUGGGAAAACAGUUGGAUUUUUCCCCCACUAUGUAAAGGGUUCUUCUAGCUGUGGAACCCUAUCUCUUACCCUCCCAAGCUCCAUUGUUGCUCCCUAAGCUCAAAAGUGCCCGAUCUCUCUCCCUAGCCAAUCAAACUUGUUGAUUCUUUAGGGAUUGGUUGAGAAGGCCUAGAUCCACACUUCCACCAAGAGAAAAGUUGAUUCCCCCACCAAUCCCUUGCGGAUCUUGUUACUCUUGGGUGCUUGAGCAUCCUAGAUGGUUGAGGUCACCUUGAAGCCACAUUCCAUUGUGGUGAAGCUUCGUGGUCUUGUUGGGAGCCUCCAAGCUUUGUGUGGAGUUUGCCCCAACCUUGUUUGUAAAGGUUCGGUCGCCGCCUUCAAGGGCACCUAUAGUGGAAUCACGGUACCUUGCAUCGUGCGAGGGCGUGAGGAGAAUACGGUGGCCUUAGUGGCUUAUUGGGGAGCAUUGUGCCUCCACACCGCUUCAACGGAGACGUACUUCCUGUCAAAGGGAAGGAACUUCGGUAACACAUCCUCGUCUUCAUUGGUUCCACUUGUGGUUAUCUCUAACCUUUACUUUGUGUAAGCUUAUGUUGUUGUCUUUCCCUUACUUGUCUUAGUAGCUACCGUUGCUAGUUUCAUUACGGUUCACCCCAUUGUUGUCAUAUUUGUGAACCCGUAUGUUGUUUACCCUAUCUUGCUAAGAUUAAUUAAAAAGUGGUCGUUGCCUAUUCAAACCCCCCCCCCUCUAGUCAACCAUAUUGAUCCUUUCAAUUGGUAUCAGGGCCACGUCUCUUUAUUAAGGGUUUCACCACCCGAAGAGUAUGGAAGGCGAAGAGGGAAUUAACCAUGGGCAACCCGAGGCCAUGGACUUGACUACGGUCACAAGGGACGACUUGAAUACGGCUAUGGCCGCCUUCAAGACGUCCUUGAUGAACGAAGUCAAGACCAUGCUUAAAGAGUUAAUUGAGGGAUUUAAAAGUCGACCCGAACCGGCAUUAGUGGUUAAACCCACCAACACCGAUUCGGAGGCUAAUUCCUCUAAGGAAGCGGCUAAAGGUAUGCGACCUUCCUCAUCUCACGAAAAGGAUGGGACUGGAACAUAUGCCUCAGUUCCACCCCCAUGGUCUAUGGAGGAUCCGUUCCCGCACCGCGUCUUAAUCCUGUUGGUCCUCCUCCUAAGCUUGUGAAAGGUGACUUUGCUAACUGGGUAUUUUCUAUUAAGUCUCAUUUGAAUCACAGCUCAACCAACUUGUGGAGAAUCAUCGAGCAAGGAUAUUAUCCCCAUGACCCAAGCAACCUCACUCCAAGAGAAGAUGCAGACAAUCAAUACAAUCACUCCGCCUUGUUUAUUCUCCAGUCUGCAGUGCCACCUGAAGAUCUUCCUCACAUGCGUCCCUUCACUUUGGCCAAAGAUUGUUGGGAGCAUAUUAUGGUGUUGUACAAGGGAAGCUCAAGCAUUCAACGAUCCAACUAUGAAGUGAUCCUUGAUAAGGCCGAUGAGUUUGUGAUGAAGGAAGACGAGGACCCUCGUGAUCUCUAUCGGAGGGUGACUUCUAUUGUUGUGGCACUCAAGGAUCAUGGGAGCAAGGAUGUGGAUGAUACAUGGGUCAAGCGCAAGUUUCUCAAAGCCAUCAUGCCUUUCAACAAAGCCAUGUCAUCUGUCAUUCGUUAGCGGCCAGACUUCCACUCCUUGUCUUCCAGUGAGGUGUUGGAUGAAUUCAUUGCAAUGUCAAUCAUGAACGAAACAGCCGACAAUGCACUUGCUCGUGUUCGCUCAAAGACAACUUCACCCAACCUUGCACUAAAAGCAAAAGCAAUGUUUGAAGAAGAAGAAGAGGAUGAGGAAGAGGAGAGUUGCCCUGAAGACACAAAGUAUGCCUAUCAUGAGCACAUGGCUCUUGCGUCAAGGCAAUUCUGGGGCAACAAGAGGAACUCAAGACCCACCUUCACCAAGAACAACUCGAGUGGUUUCAAACCCAAGCAACGAGUGAGGACAUGUUAUAACUGUGGUAACGUGAGCCACUUCGUGGCCGAAUGUCCCUAUGAAAAAAGGGAAGACAACGGGGGCAAGCUCAUUCGCAAAGACAAAACCAAAUCAUUUCCAAUCAAGAACAACUUUGUGAAGAAACCCCACCCAAAAGGGAUGGUGGCCCUUGAAGAGUACCCUUCCGAUGAUGAUGAUGAUGAUGCAGUGGCAACGGCAACUGUUGCUAUUGCCACUACCUCUCCCCAGAAGGUGUCUCUCUUCAACGCGCCCAACGAGAACCACAUCACCAAGUGCCUCAUGGCAAAAGGUAUCAAUCAGGUAACUCCCAUCAUUAAGACCAACAUCGCUACUGCUCCUUCAUUGUUAAAUUGUGUUGAUGAUAGUGAUGUUGGGGAACUUAAUGAGCAUGAUCUUGACAAGUUUCUGUGCACUAUUAAGGGAGAAUCCAAGAAGCACUUUGUUGCUCUCUGGAACAAUUGGGUGAGGCCACUGACCUCAUUGAGUCUCAUGAGGAGACCAUCUCUCAGCUUCAGGGACACAGUCGUGACUAUGCUGAUGAAAUUGCUGAAUUAUCUAUUGCUCUAGAAAAGGAGCGCACUCUUCGUUUGGCUCUUGAGGAGUCAUAUAACGAUGACUGCGCUAAAAUGCAAAAGAAACUUAAUCAUGAUGUCAUUCUUACUCGUAUGCUUAAGUCUGAAAAGUAUGCUCUUGGGGUUGGCCAUGACAGACUCAAAGUGGAGUUUGACACACUUGACAAGGCCCACAAGGUCUUGAAAGGUGUUCAUUUCUCUCUAAAAGAGUCUCAUGAUCAACUCCAAGCAAAGCUUACCAAGGAGAUCUCUACUUGUCCUCCCUUUGUGUUAAUUAAUAAUGCUUGUGCAACUAAUCCCUGUUGUGAUCAUGUACAUCUUGUGGAGGAAAAUGCCAAGUUAAAGGAGAAACUUGAGAAGGGCCUUGUGGCAUGCAUACAAGGUGAGAAGAGCCUGAACGAUCUCUUGAGCACUCAAAAAGGUGUUGUAGGGAAGGAGGGACUUGGACUUACCUCCAAGUCAAAAGGUAAAAGGAGAAACAGGAACAAACGAUCUCCUACCCUCAUGGACAUGUUUGUCAAAGAGGGUGAGGGGACUCAGAAGGUGAACAGGAACAAGAUGGACUAUGGAAACCACAACAAGGGCAACACCAUUCCUACUAACACAGCCGACCAACUCAAUUCUUCUUAUGUCUUAUGUCGUGCUAGUGAUGGGCAUGUUUAUGCCAGAUUUGUUGGUUCCUACGAUGAGUACAUUGAAUGGGCUAUCUGGGUUCCUAAGACCCUUGUCUCUAACAUGAAAGGACCCAUUAAAAAAUCGGUACCUAAAGCCAAGCCUUGAUCUAUUGCAGGAGUUUGCUUCCGGUGGGGUGUGAUGGUUUCUCGAUAGUGGAGCAACAAAUCAUAUGACCGGAAGCAAGGACUUAGUGGUGGAUGUGCAUCCUUCUCCAUCUAUGCCCACCCAUGUCCAAUUCGCCGAUGCAUCCUCGUCAAAGGUAUUGGGAUUUGGUAAGGUGGUCGUCUCUCAAGAUUUAUCUAUUGAGAAGGUCAUGCUUGUUGAGUCACUUGCCUACAAUUUACUUUCGGUUCGUCAACUUGCAAUUGUGGGUUUUCUACAUUCUUUAAUUUUGAUAUUGUGGUCUUCCUGUGGAGCAAGACUCUUAAAGUAGCCUAUGUUGGAUAUGUCAAAAAUGGUCUUUAUGUGGUGAACUUCUCAAAGCGACCCACUAAGACCGCGACGUGUUUAAUGGCUAAAGUUGAUGUGGGCUGGCUUUGGCAUCGCCGUUUAGCUCAUGUCAAUAUGAGAUCUUUGCAAAGUCUUCUAACAGGGGACCAUAUCCGUGGACUAACAAAUGUGAGUUUUGCUAAAGAUAGUGUUUGCAGUGCCUGCAUUGAAGGAAAGAUUCAUGAAACUGCUCAUCGUCCAACGACUCUCAUCUACACUAAGAGGCCAUUGGAGCUCCUCCAUAUGGAUCUGUUUGGCCCUCCAUCAUUUGAUAGUCUUGGAGGCAGAAAGUACUGCUUGGUGAUUGUUGACGACUACUCAAGAUACACCUGGGUAUAUUUCGUCAAAAGGAAGAGUGAAAAUCAACAAACUGUAACUUUGCUAAUGAAGAUCAACGUCAACAUGAAGCAAAGAUCUUGAUGAUUAGAAGUGACAACGACACCGAGUUCAAGAACUACAGCUUGGAUGAGUUUCUAGGUGAUGAGGGAAUAAAACAUCAAUAUUCAGCACCAUAUACCCCUCAACAAAACGGCAUGGCAGAAAGGAAGAACCGGACCUUGAUAGACGCUACAAGAACAAUGAUGGUGGAAUUCAAAUCUCCAUCUAACUUUUGGGCAGAGGCCAUCAACAUAGCAUGUCAUCCGUCCAAUCGGCUCUAUAUCCGCAAAGUCUUGAACAAGACUCCUUAUGAGAUUCUAACUAGAAACAAACCCAAUCUCAAGUACUUCCGGGUAUUCGGUUGUAAGUGUUUCAUUCUCAAGAAAGGUGCACGUUUAGUGAAAUUUGAUUCUAGAUCUCAUGAGGGCAUCUUUGUUGCUUAUGCUACAAACUCUCAUGCUUACCGAGUCCUCAACAAGUCCACUGGACUCAUUGAGGAGACGUGUAACAUGGAGUUUGAUGAAAAUAAUGGCUCCCAAGUGGAGCAAAGUGGUCUUUGUGAUAUAGGUGAUGAAAUUCCUCCCCAAGCCAUAAGAAGAAUGGGGAUUGGUCAAAUACUCCCCAUUGAGGAACCCCUUGUGGCCGAAGGAGAAGGACAAUGCUCUACUCAAGUGGAGCCAUCACCUCCACAAGCCCCACACGCUUCCGAUGAACAAAGAGAAGUCUCUCAACAAAAUGAACAAGCUCAAGGUCAAGAUAAAUUGCCCAACAACGAUGAUGUGUCUCAUGAUAUUCAAGCACUCACCCAAGACUCCGAACCGGCUCAUGAUCAAGAUCAAGUGCAACCACGAGAUCCAGACCAAGUAGAAGCACAAGAUCUAGAUCAAGAGCAACCACAAAUACAAGAUCAAACUAGUGAACCUGCUCAAGUCAAAAGUCAAGAUGAUCAGGAUACUGUCUUACAAUUCCCUUCCGCAGCACCAACAGCCGGUGCCAAGGGAGGCUCAAGACGCAAGGGCAAGCAAAGUAAACAAGUCGAUGCUCCCCCGCUAUCCAAUGAAGAAAUCUUGGAGCGUCGAGAAGCCAAGAUUGCGAACAAGCUGAGAGUCAAGUCACAUCUUAUGAAGAAUGUACUUGGCAGUUUAAAAAGGGGAGUAUCCACCCGUCAACAGAUUUGGAAUUAUUGUGAGCAUCGCGCGUUUGUUUCGUAUUGUGAACCUCAACAGGUACAGGAAGCGCUUGAUGAUGAGGAUUGGCUUAUGGCCAUGCAUGAAGAACUUAACAACUUCGAGCGCAACCAAGUGUAGGAUUUAGUGCCAAGGCCAACGGAGGAACAUAAUGUCAUCGGGACCAAAUGGAUAUUCAAGAACAAGCAAGAUGCCAAUGGGAUUGUGAUUCAAAACAAGGCAAGAUUGGUGGCUCAAGGCUACUCCCAAGUCGACGGUAUCGACUACGGUGAAACCUUUGCCCCUGUUGCUCAUCUAGAAUCUAUUCGCAUGUUGCUUGCAUUUGCUUCUCAUCAUAACUUCAAAUUACAACAAAUGGAUGUGAAAAGUGCCUUUCUUAAUGGUCCUUUAAAUGAGUUGGUCUAUGUCAAACAACCCCUGGGAUUUGAACAUCCCAAGCUCCCCAAUCAUGUGUACAAACUUAAUAAGGCACUGUAUGGCCUUAAACAAGCCCCACGUGCAUGGUAUGAGUAUCUUACUGAGUUGUUACAAGAUAGUGGGUUUGAAAUUGGGAAGAUAGAUCCCACUCUUUUUACUAAGAGGGUUAAAUGGGAUUUGUUCAUAUGCCAACUAUAUGUUGAUGAUAUUAUCUUUGGCUCUCCUAACAUUUCCUUCAAUGAAGAAUUUGCUGCACUGAUGACUGAGAAAUUUGAGAUGUCCAUGAUGGGAGAGUUGAAGUUCUUCCUCGGGUUUGAGAUUAAACAAGGCCUAGAAGGGACCUUCAUCAAAAAAGCCAAGUACACUCAAGACAUGCUUAAACGGUUCGAUCUUGAAGAUGUAAAACCGGUCAAGUUCCCCAUGCCAACAAGAUGCAAGCUUGACAGUGAUCCCAAUGGUAAAGCAGUGGAUCAAAAGGUAUAUCGCUCCAUGAUUGGAUCCCUCCUUUACCUUUGUGCAUCUAGACCGGAUAUUAUGUUGAGUGUAGGGAUAUGUGCACGGUUUCAAUCCGCACCAAAAGAAAGUCCUUAUAUGGCUGUUAAGCGAAUCUUUCGAUAUUUGGCUCAUACCCCAAACUUUGGCCUUUGGUAUCCCAAAGGAGCAAACUUCAAUCUAGUUGGCUAUUCUGACUCAGAUUGGGUAGGAGAUUGUGUGGAGAGGAUGUCAACUUCUGGAGGAUGCCAAUUCCUUGGUCGCUCAUUGGUAAGUUGGUCUUCAAAGAAGCAGAAUUGCAUCUCUCUAUCAUCCCCCGAAGCUGAGUAUGUGGCAACUGCAAGUUGUUGUGCACAAAUGCUAUGGAUGAGGCAAACUUUAAAGGAUUACGGUGUCACUUGUGACAAAGUGCCUCUUCUAUGUGACAAUCAAAGUGCUAUCAAGAUUUCCCUCAAUCGAGUGCAACAUAGCAAAACCAAGCAUAUUGAUAUUCGCCAUCACUUCAUUCGUGAACAUAUCAAGCUAGGUGAUAUUGAGGUUCAUUUCAUCCACACUAAAGAGCAACUUGCAGAUAUUUUCACUAAGCCCCUAGAUGAAGCAAGGUUCCGGGAGUUAAGGCAUGAGCUAAAUAUCAUUGAUUCAAGUAAUGUGGAUUGAAGCUAGGCACGUUGCACCUCACUAUGCAUUCUAUCUUGUUCUAGAUGUAGGCAUGGACAUAGGGGGAGUGUUGUUCUCUCAAUGAACUUUUCCUCCCCCCAUUAUGCAUAAAUCGAUCUAGUCUUUCACUUUAGCCAUUGUCAAAUGGCACUUUUGCUUCAAAGACGAGAAUUGGUCAUGAACCCAAGGAUAAUUCUUCAGGUGUCAUACUUUUGCCUCAAACAUAGGUGGCCUCGGCCACCGCCCCCCCCCCACCUUUCUCUCAUAUAGAAGGAAGGAUAUAAAAUGACAAGUUAGUAUAUCUUGCUGGUGCUAUCUUCUUUUUCACUCACUCGUCAUUUGCCCAUGUUCUUCUGUUAUUCUAGGCCCCGUGGUAACAUUGGCAGCGGUACUACCGCCAGGGGUAGCGGUAGUACCGCCAGGACCCCAGCGGUAGUACCGCCAGGGGUAGCGGUACUACCGCCAGGACCCCAGCGGUACUACCGCCAGGGAUACCGGUACUACCGCCAGGAUCCCAAUCUACCACGACCUAACUAGGACAUUUUUAGGGGUGUCUCAGGGGGAGCGGUACUACCGCCAGGACCCCAGCGAUACUACCGCUGCAGCCAGCGGUACUACCGCCAGGUAGCGGUACUACCACCAGGACCACAGCGGUACUACCACUGGCCCGUACCCUUGGGCUAUAUAAAGGAGGGGGAGCCCGUUUUUCUGCCUCCUUCAUCUUCCUCGCGGCUCCUCCCUCCCCAACCUCGAACUCCCCCGAUUUCGAUCUCUAUUCGUGGAGCCCCUUCUCUCCAUUGAGUUGGAGGGUUUGCUCCACUUCUCCUUCCUCCUCCAAGUGCCAUUGAUCCUGGUAAAGCUCCUCCCCUUCUUCUCUUGAUUGUUGUUCUUGUUCUAGGGUUAGGAGCAUUGGUGAUUUGGAUCCAUGUCUUUGAUAUUGUGCCUUGUUCUUGGAUGGCAUGAAGGAGAUGUUCAAGGGGAGUGUAGGUCCUAUGAAUCUGUGCUUUUAUUUUGCCAUGCCCUAGGAUUUACAUGUUUUAGAUCAAGCACUUGGACUAUGUUUGGAUUAGAUCUAAAACUUGCUCUCUCUUGACUAGGCAUGUGCUUAUUUAGAUGGUACUUGUGACCCUCAUGAGAUUAGGGCUAUGUUGCAGUUCUUAGUGUUCAUACACAGCCCAUAGCCCUCGUCAAAUCCAUGUAGCCAUCUCUAUGGGUUCCAUUCAUAUUUCCGAUCUGGAAAAUCAAACCCCAGCGGUACUACCGCCAGGGUAGCAUUACUACCGCCAGGACCCCGGCGUUACUACCGCCAGGGGUAGCGGUACUACCGCCAGGACCCCGGCGGUACUACCGCCAGGAGGAUCCUCUGUGUAUUCUUUUCAUGUGCUUGGCAAUGUGUGUUUAUUUUUCUUCCUUCUCUUGUUCAUUGCCUUGACUCCUUUUGUCGCUCUUUUUCGGUGUGUGUUUUGUGUCAUAGGUGGUGCUCGCCGCUCAAACCCCCCACGGGACAUGCAGUCAAAGCAUUAUCGCAACCCAGAGGCUCUAGAGGGCUCCGCCACUUCAGGUCUACAACCCAAAAAGCAGGCCUUCAAGAAGACCUCUCACAAGGACAAGGGGCUCAACGUUCGCACCAUGCCCCCUAAGUAUUUUCUGCGGUUCCGCACCCAAAACCACUAUCUCCAAGAGCGGGCUGUGAUCAAGAAUGUCGAGCAUGUGUGGACAAGGGAUCACUGCAGGAUCUACCGUGAUAUCAUCAACCAUUUCAACAAGAACUUUGUCCCUGUUCAGUGGAUUGACCUGGCUCACCUUUAGCGGAACUUGGACUACUUUGGUGAUGCUCUCUCUCUGAUUGACAAACUGGGCAUCAAGGAGAUCAUCUCUUUCAAGACAGACUUUGACCCCAAUGUUGUUGCCCAGUUCUAUGUCACGGUUCACUUCUCUCCUGAUGACGAGCGCUCCAUGGUGUGGAUGACUGGGACUCAAAAGAUGACCGGUUCCUAGCGUGAAUUCAUGGCAUUCCUCAAGGUUGAUUUCCAGGGAGCUGACACUCCACUUGGGUUGCGUCCUCAUGCUGCAGCUUCCACUGAUAGGGCCUCCACCAAGGACAGAUUGCAGCUACUCUAUGUGAAGAAGGGUGUGCUCCCCAGGCAUCUCGACAUCAUGCAUCGGAUCUUUCGCAACACCCUCUUUCCUUGCAUUGGCAACUUCGACGAGGUACAUGACUCUCUGGCUAAGAUGCUACUGCUCUGUGAGGAGGCUAUGACUAAGGAGUCUGCCCCUCUUGAUAUUUCUGAUGUGAUGUUCACUGAGCUCUGGAACUGCAUCACAAUGCGCAAGGUUCCCAUCUACGGGCCCUACUUGUUUGCUUAUAUCCGUUAGAAGUGGCAAGACACCUAUCCGCAGGAGGAGUUAUACAUUCAGGCUGACUACAUUGUGCACGAUCCUGUCAAGCUUCGCGUCAAGGACAAAUGGGCCAACCCAUCAACUUCAUCUCAGCACAUGAACACUCACACAGAGACUGCUGCUGACAGAGGGACCGCCUCUCAGUCCCGCUCUUCUGCCAUGCCAUCUUGGGCCAUGAAGCUGCAGGAUAAGAUGAAGACUCUCUUCUGUAUGCAGGCUAAGGGCUAGUAUCAGACGCACGUGGCUCAGAAGGAGAACCGCCAGAGGCACAAGCGUGUCCUGAGGACACUUGAUGUGGACAUCUCCAGCGGAUCAGAGGACGACAUCACUCCAGAGGCUGCUUGGAUGCGGGCUCAAGGUUACCAGUGGUCUGGCGUUGAGGAGGAAGAGGACAAUGAAGAGGAGCAGGACGAUCCGGAGGGUACGGACGAGUUUGGCGAUGCUGAGGAUGAGGAGUAACCACCUGUGGCGUUAGGUAUGCCCCUUAUCGUGGGUAUAAGCCUGACAGUAGAUGUGUAGGGUACGAAUGAGAUGGGCAGAGUCCUAGCUACGGCGAGGUUGUAUGAGUUCAGGCCCCUCUGCGGUGGAGGUAACAGCCCUAUGUCUCAGUGCUCUCGAAGCUUGUUACCGAGUGUAAUAUGGAAUACAAUGAUUUGCUAACCCUUCUACCAGUGGGGGAGGGCGGCUUAUAUAGAGUGCGCUGCCCUCCACAAUGGUUCUGGUAUAAGGGCGGAGUAGUGGGGAUUGAAUGCAUACGUUACAGGUAACGUAUGCUCUAAAUGCUAAUAAAUGCACCCGGAAACGUACGACCGUUUCCCUCCAGGGAGGUUACGAUGUACCGAGUGUAUCCAGUCGGUUAGCUUGGUAUUCUCCGAAUGCUAGUAUCCGACUGGACGAUAUAGGACCCGUUCCUGACUUGAUAAUGGGGAUUCCUUAAUUCAGUCGGGGUAGACUUAGGGUCUUGUCUUUGUGUGGGGUAGUCCUUGGGUAGGACCUGUAUGGCAGGCCUAUGACCCUACCCUAGGACUACGACCCCAUCAUUAGUCCCCGAAUGGAUCGGGGUUGAAACGACGAAGCAGUGCUUGAAGUUCGGAUCCGACUGGAGUAGAUUCGUCUUGGGCGUUGCUUGCCUCUAUCCAUUUUACCUUUUCUGACCAACGAUCCGAGUGGAAGUGCUUGCGAAACCGACUGUUGGGAACCGAGUGUUUCCGCUGCAUCUUUUGACGCGACCGGUCAACUCACAGCGGUGGGUUUCCCGGGAUCUCAAAUUUUAGGUUCCGCGCGCUCAGCGGGGACGACGUCAGCGCACUCGAGUAGCGUCUGACGCCUUGAUUCUCGCGCCUUCAAGUCCUCCACUGAUAUCGCCGCAGCCGGUCGGGCGGAUAAGGUUUCGGGGCCACCCGCCAGUGACCUAGUCGGAACUCUAUUUAAAUCUGGGCGGCGAGGUUUCUUCGUUACGCUCGCCGAAUCUUUCGCUCUCGCCUGCUCCGUCUUCCUCGCCACCUCCAGCGCUCCCAUACUCCCUCCUUCUCCUUCCUCUCGAGAGUUCGCCGUCGCCUCCAUGACCAAGGGUCAGACCAGCAAGAUGGAGGCGAGGAAGAAGAAGGGCAAGGCGGCGGCAGCGGCCGCUGCCGGCGGGGUGGAUCCAAGGAGACUUCCUCCCCUCCAGAGUGACGGAGGGAGAUCUGCUGCAGCUGGUGGAGCAUGGAGUGCUCGUGCACAAGUCCUGGAGACUGCCGGCGGAGGACGAGGUCGAGCCAGCGCCCCGGGAGGGGGAGCGCGUCCUGCUCCUCAGCCAUGUCCACCGAGGUUUUUCUUUGCCCCCGCAUCCUUUCUUCAAGGGCAUCAUGAAUCACUUCGGUGCCCAACUUCACCAUUUCCCUCCGAAUGCCAUCGCGCACCUUUCUGCCUUCAUAGUCUUAUGUGAGUGUUUUAUCGGCUGCCCUCCCCAUUGGGGUUUGUUCAAACACAUCUUCUCCGUCUGAUCCCAAACCAUCAAACGACUUAGCCAGUCGGAUGAUAAGACGCACCUCCUCCAGCUCUGUGGGGGUUUAGGAUUCCAGAAGAAGAGUCGGAGUAGCUAUCCUGCUCUCCAGUUAAGUGAGUAGGUUAGGAACUGGCAGUCGACGUGGUUCUACUGCCAGGAUAUCGCCUGUCCAAAUGCGUCGACUGGUCUGCCUCCUUUUAGUCUAGACCGGCCCGCCCCGCCUAAGCAGCUCGCGCUCUCGAAGGCGGAGAAGAACGAUGUCCAGCCCUUGGUUGAGGCGCUCGUGGACGUCGUCAGGAGGGGGUCACCGGUAUAGACCUGCUGGAAGUCUUCCUUGGUCGGUGGAUCCAGCCUCUGCAGGCUCGCGACCAUGCCAUGUGGCAUUACACGGGGCCCGAGGAUUCCACUCGGACCAAUGUUGUGGGCGUGACUGAGGAGAGGGUGACCUCGUGGGUGCUCCAGAUCACGGGCCCCUGUGAGAAUCCCAAAGAAUCACGGCGAGUGAAGCCCUUCUGCGCGGAUAAUCCCCCGCCGAAUCAGGUGAGAGACUCUUGUCGAGUGCUCCUAAUUGUCUUAAUCUUGUCGUUUGCUUGAAUCUGUGUGUGAUGUUUGAUGUCGCCGACUGAAUUUUAUGCAGGAGUGGACCAACUGGUUUUCUCCCGUCUCGAACGGGAAUCCGACCGAGGAGGAGGAGGGCAGCUAGGAGGGCAGCGUGGAGAGCACGGAAUAUGUCUCCGACAGUGGGGAGUCGGAGGAAGAGUCCAGCGAGGAGGAGGAAGAAGACGAGGAGCAGGACUCGCCACCCCCACAACUGGAGCAUCGGACCAAGCGCCGACACGAACCCGCUGUCCCCUCAGCUCCUCCCGCGUCUUCGAGUGCUCCGCCUACUGCUCCAGUGGUCCCGAGUGUUCGAAGCGCUAAGAGUACCCGGGAUGCCGCCGCUGAGCCUGCAGGCCAAUCUUCUAAGGCGCCCAAGACGAGUGGGCCUAAACCUCGGAAGGCUCUGCCGCGAAUAAGGGUCGCUGUCCCCGUCACCUCCACGUAAGUGUACUCAGCUUUCAGUUUUUCUUCUGAUAUCCGAGUGAAUUUCUGCUUACUGGCCGACUGGAUAUCACUCGACAGGGUCGCUACUUCUGCCACCUCCCCGGCGCGUCAGGAAUACGACCCCAUGGACACGGACAACGUCGUCUCGUCUCAGCCAGGUGCAUUGUAGGAACGUCGAGUGUUUUAUACCAUCGCUUCUUUCUUUUUCUGAGACCUCGUGUCAUUCGGCCUGUCAGGGGCGAUCUGCCUGGAUGAGGGCGGCCAGGGGAGAGCCAACCCAGCUGUGGAGCCUGUUCUUGAGGCUGCUCCUCCCGCUGCCGCCCUCGCCGCCGACGUGCUGCCGACGGAGGCACCGCCGCCGACUGAACCAGUGCUGGUGGAGGAGGAGCCGACUGGGGCGGGCCUUGGAAUGCCUCAGGAACCUCCGACGAUUCCAGGUUCGUCGCAUGCUGAAUUCAGCAUCCAGCGUCUUCCAGAGGAGUAGGUGGGAGCGGCCAAGGGGGCUAUGGUGCAGGCGGAGCUGAUGACUGGAGAAGCCAAGAGGGCCUAUGACUCCAUUGCGGCCUUGUACCAGCGGAGCUUGGAGCUACGCGAUGAUAUCCGAGUAAGUGGUCUAGUAAGCAUUUACUUUUCCCCUGUAACCCUCUGGGUGUUAUUGAAUAUCAGCUGUUGUUUGCAAUGGGUUCACUCUGAGUGAACCCAGUGGGUGUAGUCCCCGAGACUUCUGUCGAGUGCUUGCACCGACAGUUGUCUUUAUACACUUUGCCUUGAGUUUGGUUGUGUCUGUAAAUAGGAUUACCGAGUGCGAGUAAUUGUUGCAGUCGGAGUGCACUUACGGUAAGAGUCCCCGAGAGUAAGUUGUACUCAGGUCGGGUAGUAUUGGCCUCGGAGGCGUAGGUGAUAACAUGCAUUUCAAUAGGGCAAGCCUGCUUGAGGUGCAUGCCAGUGGGGUCACGCUUAGUGAACCCACUGGGUGUAGUCCCCGAGACCGCUGUCGACUGCUUGCGUCAGCAGGGGUCUGAAGAACUUAGACUGUUAACUGUUGAACUUUCUGAUUGUCCCUUGUUUGUUGUUGGCAGAAAACUUGUGCAAUGGGAUCAGCCUAUGAGACUCUCAAGGCGGAGAGGAAUCAGUUCGCUGGCGAACUUGAUGCGGCCAUGCUUGCAAUGGCUGGCAUUAAGGAUUCCCUGGCGGAACGGGAGAAAUCAUUGGAGCAGGCGCGUGAAGUGAACAAGGUGUUGACUGAGGAAGGGGAAAAGAUGGGGAAGCAGAGGACUACGCUGAUGAGUCAGAUGGAUGUGCUGAACAAACGAUGUAGAGCACAAGAGAAAUAUGUCAGCGACUGGGCUCGGCAGAUGAUGACGCGUCUGGCUGGUAAGUCCUUAUUUUUCCGAGUGGUUGUGCUAUGCGCGUAGCACUCGGCGCUUAUUGUCUGUUUGUCCUAUUGUCGCAGAUUUUUGCUUUGACGCCGAAGCUGAAGCGGCUGACGUGGAGCGUUCGAUUCUUGAGAACUUUCCACUCGGCGACGACGCCAAUCGGGAUCUGCUCCGUGCGCACAUCCGCGUGGGCAAAGUUGGUCCUUUCAUCGGUCGACUGAGAGAAGUCGUCGGCCGAAUCGACAAGGAGCUUUGGCCAGAAGAUGAGUCGCGGCAGGAGAUGGAGAACCUGAUGACCCGACUGGCGGAGAUUCCCAACAGAGUGCAGUCGUGGAAGAAAUCUGCAGCUCGUUGUGGUGCAGAUGUUGCUCUGUCCCUGGUCCGAGUCCAUUGCAAGGAGGUGCGUGAGGAAAAAAUGAAGACGCGGAAGGUCGCCAACACGAAGAAGCUUCGAUUCGAAGACUUCAUGGAGACGUUCCUUGAGAGUGCUACCCGCAUCGCCGACGGAAUCGACUUGGACACUUUCGUGGAGCCCUCCAGUCCUGGUACCGGCCCAGCUGACGCGUAAGAAACUUUAUCCUCGGUAUGCCGAGUGUUUAUCUGUAAGGUACUUUGGCCACUUCUGUUGUCCGUCACACUUUUAAAUCGGUGCGGGCAAACUUGAUCCGCACCGAGUUAGCUAUCUUUGCGAGGAUUUUGGAAUCCGAUUUUUGCUCUUCUGUUGCAAUGUUGAUUCGAGUUUUUGGUUGGCGUUUCUUGGUGAAGCCAAAGGCAAACAGCCGAUGCUGGAUUGCUGUUAAGCUCCCUCCGAGUGUAACGUGAAGUGCACACUCGGAGAAGGUUAUUACUUAGGCGAUGCUGGAUCGCAGCUAAGCCCCCGAGUGUGACGUGUAGUGCACACUCAGAGAAGGUUAAUACUUAGGAGAUGCUGGAUCGCAGCUAAGCCCCGAGUGUGACGUUAAGUGCACACUCGGAUAAAGAUAAUACUUAGGGGAUGCUGGGUCGCAGCUAAGCCCCCGAGUGAGACGUUAAGUACACACUCGGAUAAAGUUAAUACUUAGGCGAUGCUGGACCGCACCUAAGCCCCCGAGUGUGACGUUAAGUGCACAUUUGGAGAGAGUUAAUACUUAGGUGAUGCUGGAUCGCAGCUAAGCACCCGAGUGUGACGUUAAGUGCACACUCGGAGAGAGUUAAUACUUAGGCGAUGCUGGAUCGCAGCUAAGCCCCGAGUGUGACGUUAAGUGCACACUCGGAGAGAGUGAAUACUUAGGCGAUGCUGGAUCGCAGCUAAGCCCCCGAGUGUGACGUUAAGUGCACACUCGGAGAGAGUUAAUACUUAGGCGAUGCUGGAUCGCAGCUAAGCCCCCGAGUGUGAUGUUAAGUGCACACUCGGAGAGAGUUAAUACUUAGGCGAUGCGGGAUCGCAGCUAAGCCCCCGAGUGUGACGUUAAGUACACACUCGGAGAAAGUUAAUACUUAGGCGAUGUUGGAUCGAAGCUAAGUUUUUUUUUUAAGACCGGAGUCUGCGACCGCGGAAGAACUUUGAACCUGCAAAAAACUCAAUCUGCUUUAUAUUACUUCGCCAACACUUGUUCUUUACAUCGCUUUAGUCGACGGUCACGUGUAGAAGCGCUUCAGGAGAUCUCCGUUCCAUGCGCGCGGCUCGUCAGUCUCUCUUUCGAUGUUGUAGAGUCUGUAUGCUCCGUUGUUCAGCACCUUGGAGAUGAUGAAGGGUCCUUCCCAGGCCGGAGCUAACUUGUGAGGUCUUUGUUGAUCCACUCGGAGCACCAGGUCGUCUGCUUGGAACGUCCGACUUCUGACGUGGCAUGCAUGAAAACGCCGCAGAUUUUGUUGAUAAAUGGUCGAGCGAGUUAAUGCCAUCUCGCGUUCUUCCUCUAGAAGAUCUACUCCAUCUUGCCUUGCUUGUUCUGCCUCAGCUUCGGAGAAGGGUUCGACUCGUGGGGCAUUAUGAAGCAGGUCACUCGGAAGGACCGCUUCUGCUCCAUAAACGAGGAAGAACGGUGAUCGCCCCGUUGAUCUGUUCGGAGUGGUGCGGAGGCCCCAAAGCACUGAAGGUAACUCGAUGACCCAUGCGCCAGCAGCGUGUCCCACCUCUCGCAGGAGUCGGGGCUUCAAACCUUGAAGAAUAAGCCCAUUCACCCGCUCAGCCUGUCCGUUGGAUUGAGGAUGUGCUACGGAAGCAAAAUCCACUCGGAUACCCUGACUCACGCAGAAACCCUUGAAUCUGUCCGAGUCGAAGUUUGUCCCGUUGUCCGUAAUUAUGCUGUGAGGUACACCGAAUCUGAAGAUGAUGUCCCUGACAAACUUGACGGCUGUCGAAGCGUCGAGCUUCUUGAUGGGCUUCGCUUCGAUCCACUUCGUGAACUUGUCGACUGCCACCAACAGAUGUGUGUAUCCACCUUGGCCUGUCUUGAAUGGGCCGACUGUAUCUAAUCCCCACACUGCAAACGGCCACACAAGAGGGAUCGUCUUCAAUGCAGACGUUGGCUUGUGGGACUUGUUGGAGUAGAACUGGCAGCCCUCACAUCGAUCAACCAUAUCCCUAGCCAUCUCAUUAGCCUGUAGCCAAAAUAACCAGCCCUGAACGCCUUGGCUACGAUUGCUCUCGAAGAAGCGUGAUGACCGCGGGUUCCCGAGUGAAUAUCCUCCAGAAUCAGCUGCCCCUCCUCUGGGGAGAUGCAUCGUUGAAGAACACCCGAGAUACUUUCCUUGUACAAUUGGCCUUCAAUGACAGUGAAUGACUUCGAUCUGCGGACUAUCUGCCUGGCUUGGCUUCGUCUUCUGGAAGUUCUUGCCUCAAGAUAUAUGCCAUGAUCGGCACAGUCCAAUCGGGAAUGACAGCCAGAAUCUCCAUGACCAGAUCAACCACCACAGGUACAUCGACUUCAGUCGGACCUGUUGCGCUCUUGGGUUGUACCAAUUCCUAUGUGAAAGGAUCUUCUUUGACUGACGGGAGGUGGAGGUGUUCAAGGCAGACGUCACUCGGGACUGGUCUCCGAGUGGAUCCGAGUUUUGCUAACUCGUCAGCUGCUUGGUUCUUCAGUCUUGGAACAUGGUGGAGCUCCAGACCUUCAAACUUCUUCUCUAGCUUCCUCACUGCAUUGCAGUAUGUGGUCAUGGUGGGGUUCUUGACGUCCCACUCUUUCAUCACUUGAUUGACCACCAAAUCUGAAUCGCCGUAGACCAUCAAGCGACGGACGCCGAGUGAGAUGGCCAUGCACAAUCCGUAGAGGAGAGCCUCGUACUCUGCCUCGUUGUUGGAGGAAUCAAAGUGUAUCUGCAACACGUAUUUGAGCUUGUCGCCCUUUGGUGAUAUGAUCACAACGCCAGCGCCGGAGCCAUUCAACAUCUUAGACCCAUCGAAGAACAUUGUCCAAUGAGCCGAGUAGAUGUGGGUCGGUUGCUGUUGUUCUACCCAUUCUGCUAUAAAGUCAGCUAGGGCUUGAGACUUAAUAGCUUUCUUGGCCUCGAACUUGAUGUCACAGUACAACAUCUCCAUUGCCCACUUCGCCACUCGGCCUGAUGCGUCUCGAUUGUGGAGAAUUUCCGACAACGGAGCAUUAGAAACGACAGAUACCGAGUGGUCUUGGAAAUAAUGAGCCACCUUCUUCGCAGUCAUAUAGAUCCCAUAGAUAAGUUUUUGAUAAUGGGGAUACCUCUGCUUGGAAGGAGUCGGGACUUCGGAAACAUAGUAGACUGGCCGCUGAACUUUGUAUGCUUUGCCUUCUUCUUCUCGCUCGACUGUAAGAACAGUACUGACAACUUGAUUUGUAGCCGCAAUAUAUAGAAGAAGGGGCUCUUUACUGAGCGGAGCAGUAAGAACCGGCUGGGUGGAAAGUAGGACUUUGAGGUCGUCGAAUGCGACUUGGGCUUCAUCUAUCCACUCGAAGGUAUCUGAUUUCUUCAUGAGUCGGUACAGAGGAAGUGCUUUUUCGCCGAGUCGACUGAUGAACCUGCUCAAAGCCGCUAGGCAACCUGUGAGCCGUUGAACAUCGUGUAUUCUGACCGGCCUUUCCAUUCGGACGAUGGUCCCGAUCUUUUCGGGGUUGACGUCGAUCCCUCGUUCGGAAAUGAAGAAACCGAGUAACUUUCCGCUGGGAACACCGAAUGAACAUUUGGAUGGGUUGAGCUUGAUAUCGUACCUACGAAGGUUGGCGAAUGUUUCUGCCAAGUCAGUCAGCAGGUCGGAACCUUUGUGUGACUUGACUACGAUAUCAUCCAUAUAUGCCUCCACAUUGCGACCGAUCUGGUCAAGGAGACAUUUUUGGAUCAUGCGCAUAAAGGUAGCUCCUGCAUUCUUCAGACCGAAAGGCAUAGUGAUGUAGCAGAAGCACCCGAAUGGGGUGAUGAAGGCUGUCUUUAACUCAUCGGGACCAUACAGACGGAUCUGAUGAUAGCCCGAGUAGGCAUCGAGAAACGACAGACGCUCGCAACCCGCAGUCGAAUUGACAAUUUGAUCUAUGCGGGGGAGCGGAAAAUGGUCUUUCGGGCAGACCUUAUUGAGGUGCUUGAAGUCGAUGCACAUUCAGAGCGACUUGUCCUUCUUGGGCACCAUGACAACAUUGGCGAGCCACUCGGAGUGGUGAACCUCGCGAAUGAAGUUGGCUGCCAACAGCUUGGCCACCUCUUCCCCGAUUGCCUUCCUCUUGUGUGCGGCGGACCGGCGCAGGCGCUCUCGGACAGGCCGAGCUGUGGAAUCCACGUGCAGUCGGUGCUCAGCCAACUCCUUGGGUACACCUGGCAUGUCAAAGGGUUUCCAUGCGAAGAUGUCCCAGUUCUCACGGAGGAAUUGGGUGAGCUCGGCUUCCUAUUUAGGAUCGAGGGUGGUGGAGAUGCUCGUCGGGGCAGCAGUGGCGUCCGUCGGGUGGAUGCUGACCUUCUUCGUCUCUCCUGCCGACUGAAAUGCAGACUCUGAAGCUGGCUUCUUCGAGCGCAUCAGGUCGGUGGGGUCGAUUGUUUUCUUGUACUCGUCCAGCUCGAGGACGGCCAUCUGCUGGUCGGUGAUCCUUGAUCCCUGCUGCAGACACUCUUCAGCCCGCUGCCGAUUGCCUGUGAUGGUGAUCACGCCUUUCGGGCCGGCAUCUUCAACUUCAGGUACAUGUAACAUGGACGGGCCAUGAAAUGCGCAUACGCUGGGCGACCCAGAAUUGCGUGAUAAGCGCUCUGGAAGUCAACCACUUCGAACGUCACCCUUUCCUUGCGGAAGUUCUUGUCGGAGCCGAAAACGACGUCCAACGCAAUCUGGCCGAGUGAUUUGGCCUUCCGUCCAGGGACGACUCCCUGGAACUGCAUGCUGCUCUCGCUGAGUCUGGACAUCGGGAUGCCCAUCCCCUUGAGGGUGUCGGCGUACAUGAUGUUCAAGCCGCUGCCGCCAUCCAUGAGGACUUUGCGCAGUCGGACUCCUUGUACCACUGGGUCGACGACCAGGGCCUGUCUUCCCGGGGUGGGUACAUGUGCCGGAUGAUCCGACUGGUCGAAGGUGAUCGCAGUCUGGGACCAUUUGAGGAACUUGGGGUUGGAAGGGGUGGCCAUGUUCACCUCUCGGUUCACCAGCUUCAGUCGGCUCUUGCUCUCGACGUCAGCAAAGAUCAUCAGGGUGGCAUGGACUUGGGGGAACGGAUCCUCCUUAUCCUCCUCAUCCUGUUCAUGGUCCUUCUCACUCAGUUGCCCUUCGCUGAAUCCCUGGAUCAGGAGGCGACACUGUCGAGUGGUAUGCUUCGCAUAUAUGGGGUUGCCUUCUUCGUCCAUCUUCGUGUGCACCGGACAAGGCUAGUCCAGGAUGGGAUUGUUGAACGGCUUCUUCUUGGGGGUAAACUGCGCCUUCCCUUUGCCCUAGAACUUAGCAUUGGUCACGGCUGCAGCCUCUGCUUGCGGUGUGGGCGGAGCUUUCUGUUUCGGAGUGUUACCUCCGUCAACAUCGCCGACUGUCUUGUGCUUGCCGCUCCGGAUGUGGUCCUCUUCUUCACCAUUUGCAUAGCGCGCCGCUAUCUCCAUCAUCUUGCUCAUGGAGAUGUCGCCUGUUCGACCGAACUUUAAGUACAGCUCUCUGUACCGCACGCCUGCCUUGAAGGCGCAGACUGCCUGAUGCUCGGUGACGUUCUCCACCGUGUGGUAGAGAGUUGUCCAACGCUGGAUGAAGUCGCGCAGGGGCUCAUUCGGCUUCUGGACACAGUGCUGGAGUUCCACAAGGCCUGCAGGGUGUUUGCACGUCCCCUCGAAGGUCCUGAUGAAUACUCGGGCCAGAUCUGCCCAACUGUAAAUGCUCGAGGGGGCCAACUGGUUUAGCCACGCUCGCGCCGAGCCGUCGAGCAUCAGAGGGAGGUGCUUCAUAGCGACAUGGUCGUCCCCUCCUCCGAUCUGGACUGCCACUCGGUAGUCAUCCAGCCAUGUUUCCGGCUUGGACUCUCCUGUAAACUUACUGAUUCCCGCUUCAAUCGGAAGUUGGGCGGGAUGUCAGCCGAGCGGAUGGCUCGACUAAAACACUCGGGACCGGACACGAUGGCCCUGCUUCCACUCGGACGGUCCAUAUCGUAACCAUCACGGUGGGCUCGACCCCUGUCGACUCGUCACUGGGCGAUACAUCCUCUUGCCUCGGGUCUUGGGUCGUGAGUGUUGUCGAGUGAACGCCGAUCAUCAUGAUGUCGGGACCCAUAGGGCCCACCCCGCGGAGGGGUGAGUGAGCGGCGGCGAUCUUCAUGAAUCAAGGAACGACUGCCUCCCCUGUGGCGCUGAUGGGAUCCAGGGCUGUGAACCGACCGAUGCGUGUUGGCGUGGACGGAACUAUUGUAGAUCCGGUUGUGCGACUGGGAGACUGCCGAAUUCUGCUGCUGCGCCGUGUGCAAUAGGGCUCGGAUCUGCUCGAUCCCUCUACCAGCCUCUGAAUCAGUCGGCUGGAGGGAAUCGGCUAUCUUGGCAGCAGCAGCCAAGUUGAGGAGGGGCGUGCGGAACAACUCCACGUUGCUCCGCCGAGUGUGUCGACUGGCAGAACGGCGAGGUGGACGGCUCGCACCGGAUGCUUCGCCGACCUCGCGCUCGCUUCGACCAGCUUGAUGGGGAUCUUCAUGGGUGUUGGCCAUGUGAACUUCUAGUGCAGGCCCGCGGCCCGCGUACUCGAAAGGAAACUCAGUCAGAACUGAGCCCGAGUGCUGGGAAUGUAGGGCAACCACAACAGACUCCAGAACUGCCACUUGAGAAGACGCGAUCUGACGCGCUCGGGCAUGCUGCACCCAACGUUGGAGACGCGGACGGCGGGACCGCUUGUUGCGGCGCAUGAUGGAGGUGCAGGUCGACAACAGAGCCGAUUGUUGGAGAAGAAGAACGCCGUGGGCGCCGGCACGGAAGUGCGUGGCCCCGCGAUGGGGAAGCGCCUCAACGUCGAGAGGUGCCUCCCGAAGCCACGCCGAAUCGUCGACGGUGAAGGAGAGAGCACCGAAGAAGAUCUAGUGACCCAUGCUCGAAUCUCCACCGGAUGACAUGACGAAAGGAAGUAGUCGCAAACUCGCCGGAAGUCGCUUAGACGCCUGCCCCACGGUGGGCGCCAACUGUCGUGGGUAUAAGCCUGACAGUAGAUGUGUAGGGUACGAAUGAGAUGGGCAGAGUCCUAGCUACGGCGAGGUUGUAUGAGUUCAGGCCCCUCUGCGGUGGAGGUAACAGCCCUACGUCUCAGUGCUCUCGGAGCUUGUUACCGAGUGUAAUAUGGAAUACAAUGAUUUGCUAACCCUUCUACCAGUGGGGGAGGGCGGCUUAUAUAGAGUGCGCUGCCCUCCACAAUGGUUCUGGUAUAAGGGCGGAGUAGUGGGGAUUGAAUGCAUACGUUACAGGUAACGUAUGCUCUAAAUGCUAAUAAAUGCACCCGAAAACGUACGACCGUUUCCCUCCAGGGAGGUUACGAUGUACCGAGUGUAUCCAGUCGGUUAGCUUGGUAUUCUCUGAAUGCUAGUAUCCGACUGGACGAUAUAGGACCCGUUCCCGACUGGAUAAUGGGGAUUCCUUAAUUCGGUCGGGGUAGACUUAGGGUCUUGUCCUUUGUGUGGGGUAGUCCUUGGGUAGGACAUGUAUGGCAGGCCUAUGACCCUACCCUAGGACUACGACCCCAUCACCCCUUUUUGGUGUCUUGUGCCAAAGGGGGAGAGAGUCUAGGAGCUGGAUUUGCUUUGAGAGUUGAACUUUGCUUAGCUUUGCUUAUCUUUCGUGUUUUUCUUUGAACUUGGUUUGCUUCUAUUUUGCUAUCUUUCGUGAGACAUGAAUUUAUGUGAGAUUUAUUUCCAUCAUAUGAUGUGAGUCAUAUGUUCUUUAUUUUCAUAUAUCUCUAUCUUUCUGUUCUCAUAUUAUUCUUUGUGCAAAUCCGGUAUUGUCAUCAGUCCACCAAAAAGGGGGAGAUUGUUGGGGCAUAGUUUAUGCCUAAGUAAUUUGGGUGAUUGAUGAUAGGACCGCAAAGGACUAACCGUGUGUAUUAAGAUUUCAGAUAACACACGUCAAUGGCACAAGACGACUCGCCCCCUCUUUCGUGGAACAGAAGCACGGUGUUCCCUACGAUUCUCUUUAUUUGAGUCAUAGGAAACCCGUACUAUUAAGAGGGGAACCAUAGUGGAAAGGUUUGGGUGGAAUCAAUCUUGCACGCGCACACUUCACAUAUUUUCCCCCUUGCCGGCAACUUUGGAGUGGCUCCCGCCGUAGUGUUUCCUUCAUCUUUGCAAAGGGUCCCCCAGCGGUAGUACCGCUGGGCCUAGCGGUAGUACCGCUGGCCUUAGCGGUAGUACCGCUGGAGUGCUAGCAGUAGUACCGCUGCAUCCAGCGGUAGUACCUCUCCAGGAGCUUAGUACCACGUGCCUAGCGGUUGUACGUGGACGGACCUUUUUGCGAAGACUUUCUUGGCGGUGGUAGUGCUUAUGCACUACCAGGGGCCCAGCGGUAGUACCGCUGCACCCAGCGGUAGUACCGCAGGAGUGCCAGCGGUAGUACCGCUGCAUCCAGCAGUAGUACCGCUAGGCACGGGCUGUGAGUGGGAAAACGGUUGGAUUUCCCCCCCCCCCCACUAUAUAAAGGGUUCUUCUAGCUGUGGAACUCUAUCUCUGACCCUCCCAAGCUCCAUUGUUGCUCCCUAAGAUCAAAAGUGCCCGAUCUCUCUCCCUAGCCAAUCAAACUUGUUGAUUCUUUAGGGAUUGGUUGAGAAGGCCUAGAUCCACACUUCCACCAAGAGAAAAGUUGAUUCCCCCACCAAUCCCUUGCGGAUCUUGUUACUCUUGGGUGCUUGAGCAUCCUAGAUGGUUGAGGUCACCUUGAAGCCACAUUCCAUUGUGGUGAAGCUUCGUGGUCUUGUUGGGAGCCUCCAAGCUUUGUGUGGAGUUUGCCCCAACCUUGUUUGUAAAGGUUCGGUCGCCGCCUUCAAGGGCACCUAUAGUGGAAUCACGGUACCUUGCAUCGUGCGAGGGCGUGAGGAGAAUACGGUGGCCUUAGUGGCUUAUUGGGGAGCAUUGUGCCUCCACACCGCUUCAACGGAGACGUACUUCCCGUCAAAGGGAAGGAACUUCGGUAACAUAUCCUCUUCUUCAUUGGUUCCACUUGUGGUUAUCUCUAACCUUUACUUUGUGUAUGCUUAUGUUGUUGUCUUUCCCUUACUUGUCUUAGUAGCUAUUGCUGCUAGCUUCAUUACGGUUCACCCCAUUGUUGUCAUAUUUGUGAACCCGUAUGUUGUUUCCCCUAUCUUGCUAAGAUUAAUUAAAAAGUGGUCGUUGCCUAUUCACACCCCCCCCCCCCUCUACUCAACCAUAUCGAUCCUUUCACUAGGGCCCGAGUGCCAUGAUUUCAGAUCUGAAAUUAUUAUGUUGUCACCAAUAUAUGUGUGUUUUAGAUCCGAUCUUGCAAGUUGUAGUUACCUACUAUGUGUUAUGAUCCGGCAACCCCGGAGUGACAAUAACCGGAACCACUCCCGGUGAUGACCAUAGUUUGAGGAUUUCAUGUGUUCACAAAGUGCUAAUGCGUUGGUCCGGUUCUUUAUUAAAAGGAGAACCUUAAUAUCCCGUAGUUUCCUUUUGGACCCCGCUGCCACGGGAGGGAUGGACAAUAGAUGUCAUGCAAGUUCUUUUCCCUAAGCACGUACGACGACACACGGAAUGCAUGCCUACAUCACAUUGACGAACGGGAGCUAGCCACAUAUCUCUCCAUGUUAUAGCUGUUGCAUGAUGAAUAUCAUCCAAACAAAUAUCGACCCAUUGCCUACGAGUUUGUCCUACUGUUGCUACUAGUGUCGCUUGCUACUGCUGCUACUUGCUACUGUUGUCACUACUGUUGUUCCUUGCCACUGCUAUUGCUCGUUACACUGCCGUUACUCGUUACUUUGCUGUUACUACAGUGCUUGCAGAUACUAAUCUUUCAGGUGUGGUUAAAACUGACAAAUUCAGCUGCUAAUACUCGAGAGUAUUCUCUCUCCUCCUUUUGGCGAUCUACAAAUUUGGGUCGAAUACUCUACCCUCGAAAACUGCCGCGAACCCACGCCUUUGUGGGCCAUCAACAACAUUCUUCCAAUUUCAUUGCCGGGGAAUGCUAUCAGCAUUCUUCUGGUGCCGUUGCAGGAGAAGGUUUGUUGUCAUAAGCAUUCGUCUAGUUAACGCCAGAGAUUGUGCAGAUCAGUGGUCAAUAUCCUUCUUCAUAGAAGAACCGGCACAAGAAGUGUCAAGCAUGGUACGAUCUUCAUGAGAAAGCCGAGCAUAAAAGUUUUGAGUGAUGAUUUCUCUCGAGAGCUCAUGAUUGGGGCAUGAAUAUAGCAUUGAUUUAAGGCUCCCCCAAGCUUGAGCUAUACUUUCCCUGUCACGAGGCCAAAAGUUAUAAAUAAAGUUCCGAUCACGAUGUACUUAAUGCAUAGGAUAGAACUUUUGAUGAAAUUCCAAUUUCAACUGAUUGCAGCCCCAUGAUCCAGUAUCAUCACAUAGCCUAUAUCACGUCAAUGCCUUAUCCUUCAAAGAUAAAGGAAAGACUUUCUUCUUUACCUCAUCCUCGGGCAAACCUGCAAGCUUAAAUACAUCACAAACUUCAUCUACAUAGAUUAGAUGAAAGUCUCGAUGUGAAGAUCCAUCUCCUGUAAAAGGAUUAGCCAGCAGUUUCUCAAGCAUACCCAAAGGAAUUUCAUAAAAGAUAUUUUCAGUAGGUACCUCAGGUUGAGGAGCAACUCCUCGUGCUUCCGUUCGUGGUGAAGAUACCCCGAAAAAACUUCUCAAAGGAAGUGUUUCCAUAGUGACAAGUGACAAUAAAUUUCAGCAUAGUAUAUAAAUGUUUCCUUACCAAUUUCCACUUACCAAAGGCGCUUCACUCCCCGGCAACGGCGCCAGAAAAGAGUCUUUAUGACCCACAAGUAUAUGGGAUCAAUUGUACUCCUUUCGAUAAGUAAGAGUAUUGAACCCAACAAGGAGCAGAAGGCUCUGAUAAACGGAGUUCAGCAAGGUAAUAACUGCAAGCACUGAAAAUAGCGGUAACAAGUGAUUGUGUAGCGAGGUGAAACAUAGCAAGAAAAGAGUAACAAGUAACAAGUAGUAGCAACGGUGCAGCAAGUGGACCAAUCCCUUUUGUAGCAAGGGACAAGCCUAAACAAAGUCUUAUAGGAGGAAAAACGCUCCCGAGGACACAUGGGAAUUUCUGUCAUGCUAGUUUCAUCAUGUUCAUAUGAUUCGCAUUCGUUACUUUGAUAGUUUGAUAUGUGGGUGGACCGGCACUUGGGUACUGCCCUUACUUGGACAAGCAUCCCACUUAUUAUUAACCUCUCUCGCAAGCAUCCGCAACUACAAAAGAAGAAUUAAGACAAAGUCUAACCACGGCAUUAAACUAGUGGAUCCAAAUCAGCCCCUCACGAAGCAACGCAUAUACUGGGGUUUAAGCUUGUGUCACUCCAGCAACCCAUCAUCUACUUACUACUUCCCAAUGCCUUCCUGUAGGCCCAAAUAUGGUGAAGUGUUAUGUAGUCGACGUUCACAUAACACCACUAGAGGAAAAACAACAUACAUCAUAUCAAAAUACCGAACGAAUAUCAAAUUCACAUGACUAUUAUUAACAUGACUUAUCCCAUGUCCUCAAGAACAAAAGUAACUACUCACAAGACAUAAUCAUAAUCAUGACCAUAGGUGUAAUGAAUAGCAUCAACUAUUUGAACAUAAACUCUUCCACCAAGUAAUCCAACUAGCAUCAACUACAAAGAGUAAUCAACACUACUAGCAACCUUACAAGUACCAAUCGGAGUUGCGAGACGAAGACUGGUUACAAGAGAUGAACUAGGGAUUGGAGAGGAGAUGGUGCUGAUGAAUAUGUUGAUGAAGAUGCCUCCCCUCCGACGAGAGGAGUGUUGGUGAUGACGAUAGCGAUGAUUUCCCCCUCCAGGAGGGAAGUUUCCCCGGCAGGAUCGUCCUGCCGGAGCUCUAGAUUGGAUCUGCUCAAGUUCCGCCUCGUGGCGGCGGCGAAACCACGAAAAAGCUCCCUCUUGAUUUUUUCCAGACCAGGACGCUUCAUAUAGCAAAAGAGGGGGGCUAGUGGGCCUUCAGGCAGCCCACAAGCCUGCCCCGCGCCACUAGGGGGUGGUGGCGGUGGGCAAGCUUGUGGGCCCUGGUGGCCCCCCCUCCGGUAGUUCUUUCGCCCAGUAUUUUUAAUAUAUUCCAGAAAAAAUCCACGUAAAUUUUCAGGGCAUUUGGAGAUGUGCAGAAUAGUGGACUAGGAUUUGCUCCUUUUCCAGUCCAGAAUUCCAGUUGCCUGAAUUCUCCCUCUUCAAAUAAUCCUUGCAAAAUAAGAGAGAAGAGGCAUAAAUAUGGUACCACAAGUAAUAUAACACCCCAAAAAGCAAUAAAUAUCAACAUGAAAGCAUGAUAGAAAAAUGGACAUAUCACUAUCCAGCAUCCAUCUAGUGUAUUGAGUUCAUAACAAACAGAGUAACGCCUUAAGCAAGAUGACAUGAUGUAGAGGGAUAAAUUCAUGCAAUAGAUAUAAACCCCAUCUUUUUACUCUUGAUGGCAACAACACGAUGUGUGCCUCGCUACCCCUUCUGUCACUGGGUGAGGUCACCUCACGGUAUGAACCCAAAACCAAGCACUUCUCCCAUUGCAAGAAUUUAAGAUCAAGUUGGCCAAACAAAACCCACAACUCGGAGAGAAUUACAAGGAUAUGAAAUCAUGCAAAUAAGAGAUCAGAAGAAACUCAAAUAAGAUCCAUAGAUAAUCUGAUCAUAAAUCCACUAUUCAUCGGAUCUUGACAAACACACCGCAAAAGAAGAUUACAUCGGAUAGAUCUCCAUGAAGAUGAUGGAGAACUUUGUAUUGAAGAUCCAAGAGAGAGAAGAAGCCAUCUAGCUACUAGCUAUGGACCCGAAGGUGUAUGGUGAACUACUCACGCAUCAUCGGAGAGGCAAUGGUGUUGAUGAAGAAGCCCUCUGUGUCCGAAUGCCCCCCUUCGGCAAGGCACCAGAACAUGCCCCAGAUGGGAUCUUGCGGAGACAGAAGCUUGCGGCGGCGGAAAAGUAUUUUCGUGGCUCUCUCUCAUGGUUUCAGAUUUUUCGGGAUUUAUAGGCGGGCGAAGUAGGGCAAAGGAGCCACGGGGGGCCCACCAGCCUUCUAGGCGCCCCCCCAGGACGCGGCUAGGGGGCUUGUGGCCUCCCCCGGGAGCCUUUGCCUUGGUUCUCAAGCUCCCUGUGUAUCUUCUGUUCCGGAAAAAAUCUUUCCGGAGGUUUUAUUCCGUUUGGACUCCGUUUAAUAUUCUCCUCUGAAAAAGGUCAAAAACACGGAAAAACUGGAACUUGCACUUGGCACUGAGUUAAUAGGUUAGUCCCAAAAAAGAUAUAAAAUGCAUACAAAAGAUCCAAAGUUGACAAGAUAAUAGCAUGGAACUAUCAAAAAUUAUAGAUACGUUGGAGACGUAUCACAUACCAAGCCCUUGGUCCUUGUUUGAGGCCACACAACGCCUUGUUGAGCCUGUAGACCAUCUCUAGGUGUUUUGGAUCUUCAAACGCUAGUGGUUGAGCAACAUAUACUUCUUCCUCAAUCUUACCACUGAGGAAUUUACUUUUGGCAUCCAUUCGGUAUAAGCAUAUAUCAUGGUGGUUAUCAUAAGCAAGCAAUAUGCGUAUGGCUUCAAGUCUAGCAACAAGUGCAAAUGUUUCAUAGAAAUCAAUACCCUUAGCUUGUGUGUAUCCUUGAGUGACAAGUCGAGCCUUGUUUCUGAGCACCUGGCCAGAUUCAUCUUGCUUGUUGCAGUAGAUCCACUUUGUGUUGAUAAUAUUGUGUUUGCAUGGAUCGGGACGCUUAACUAACUCCCAUUUGUUGUUGAGCUUCAAUUGAUGAAGCUCUUCUUUCAUGGCUUGAAUCCAUUCCGAUUCCAUGAAGGCUUCAUCUACCUUGGUGGGAUCUGAGAUUGACACAAAAGCAAAAUGCCCACAAAAGUUAGCCCAUUGGUUAGCUCUUGAGCGAAUGAGAGGACCUAGCACAUUGAUGCUAUCGAGCGUUGAUGUCUAGUACACAACUUGUUCUUGUAGACUCGUGUUGGGCCUCCAAGCGUGGAGUUUUGUAGGAAGGUAGCAAUUUUCCCUCAAAUGGAUGACCUAAUGGUUAUCAAUCUUUGGGAGGUGUAGGAUGAAGAUGGUCUCUCUCAAACAACCCUGCAAUCAAAUACAAAAAAUCUCUUGUGUCCCCAACACACGCAAUACAAUGGGAACUCGUAUAGGUGCGCUAGUUCGGCGAAGAGAUGGUGAUACAAGUGUAGUAUGGAUGAUAAAAUGUAUUUUUAUAAUCUGAAUAAAUAAAAACAGCAAGGUAGCAAUUCCUAAAAUGUAGAACAAACGAUAUUGCAAUGCUUGAAAAUGAGGCAUAGGGUCCGUACUUUCGCUAGUGCAAUCUCUCAACAAUGCUAAUAUAAUUGGAUCACAUAAAAUUCUCUCAACGUGCGAUAAAAAAUCACUACAAAGUUCCUAUCUAGAGGAGAACAUAAGAAUAAAUUAUUUGUAGGGGAUGAAACCACCUCAAAGUUAUUCUUUCGGAUCAAUCUUUCCAAGAGUUCGUACUAAAAUAACAAGUUAUCCUUCUCGAUCGAUCUAUCCAAGAGUUUGUAGUAAAAUAACAUCAUAACAAAUUCAGAUUCAUAAUACUCAAUCCAACACAAAUAAACUCAAAUACUGCCCCAAGAUUUCUACCGGAGAAACAAAGACGAGAACGUGCAUCAACUCCUAUGCAUAGAUUACCCCAAUGACACAUCGGGAAUCCAUGAGUUGAGUGCCAAAACAUAUAUCAAGUGAAUCGAUAUGACACCCCAUUGUCACCACGAGUAUUCAUAGCAAUACAUAAAUCAAAGCUCUCAAAUACAUAAAAGUAUUCAAUCCGAUAAAAUGAAAUCUCAAAGGGAAAACUCAAUUCAUCACAACAAGAUAGAGAGGGAGAAACACCAUAUGAUCCAACUAUAUUAACAAAGCCCAUGAUACAUCAAGAUCAUGCCAUCUCAAGAACACGAGAGAGAGAGACAGAGAUUAAACACAUAGCUACCGGGACAAACCCUCAGCCCCGAGGGUGGACUACUCCCUCCUCAUCAUGGUGUCCAUAGGUAUGAUGAAGAUGGCCUCCGGUGAUGAUCUCCCCCUCCGACAGGGUGCCAUAACGGGCUCCCGAUUGGUUAUUAGUGUCCAUAGAGGCUUGCAGUGGUGGAACUUCUGAUCUAGGGUUAUCUCUAGAGGUUUCUCUGUUUACAUGAUUUUUGGGCAUUGGAGUCACGCCAAGAUGGGCCACGAGGUGCCCACUAGGUACGAGGUCACGUCAGGGGGCAGGCGCGCCCUAGUGCCUAGUGGGCAGCCUGGCCUCCUCUGGUUUGCUUCCUUGGUCCUCCCGAUGUCUUCUCGGCAGAAAAAAAAUCUCCAAAAAGGUUCAUGACAUUUGGACUCCGUUUGAUAUUGAUUUUGUGUAAAGUAAAAAAUAAGAAAAAACAUGAACUCGCAUUGGGCACUAUGUCAGUAGGUUAGUCCCCAAAAUGAUAUAGAGUUGCUAUAAAAUGAUUGUAAAACAUCCAAGAAUGAUAAUAUAACAACAUGGAACAAUCGAAAAAUAAAAAAAAGUGUUGCAUACGUAUUAGCAUCCCCAGGCUUAAUUCCUACUCGUCCUCGAGUAGGUAAAUGAUAAAAACAUAAUUUUUGAUGUGGAAUGUUGCCUAACAUGUUCAUGAUAUUAUUUUCUUUAUAGCAUGGACACAUAUGGACUGUAGAUUAUUCAAAACAAUAGUCUUUAAUUUGACAUGAAAACUUUAAUACUCAAGCAUAUCAACAAGCAACCAAGUCUUUCCAAAUAUCAACGCUAAAGAACAUUAUCCCUAGACCAUCAUGCUCAACCAUUGAUCCAUUCAUGCAACACACCAAAAUAUUAGCUACAUCUAAUUCUCAAGUAUGAUAACAUUGUUUCUUAGUUUUUUUGAAGGAAAACUGUAAGGGAAACCCGUACAACGAGUUUUUUAAAUAAUAAGAACCCAAAUUCGCGUCCGUGGGUACUUGAACCUGGGUGGCUGGGUUGUACAUCCACUCCACUAGCCAAGUGAUCUAGGAUCACUUCCUUAUAGUAUUCCGUAGUUCGUGCUUUAUAAGAGAAGAUGGAGACUCGAAUUUUUUUUGCCUAAAUGUAAAUAGAUAUGCCAUUCACACAGGGAAGCAGACAUUUGUAGAGGUGCGAGAGCUCAAGGCAAAAAAUUGAGAGAUAAAAUAUUUUGGGUGGCAUGCUUUUCGUGUCAAUGGAAAUGGCUAAGAGUUCCCAAUAUCUUCCAUGCUAAACAAAUCAUAGGCGGUUCCCAAACUGAAAAUAAAGUUUAUUCAUUUUUCCACCAUUCUUUCACACUCCAGGGCUAGACGCAUCCACGGGUACCGUCCAUACCAACACUUUCCAAGGAAUUUAUUGUUUGACAACAUAACAUAAAUUUUCUUUGCAUUUCGGGACUCGGCAUCCCUAUUACCGCCAUACUCUCAUCCAAUGACAAGUUAAUAAACACUCAUCUUGAGAAUAACCUAUUUAACAUGGAAGAUACUAGCCAUCCCUCGCCACUUCAUGAGCGGUACGGGCACACAAAACAGAAGGUUAUUUUGAAUAUUAGAGUUGGCACAUACAAAUUUACUUCGAAUGGAAGUAAAAUACCACAUAUAGGUAGGUAUGGUGGACUCAUUUGGCACAACUUUGGGUUCAGGACUUGGAUACACAAGCAGCAUUCCCGCUUAGUACAAGUGUUACAAAAUAUUUCUCCAUAUGUGGUUUUGGUAAUUGAUGACAAUCCCUAUGGACUUAUGGUUUCCUUGAGUUAUAUUCAAAGGAUUUGUACAUAGGCACUACUUGAUGUCCAUAUGUUGGUUUCAAGGAGUUUAUAUGAUGAUCAAGGUGGUAUUCGAGGUUUUAUCCAAAGAUUGGUCAUAAUGACACAAGGCUGAUCAAGACUAAGUCAAGAGUGAAUCAAGUUGAUCAACACACAAAGCGUACAAGAGGUACAGAGGGUGAUCAAGUGAUCCCAUGGUAUGGUAAACAUUGUCAUUACGCUUUGUGUACUAACCCAUGGUCUUCAUGAGACUUUUAUGUGGGGUUAGGUGAGUUUCCAUGGGCUUGUGUCAAGAUGAAGGUCUCAUUCAACCAAUGGAAGAUUAUGUUGUGCAAGUUCAAGUGGAGCAUCACGAUGAAAUCAUGUUUGAAGCUUGAUGUCCAUUGUGGUGACAAUGGAUUUGUGAAGAUGUGCUAAAGAUUGGAUCAUCCAUAGUGAGUAUGAGAGAGCAAUCAACUAGUCUUCAUCGAGGCAACGCAUUCAAGAAAGGUGGCCCAUCUUGAGGAAGUCAAGAUCGUCAUCAUCUAGCUCAAGUGGACUAUGUGCACGGUAUAUGUUUGCCCUUGAUAGGUUUUCUUUUACUGGUCUCACGAUGGUAGUUGGGAGACUGGGUUAUAGGAUAGGUUGUCGCACUAUUAAGGGGGGAUAUCAAGUGAGUAGCUUGAUCGUAUCAUUCGUCGAGAGCUUAUGGUCAUCUUGACGACAAGCUCGAGUUCAUCAAAAAUGGAGUCCACAUGCAUUUUCUAUGAUGUUUUCGAUGUUGAAUUUUUGUUGGUUCUUCAUUCAUAGAGGUUUCACAUAUCUAUAUCAUUGGAAUUUUGAUAAAUGCAUGUUCUUAAGAUAACCAACAAGCUUGAGUUUACUCAAUUCAGAGCUCGUAUGCGAAAGUUAUGGAAGUUCACGGCAGAUUUUCUCUCUCAAGCGGAAAUACCGCUCGGGCCGAGUGGUAGUACCGCUCUCGUAGUACUACCGCCCUCCCCUUCCGCUCCCACUUCUUCUUAAUUAUUUCUUCUGGUAUCUGUGUUCCCCUUUGACAAGACUAAGCAUAAAGUACCACUUGGAGUAGGGCGGUAGUACCACUUUGGCGGAACUACCGCCCCUUUGGCUAUGUACUAUCGCCUGUGGUGGCCUGCACUUCUGUGCAAGCGAAGUACUGCCCACCUGCAUGAUACUACCGCUUAGUUGAGUCGUUGGGUAGAAUAACGGCCAGAUUUCCUCCCACUAUUUAAGGGGGUCUUCUUCCCCAAUGGCCUUUUAUCCAUUGAGCUCUUGUUCUUCCCCCAUUGUUGACUUUCUUGGAGUUUUCUAACUCUCGAUCCCUCCAAUGAUUCUUGCUAGUUCUUGAGGGAAAAGAGAGAGGUGAUCUAGAUCCACAUUUCCACCAAUCACUUUCUCCUCUAUGUGAGGGGAACCCCUUGGAUCUUGAUCUUGGUGUUCUUUGUGAGCUCCUUGUUCUUCCUCACAUAUUCCUCUAUUGAUUUUUUUGUUGUGGAGGGAUUUGAGUGUGAGGGACUUGACCACUUUGUGUGUUCUUGCCAUUGCAUUAGUUGCAUCAGUUUGAGUUCUCCAUAGUGAUACGUGGAAGUGAAAAUUUGAGAAGCUUAUUACUCUUGGGUGCUUGGUACCCUAGAGCUUGUUCUUCUUGGGUUCUUUGGCAUCCUAGAAGCUUGGUGGUGCAUUGGAUCUCAACCAUUGUGGUGUAAAGCUCCGGGAAAGCGCCGGGGUCUCCAAUUAGGUUGUGAGAUUGCCCCGAGCAUUUGAGGUCAUCUCGGAGCCACAGUCCAUUGUGGUGAAGCUUCGUGGUGUUGUUGGGAGCCUUCAAUUAAGUUGUGGAGAUUGCACCAACCUUGUUUCGAGCAUUUGAGGUCAUCUCGGAGCCACAGUCCAUUGUGUGAAGCUUCGUGGUGUUGUUGGGAGCCUUCAAUUAAGAUGUGGAGAUUGCCCCAACCUUGUUUGUAUCGGUUCGGUGACCACCCUCAAGGGUCCCUUAGUGGGAUCAAGGCAUCUUGCAUUGUGCGAGGGCGUGAAGAUAUUAUGUUGGCCUUAGUGGCUCUUGGGGAUCAUUGUGCCUCCACACUGCGCCAAAUGGAGAUUAGCAUCUGCAAGGGUGUGAACUUCGGGAUGCAUCGUUGUCUCUGUGCCUCGGUUAUCUCUUACCCGAGUCUUUUACUUAUGCACUUUACUUUGUGAUAGCCGUAUUGUUUCUUGUUAUAUAUAUAUAUAUUGCUAUCACUUAGUUGGUUAUCUUGCAUAGCAUAAGUUGUUGAGGCACAUAGGUGAGCCUAGUUGUUUUAUGUUUUGUGCUUGACUAAUUGAACAUUAGUUUUAUUCCACAUUUAUUCAAGCCUAAACCAUAAUUAUUUUAAAGCGCCUAUUCACCCCCCUCUAGGCGACAUCCACGUCAUUUCAACAAGUUAAGUCUAGCAAAUAGAUUGAGAAGCGCCCAACCAAGGAAAGAAAACCAUCAUAAGUGAACAUUAAACAUAACUAACACCGAAUAAUGCAACACAAGUAGGAUGUAACUUCAUAGCAUAAUAUUGACUUCAUGCGCAUGCAUAGGGAAUCACAAACCUGAACACCAAUUUUCUUACUAAAGCAUAAUUACUCAUCAACACAACUCACAUAUCACUAUCUUCAUAUCGCAAAACUGUUGCAAAGAAUCAAGUUUAACAUUCAGUGAUCUUCAUGAACGUUUUUAUUAUAUCUCCCCUGGAUAUCUAUCACUUUGGGACCAAUUUCAUUUAAAGCAGAUUGCCAUUGCUAAUAACAAGCUCUCAAACAAAUAUAAGUGAAGCAGGAGAGCACAAGUUUCUUUAAAAUUUUCAACUCUCAAAAUAAUAUAAGUGACCAUGCUCAAAAGAUAUAAGUGAAGCACUAGCGAAAUUCAAUCAAACUACUCUCAAAAGAUAUAAGUGAAGAUCAAUGAGUAGUCAAACAAUUAAGUAGCUAUGUGAGGACUCUCUCUCAAUAAAGAUUUUUAAAUCUGAUAUUUUAUUUCAAACAUCAAAUAAAACAAAAGACACUCCAAGAAUAGCACAUAUCAUGUGGACAAAUAAAAAUUUAGGCUCAAUAUAGGCUAACCGAUAUUUGUUUGAUGAAGAGAGGUGGGAUGCAUCGAAUCCCCAAGCUUAGAUGCUUGAGAAUUCUUAAAAUAUUUACUUGGGUGCCUUGGGCAUCCCCAAGCUUGAUAUUUUGUAUCUCUUUCAAUCCUCUCAUAUCCUAGUUUCACCUAAGUCUCAAAAACUUCAUCCACACAAUACUUGAAAAGAACUCGUGAGAUAGGUUAGUGCACAUAAGCAUAAAUCAACUCUUUAUGGUGGGGUCAUUUGGCCUCCCCCAUUUUUUUCAUUUUUCGUCCGGAGUCUAUUCCUGACUUGUGGGGGAAUCAUAGUCUCCGUCAUCCUUUCCUCACUAGGAUAAUUCUCUAAUAAUGAUGAUCUUCACACUUUUAUUUACUUCCAAUUCAUGAAAACUAGAUAUCACUCAAUAGGAAUGCUUCUGAUAGUGUACCAGGAUGUGCAAUGAUCUGGCAUGACAUGUAUUCAGCUGUGUAAUGAAUGGUGGCUUUACCACAAAUGGUUGUCACCUCUAUAUGGUCAUGCAAAGCAAUAUGGUGAUGAAUGAACUAGUCAUAUGAUGUAAUAGUGUAAUUUGCAUGGCAAUAUAUCUAGGAAUGGAUAUGGAAAUGCCAUGAUAGGUAGGUAUGGUGGCUGUUUUGAAGAAUUUAAAGAAGUGUUUAUGUGUAAUAGAGCAUAUCAUGCCACGGGGUUAGGAUGCACCGGCGAAGUUUGCACCGAUCCUCGAGGUGAGAAUAGGCAAUGCACGAUACCUAAGAGGCUAGAAAAAUAUGAGGAGGUGAGAUUGCGUAUGUCCAAGGUUUCACAUUAGUCCUAAAAAACUCAUAUACUUAUUGCAAAGUUUUAUUAGUUUCAUCUCAAUCCAAAUUAUUAGUUGCAUGCUCCAAGGGAGAGGGUUGGGUGGAGUUAACCAUCGCGCGACUCCAACUCAAAAAACACUAGGAUUUCAGGGAGGGAUAGAAGUACUCAAACGUCCCCACCAUGCCUUUUUAUAUCCAAAGAAACAAGAAAUUAACACCUCUCAAUACAACUACUUCUACGAAUCAAGAAUGAUGCACUCACACCUUUCUAUUAUUACUACAUCAAUAUCAUUAAUCCACAAUUUCUCUUUAUGUUCUACAGGAUGGUUUUGAUUAUCAUUCAUUGGAUACUUAUUAUUUUGGACUAGCUUUAUGACCCACACAAAUUUCCGCUACUAUUUAUUAACUCUGAAACAAAUAUAAAUGAAGAGAAAGAGUUCAAAUACUUCUAUAAAAUCUACACGCCACCUUGCUCAAAAAUAUAUAAGUGAAUUACUAGAGAAAUUGUUUAGCUCAAAAGAUAUAAGUGGAGCACAAAGAGUAUUCUAACAAAUCAUAAUAGAUGUGUAUGUCUCUCAGGUUAGUAUGUCGAGCAAAAGAUGAUUGUGGAAAACUAAAAAUAAAAAGCAAACUAAAUAAAAUGACGCUCCAAGCGAAACUCAUAUCAUGUGAUGAAUAAAAAUGUAGUUUCAAGUGACAUACCGAUGGAUUGAGACGAAAGAGGGGAUGAUUUCUGGGGAAACCCCAAGCUUAGAUGCUUUAGUAUUCCUAGAAUAUUAACUUGGGGUGCCUUGGGAAUACCCAAGCUUAGGCUCUUGCUGCUCCUUAUUCCAUUGUCCAUCGCAAUAAGACCCAAAACUUAAAAAAUUCAAUCACACAAAACUCAACAAAACUUCAUGACAUCCAUUAGUAUAAGCAACAUAAAAAAUACUUAGGCACUGUUGUAAAUUUAUUCUUAUUUCAUUAUUGCAUAAUAGGUACUGUAUUCUAACUUCUCCAUGGAUUAUACCCCCGAUACAAUCCAUAACAUCAUCAAAACAAGAAAACUAUGCAAGAAAAAACAGAAUCUGCCUAAAACAAAACAAUUAGUAGUCAUCUCUAAUGAACAUAUACUUGUGUAACUCCAAAAAUUCUAUUACUUUAGGACAACCUGAGGAAUUUUUGCAGAAAUACUGUGUAAGAAAUGCAGAAUAAAAGAUGUUCCAGAAAAAUUAGAGGAAUUCUACACUCAACAUCAAAGUUUCUGUUUUUGCUCUGUAUCAAUUAUACUUAUCAUACAAGUAAUCCCAAAGGUUUAACCUAUCACAAAGACUAAAUUAAACACAAAAACAAAAUCAUUACAGAUAAAAUAAUCAUGUCAUCACACCUAAGCAGAAAGUAAAAAAGCAAUAAAUUAAGAUAACUAUUGGGUUGCCUCGCAACAAGCUCUAUUGUUUUAUGCCCCUGGCUAGGCAUAAUGCAUAUGAUCAAGUGUUGUCAUCUUUGACACUCAAUCCGUAAGUAGCGCUCAUGAUAGAUUCAUAAGGUGGUUUGAUUCUUUUUCUAGGGAAGUGUUCCAUCCAUUUCUUUAAUGGAAAUUGGAACCUUAUGUUUUUCUCUUUCAUAUCAAUAAUUGCACCUAUAGUUCGUAGGAAAGGUCUUCCAAGUAUUAUUGGACAAGUAGGAUUGCAAUCAAUACAAGCACAAUGAAAUCUAGAGGCACAUAUUUUUUAUUUGCAAUAAUGAGAACAUCAUUAAUUCUACCUAAGGGUUUCUUAAUGGUAGGAUCCGCAAGAUGCAUGUUUAGGGAACACUCUUGAAUAUUAGUGAGACCAAGCACAUCACAAGAGAUUUAGGUAUUGUUGAAACACUAGAACCAAGGUCACACAAAUCAUUGAAUUCAUAUUUAUUUAUUUAUAUUUCUAUAGUAGGUUAUCACUCAUCAUGAAAUUUUCUAGAAAUAGAAACUUCAAGUUCAAGUUUCUUAUCAUAUGCUUUUAUCAUCGCUUCCACUAUAUGAUUAGUGAAAGCCUUAUUUUAUUCAUAAGUAUUGGGUGAGGUAAUAAUGGAUUGCAACAAGGAGAUACAUUCUAUUGAAGAACAUCUUUCAUAAUUAAAAUCCUUGUAACCCAAAAUAAUGGGCACAUCACUAGUUAAAGUUUUGACCUUUCCAAACCCAUUUUUUCAUUCUUAGCAUUAGAAUCAUCACCCUCCAAGCAAACGAGAUGCUCACUAGCUAAAUUUGACUCAUAUAGAGUCCCUUUAUUAUUAAAUUCCAUAGAAGUAAAUAAAGAUUCAAUAGGAGAAGUGUCAAUCAUUUUAAGAUCUUCAUCAUGGUUUUGGCAAAAACCGAGUGGGAGAGAUUUUUCUAGGAAUUCCUGCUUAGCUUUCAACUUAGCGGUCCUCUCCCUAAUUUCAUUCAUAGAUAUUUGGAUACACUUAAUAGUCUCAUUAAAAUCAUGCUUGGGUGGCAAACCUUUACUUUUAAGAGUUUCUACAUCAAGAUCAAUUCUAUCCAUGUUCUUAGCCAAAGUACCGAGCGUAUGCAGCUUUGCCUCUACCAUAGUAUUGAAAACUUUUUGAUAUUUAAUUAAAAUUUUAAUAGCAUUUUCAGGAUUAUAGGAGAACUUAUUAUUAUUGGUAAAAGGAUUUCUAUAAGAAUUGCCCUAACCACUAGAAACAUUAACGGGAUAUGGCCUAGCAUUGAAAUUACCCCUACAAGCAUUGUUAUUGAAAUUAUUUCACGAGAUAAAAUUCACAUCAACGGCAUUAUAAUUUUGAUCUAUCAAAGUGGACAAGGUCAUGUCAUUAGGAUCAACAUGAUUAUUUUUUUAGCAACCAAAUUCAUGAGAGCGUCCACUUUUUCACUCAAGGUAGUGAUUUCCUCAACAGAAUUUACCUUCUUGCGCGUUGGAGCUCUUUCGAUAUGCCAUUAAGCAUAGGUUGCCAUGAUGUUUUAUAGAAGUUGGUGGCCUCUACUAAGGUCACCUCCAUGAAGGUACCACCUGCGGCAGAACCUAGAAGAUUUCUGGAUGCAAUGUUUAGUCCCGCAUAGUAAUUUUCGAUGAUCAUCCACAAGUUUAAACCAUGCAUAGGGCAAUUUCCAAUCAUUAAUUCCAUCCUAUCCCAAGAUUUUGCAACAUGUUCAUGAUCUUGCUGUUUAAAAUUCAUUAUUUGAUUUCUAAGGGUGAUGAUCUUAGUAGUAGGAAAAUACUUGGCAAUAAAAGCAUCUUUACACUUAUUCCAUGUUACAAUACUAUUACGUUGUAAAGAUGAAAACCAAGCCUUAGCUUUAUAUCUUAGCGAAAAAGGAAAUAAUUUUAGUUUCAAAAUAUCAUUAUCGACAUCCUUUUUGUUCCGCAUAUCACAAAGUUCAACAAAGGUAUUAACAUGAGAAGUGGGAUCCUCCUUAGGACUUGUCGAAAACUAUUCUUUUAUGACAAGAUUCAGCAAUGUAGCAUUUAUAUCAAAGGCAUCCGCACUAGUGGUGGGCAGUAUAGGAGUACUAAUAAAAUAAUUAUUAUUAGUUUUUGAUAAGUCAAACAACUUAGUAGUAUCUUGAGACAUUAUGACCGAGAAAGCAAAGUAACAAGCACGACAAGUAAAUCAGAGGGUGAAGAUGCAAACUAGUGACAAGCAAAGCAAGCAAAGGUAAAUAUUUUUGUAUUUUUGAUUAUUUUUUUGAACAAGCAAUAUAUAACAACAAAUAAAAAGAAGAACAAGUGAAUAAUAAUUUGUGUGAAUUUACUUCAUAGUUGGUGAUGAUAUUUCCCAACAAAUACGCAAGAAAUCCUUCGUGAUGCUUGUGAUCUGCAUUGGGUUUUCUGUUAAGAGGAACUGAUUAUCGCAACACAACGCUGGGUAAGUAUUUCCCUAGAUUAAGAAACCAAGGUUUAUUGAACCAAAAGGAAUAUCAAUCCUCAACCAUCUUCAGCGGCUGCACACAAAAUAGCAAACAACUUGCACCCAACGCGGGCAACAGGGUUGGCAAUCCCCUUGAUCUCGUUAUUUGCGAGCGGAUAUGGUGUGUAGAUAAUUGUAGUUAGUUCUGACUUGCAAAAUAAAAUAAAAGCCAAAUAAUAACAGCAAGGAAAUUAUCAGUUUUCUAAAUAUAUAAGUGAAUAGACCCGGGGGGCAUAGUGUUCUAUAGUGGCAUCUCUCAUGAAAGGAAUAAACGGUGGGUAAGCAAAUUACUGUUGGGCAAUUGAUAGAAUAGCGGAUAAUUAUGCGAUUUUCACGACAAUGAUCAUGUGUAUAUAGGCAUCACCUCGAUAAGCAAAUAGGGAGACUCAUGCCUGCACCUACUACUGUUACUCCACCCAUAGACCGCUCUUCAGCAUGCAUCUAGAGUAUUAAGUAAAACACAAUAAUGCUUGGGGAACGAUGACAUGAUGAAGAGAAAGUAAACUCAAUCAAUAUGAAUAAACCCUAUCAUUUUAUCCUUAGUGGAAGCAUCACAAAGAUGCAACUUGUCCCCAUUCUUUCAUUGGGAUAUAUAAACUAGACAGGUUGAACCCACUACAACGCACAUCUACCACUGAAGAAAGAUCAGACUACUUGGCCAAAGCAAUUCAAUAGACCGGAUAGAUUUACGAUGCUAUGAUGAUCAUGCAAAUAAGAAUAAUAAACUCAUAGAGUAUUACAAUAAUUUUCAUGAAUAGUAUGAAUAUAAUCCCACAAUUCAUUGGAUCACAAGAAACACACCGCACAAAAGAAUUACAUUGUAUAGAUCAAAGCGGAGAUGCGAUUAUCAUUGUAUUGAAGAUCAAGAGAGAUAGAUAACCAUCUAGACACUAACUAUGGACCCAUAGAUCUGUGGUGAACUACUCACACAGCAUCACGAGGGCACCAAGGUUGAUGAAGAGGCCAUCCGUGAUCGACCCCUCCUAGUCGUGCCCUGUUUCCUUGUCGGCUUCCUGUGGGGCUUCAGGUCUCCUCCCAAAGCUUCUAGGUCUUCUUUUGGUCAGAAAAAAUCAUCAAAUUUUUUCAUGCCAAUUGGACUUCGUUUGGUACUCCCUCUAUCACGGUUUAGAAGGCGCGCAUGAGCAAUCUCUGCAACCAAGGUGAAUCUUGAUUGGAUCUAAUUUUUUUGCAAGUGCUCACACAAUAAUCGCAUGUCGCCUAAUUAUUUGAGAAGAUAAUGCACAGUAACUCACACAACCCCUAAACGAGGAGAGCAUGAAGCCUACUAGUAUUCCUAAUUAACCAAGCAGUAAAUGUCAUGCACCUUAAUCCUCUAUUCUCGAAUUGCCUAAUUAUUUGAGAAGAUAAUGCACAGUAACUCACACAACCACUAAACGAGGAGUGCAUGAAGCCUACUAGUAUUCCUAAUUAACCAAGAAGUAAAUAUCAUGCACCUUAAUCCUCUUCUAUUCUCGAAAUGCAUGUAAACGGAACCGUGCCAUCUAAACCAUGGCGGAGGGAGUACUGAAAACCUGAAAAACAAAAAACACACGGAAAACAGCAACUAGCACUAGACACUCGGUUAAUAUGUUUGUGCUAAAAAAUAAUAUAAAUUGGUGCAUUAUCACCCAAAAAGUAUCUUAAGAUGAUAAUAUAACAACUUGGAACAAUCAAAAAUUAUAGAUACCUUGGAGAUGUAUUGAUACGUCCAUUUUGCAUCAUGCUUUCAUGUUGAUAUUUAUCGCUUUUGGGGCUGUUAUUACACUUCACGGUACAAUACUUAUGCCUUCUCUCUUAUUUUGCAAGGUUUAUAUGAAGAGGUAGAAUGCCGACAGCUGGAAUUCUGGCCUGAAAAGGGAGCAAGUUUGAGAUGCCUAUUCUGCGCAACUCCAAAAGCCGUGAAAAUCAACGUGGAUUUUGUUUGGGAUUUAUAAAAAAUACUGGGCCAAAGAAGUGACACACGGGCGACAGCAGGAGGCCACAAGCCUGCUAGGCGUGGCCUCCCCCCUAACCGCGCCUAGGGGACUUGUGAGCUCCCUGCUGGCCCACUGGCCCCCCUCUUUUGCUACAAGAAGGGUUUCGGUCUGGAAAAAAUUAAGAGGAGGAUUUUCGGAGGAUUCGCCGCCGACACGAGGCGUAACUUGAGCAGAACCAAUCUACAGCUCCGACAGGACGAUCCUGUCGGGGAAACUUCCCUCCCGGAGGGGGAAAUCGUCGCCAUCGUCAUCACCAACACUCCUCUCAUCGGAGGGAACUCAUCACCAUCAACAUCUUCAUCAGCAACAUCUCAUCUGCAAACCCUAGUUCAUCUCUUGUAAGUAAUCUCCGUCUCGCGACUCCGAUUGGUACUUGUAAGGUUGCUAGUAGUGUUAAUUACUCUUUGUAGUUGAUGCUAGUUGGAUUACUUGGUGGAAGAGUUUAUGUUCAGAUCUUUGAUGCUACUCAUUACCUCUCUGGUCAUGAUUAUGAUUAUGCUUUGUGAGUGGUUACUUUUGUUCCUGAGGACAUGGGAUAAGUCAUGCUAUAAGUAGUCAUGUGAAUUUGGUAUUCGUUCGAUAUUUUGAUGUGUUGUAUGUUGUUUUUCCUCUAGUGGUGUUAUGUGAACGUCGACUACAUAACACUUCACCAUUAUUUGGGCCUAGAGGAAGGCAUUGGGAAGUAGUAAGUAGAUGAUGGGUUGCUAGAGUGACAGAAGCUUAAACCCUAGUUUAUGCAUUGCUUCGCAAGGGGCUGAUUUGGAUCCACUAGUUUAAUGCUAUGGUUAGACUUUGACUUAAUUAUUCUUUCGUAGUUGCGGAUGCUUGCGAGAGGGGUUAAUCAUAAGUGGGAUUCUUGUCCAAGUAAGGGCAGUACCCAAGCGCCGGUCCACCCACAUAUCAAACUAUCAAAGUAACGAACGCGAAUCAUAUGAACAUGAUGAAAACUAGCUUGACAGAAAUUCCCAUGUGUCCUCGGGAGCGUUUUACCUCCUAUAAGAGUUUGUACAGGCUUGUCCCUUGCUACAAAAGGGAUUGGGACACUUUGCUGCACCGUUGUUACUUUUGCUAAUUGCUACUUGCUACGAAUCAUCUCGCCACACAACUACUUGUUACCGAUAAUUUCAGAGCUUGCAGAGAUUACCUUGCUGAAAACCAUUUGUCAGAUCCUUCUGCUCCUCAUUGGGUUCGACACUCUUACUUAUUGAAAGGACUAUGAUAGAUCCCCUAUACUUGUGGUUUAUCAAGACUCUUUUCUGGCGCUGUUGCCGGGGAGUGAAGUGCCUUUGGGAAGUGGAAUUUGGUAAGGAGACAUUUAUAUAGUGUGCUGAAAUUUAUUGUCACUUGUCACUAUGGAAACUAAUCCUUUGAGGGGCUUGUUCGGGGUAUCUUCACCUCGAACGGAAGCACAAAGAGUUGCUCCUCAACCUGCUGCACCUACUGAAAAUAUUUGCUUUGAAUUUCCUUCGGGUAUGCUUGAGAAACUGCUGGCUAAUCCUUUUACAAAAGAUGGAACAUCAUAUCCAGACUUGCAUCUAAUCUAUGUAGAUGUAGUUUGUGGUUUAUUUAAGCUUGCAGGUUUGCCUGAGGAUGAGGUCAAGAAGAAGUUAUUUCCCUUAUCUUUGAGGGAUAAGGCGUUGACAUGGUAUAGUCUAUGUGAUGAUACUGGAUCAUGGAACUACAAUCGGUUGAAAUUGGAAUUUCAUCAAAAGUUUUAUCCUAUGCAUUUAGUACAUCGUGAUCGGAAUUAUAUUUAUAAUUUUUGGCCUCGUGACAGAGAAAGCAUCGCUCAAGCUUGGGGGAGGCUUAAAUCAAUGUUAUAUUGAUUCCCCCAACCAUGAGCUCUCGAGAGAAAUUAUCAUUCAGAACUUCUAUGCUCGGCUUUCUCAUGAUGAUCGCACCAUGCUUGACACUUCUUGUACCGGCUCUUUAUGAAGAGAGAUAUUGACUUCAGAUGGAAUUUAUUGGAAAGAAUUAAACGUAACUCUGAAGAUUGGGAGCUUGAUGAAGGUAAAGAGUCAGGUAUGAAUUUCAAGUUUGAUUGCGUUAAAUCCUUUGUUGAAACAAAUACCUUUUGUGAUUUUAGCGCUAAGUAUGGACUUGACUCUGAGAUAGUAGCUUCAUUGUGUGAAUCAUUUACUGCUCAUAUUGAUCUCCCUAAAGAGAAGUGGUUUAAAUAUCAUCCUCCCUUAGAAGUCAAUGUAGUUAAACCCAAUCCAGUUGAAGAGAGAGUCAUUGCCUAUAAUGAUCCUAUUGUUCCUAGUGCUUACAUUGAGAAACCACCUUUCCCUGUUAGGAUAAAGGAUCAUUCUAAAGCUUCAACUGUGACACGUAGAGACUACAUUAGAACACCUACACCCCCUGAGAAAAUUAGAGUUGAACCUAGCAUUGCUAUUAUCAAAGAUCUCCUGUCCGACAAUGUUGAUGGCCAUGAUAUUCACUUCUGUGAAGAUGGUGCUAGAAUUGCUAAACCACACGCUAGAGACAAACAUAGGCCUGUUGUUGGCACGCCUGUUGUUUCUGUUAAGAUAGGAGAUCAUUGUUAUCAUGGUUUAUGUGACGUGAGUGCUAGUGUUAGUGCAAUAACUCAAUCCAUAUAUGAUGAAAUUAAAGACGAGAUUGCACCUAUCGAGAUAGAACCCAUUGAUAUCACUAUUCAGCUUGCUAAUAGAGAUACUAUCUGCCCUGUGGUAAUUGUUAAGGAUGUUGAAGUCUUGUGUGGUAAAAUGAAGUAUCCUGCUGAUUUCCCCGUUCUUGCUACCACACAAGAUAGCUUUUGUCCCAUCAUAUUUGGUAGACCUUUUCUCAAUACUGUCAAUGCUCAUAUUGACUGUGAGAAGCAAACUGUCACUGUUGGCUUUGAAGGUGUGUCACAUGAGUUCAAUUUCUCCAAGUUUGGUAGACAACCCCAUGAAAAAGAGUUGCCUAGUAGGGAUGAAACUAUUGCCCUAGCUUCUAUUGCCGUGACUCCUACUGAUCCUUUAGAGCAAUACUUUCUUGAGCAUGAAAAUGAUAUGCAUAUGGAUGAAAGGGAUGAGAUAGAUAGAGUUGUCUUAGAACAAUAUCCUAUCCUUAAGAAUAACUAGCAUGUUGAACUGCUUGGAGAUCCACCCCCACCAAAGGGUGAUCCUGUAUUCGAGCUUAAACAGUUGCCUGAUACUCUUAAGUAUGCUUAUCUUGAUGAGAAAGAGAUAUAUCCUCUUAUUAUUAGUGCUAGCCUCUCAAAGCAUGAAGAAAAUAAGUUACUAAAAACUCUGAGGAAGCAUCAUGCUGCUAUUGGAUAUACUCUUGAUGAUCUUAAGGGCAUUAGUCCCACUCUAUGCCAGCACAAGAUUAAAACUGGUCCUGAUUCCAAGCCAGUUGUUGAUCAUCAACGGAGAUUAAAUCCUAAGAUGAAAGAGGUAGUAAGAAAAGAAAUACUAAAGCUCCUGGAAGCAGGUAUUAUCUAUCAUGUUGCUCAUAGUGAUUGGGUGAGUCCGGUGCAUUGCGUCCCUAAGAAGGGAGGUAUUACCGUAGUCCCUAAUGAUAAGGAUGAAUUGAUCCCACACAGGAUUAUUACUGGCUAAAGGAUGGUGAUCGAUUUUAGGAAAUUGAAUAAAGCCACUAGGAAAGAUCAUUACCCUUUGCCUUUUAUCGACAAAAUGCUAGAAAGACUGUCUAAACACACACACUUCUGCUUUCUAGACGAUUAUUCUGGUUUCUCCCGAAUACCAGUUGCACAAGCUGAUCAGGAGAAAACCACUUUCACCUGCCCUUUCGGUACCUUUGCUUAUAGAUGUAUGCCUUUUGGCUUAUGUAAUGCACCUGCUACCUUUCAAAGAUGUAUGAUGGCUAUAUUCUCAGACUUUUGUGAAAAGAUUGUUGAGGUUUUCAUGGAUGACUUCUCCGUCUACGGGUCUUCUUUUGAUGAUUGCCUCAACAACCUUGAUCGGGUCUUGCAGAGAUGUAAAGACACCAAUCUUGUCUUGAAUUGGGAGAAGUGCCACUUUAUGGUUAAUGAAGGCAUCAUCUUAGGACAUAAAAUUUCUGAAAGAGGUAUUGAAGUCGAUAAGGCUAAGGUUGAUGCGAUCGAGAAAAUGCCAUACCCCACAGAUACCAAAGGUAUAAUAAGUUUCCUUGGUCAUGCUGGUUUCUAUAGGAGGUUCAUUAGAGACUUCUCUAAGAUUUCUAGGCCUCUUACCAAUCUCUUGCAAAAGGAUAUUCCUUUUGUUUUUGACGAUGAUUGUGAGGAAGCCUUUGAAAUACUUAAGAAGGCCUUGAUAACUGCACCUAUUGUUCAACCACCUGAUUGGAACUUACCUUUUGAAAUCAUGUGUGAUGCUAGUGAUUAUGUUGUUGGUGCUGUCCUAGGGCAAAGAGUUGAUAAGAAGUUGAAUGUUAUUCACUAUGCUAGUAAAACUCUAGACAGUGCCCAAAGAAACUAUGGUACUACGGAAAAGGAAUUUUUAGCAGUCGUGUUUGCAUGUGAAAAGUUUAGGUCUUACAUAGUUGAUUCCAAAGUCACUAUUCACACUGAUCACGCUGCUAUUAAGUACCUCAUGGAGAAGAAGGACGCUAAACCUAGACUUAUCAGAUGGGUUCUCUUCCCACAACCUAUUGAUGAUAGCUUUCCUGAUGAGCAAUUGAAUGUCAUCAAUACUUCACGUAGUGCACCGUGGUAUGCUGAUUAUGCAAAUUAUAUCAUUGCCAAAUAUAUACCACCUAGUUUCACAUACGAGCAAAAGAAGAAAUUCUUUUUUGACUUGAGACAUUACUUCUGGGAUGAUCCUCACCUUUAUAAGGAAGGAGUAGAUGGUGUUAUUAGCCGUUGUGUACCUGAAUAUGAAUAGGGACAGAUCCUACAAAAGUGUCACUACGAGGCCUACGGAGGACACCAUGCGGGAGAUAGAACUGCACGCAAGGUAUUGCAAUCAGGUUUCUAUUGGCCCACUCUCUUUAAAGAUGCUCGUAAGUUUGUCUUGUCUUGUGAAGAAUGUCAAAGAAUAGGUAAUAUCAGUAAACGUCAGGAAAUGCCUAUGAAUUAUUCACUUGUCAUUGAACCAUUUGAUGUUUGGGGCUUUGAUUAUAUGGGACCUUUUCCAAAAUCCAACGGGUAUACUCAUGUCCUAGUUGCUCUUGAUUACGUCACUAAGUGAGUAGAAGCUAUCACCACUAGUAGUGUUGAUCGCAACACCUCUAUGAGGAUGCUUAAAAAAGUUAUUUUUCCUAUAUUUGGAGUCCCUAGAUAUCUAAUGACCGACGGUGGUUCACAUUUCAUUCAUGGUGCUUUCCUUAAAACGCUUGCUAAGUACGAUGUCAACCAUAGAAUUGCGUCCCCCUAUCACCCUCAGUCAAGUGGUCAAGUAGAGCUAAGCAAUAGAGAGAUUAAACUAAUUCUGCAAAAGACUGUCAACAGGUCUAGAAAGAAUUGGUCUAAGAAGCACGAUGAUGCACUGUGGGCUUAUAGAACUGCCUAUAAGAAUCCCAUGGGCACGUCUCCGUACAAAAUGGUGUAUGGUAAAGCAUGUCUCUUACCUCUUGAGCUAAAGCAUAAGCCUUAUUGGGCAAUCAAAGAGCUCAACUUUGAUUUCAAACUUGCUGGUGAGAAGAGGUUAUUUGACAUUAGCUCGCUUGAUGAAUGGAGAACUCAGGCAUAUGAGAAUGCCAAGUUGUUCAAAGAAAAAGUUAAGAGGUGGCAUGAUAAAAGGAUACAAAAGCGUGAGUUCAAUGUAGGUGAUUAUUUCUUGCUAUAAAAUUCUCGUUUAAGAUUUUUUGCAGGCAAGAUUCUCUCUAAAUGGGAAGGUCCCUAUAUUGUUGAGGAAGUAUAUCGUUCCGGUUCUAUCAAGAUCAACAACACGGAAGGUAAUUGUCCGAGAGUGGUAAAUGGGUAGAGAAUCAAGCAUUAUAUCUCAGGUACUCCCAUAAAUGUUGAAAGAAAUAUUAUCAAUACCAUAACUCCGGAGGAGUACCUAAGGGAUAUAUAUCACCCUCUUUCAGACUCCGAAAACGAAGAGGUAUGUGAUUCGGUAAGUAAACCGACUCCAAAACUUUUCCAGUAGGAUUUUUCCUCCAUUUUGGAAUUUUUAGAAAAAUAGAAAAAUUUGAAGUAGUCCACAAAGCGCACGAGGAGGCGACAAGCCUGCUAGGCGCGGGCCACCCCCUGGCCGCGCCUAGGGGGCUUGUGGCCAUCUUGUGUGCCUCCCGUACUCUGUUUUCUUGUGGAGUACUCCUUUUGGUCUGGAAAAAAUCAUUAUAUAUUAUCCCGAAAGGUCUGACCCUUGUAUCACGCGAAUUUCCUCUGUUUUCGUUUCGAGCGUGUUUCUGUUGCAGAUCUAGAUUGCUAUGACGUCCCCAAAAGCUCCGAAGGACAAGAUCUUCGAGAACGUCAUCAAUCCCUACCUCACGGGAGUGCUGCAACACCCUCAAUCUAUCGAUAUGCGUGAGGGGAUGCUGCACAUCCGUGAUGUUGAGGGGCCUAAGAAGACUGGAAGCGUGGAGGCGAGGCUCGAAGCAAUAGAGCAACAGGUCUUCAAGUGCCAAGGGAUGGUGGAGCGUGGACUCAAAGCCAACCACAUGAUGAUCACGAAGUUCACCAACAAGCACAAGAUCAAUGCCAAUGACAUCGGGAAGCACCUCUCCAGGCUCUAUGACAGAAUUGAUCACCUCCAAGCCCAGAUCUAUGACCUGCAGAACCAAAAUUGUGAGUAUGAGUAUAGAUUUAAAUCAAUACGGUUGGCUGUAGAUUUGAGGAUUCCGGAGACUCGGUCAUCUUUCCAUGAUGGAGCACCUAUGCCUUGGAAGACGGAGGAUCAAACCUAUGUUGCAACAACUCCACCACCAUCACCUCCAAAGGAAGACAACUAAGCAUGGGUAUGGGCAAUCCCCUUGGCUUGUGCCAAGCUUGGGGGAGUUGCCCCGGUAUCGUACCACCAUCACAUCUUUUGCCUUUACCUUUGUUUUAGUUUGUUCCUUUUCAGCUUUCUCUUUCUCUAGUAUAAUAAAGGUCUUAGUGUUUUAUGCUUGAGUUUUGCUUUGUCUCACCCCCGAUGUAUUCAAGUUCGUGAGUCAUAUAAUAAAGAGUGUAUCAGUUAAGGGGCUUGCCUCAUGUCAUGAUCAAAAGAAUGAGAAAAGAACAAAAGCAUGAAAGAUCAUGCAAUGAUCUUAUGGGAAGUGAUGGCUUCACAUAUAAAAAGAAUGAUGAUUGAAACUUGUUGAGGGUAGACAAACGUAGACCUUGGUCAUUGUUGCAAUUAAUAGGAAGUGAUAAAUAAGGAGAGGUUAACAUAUAAAUACAUCAUCCUUAACACCAUCUAUGAUUGUGAACACUCACUAAACUAUACCAUGCUUAGAAGUAGAUGUUGGACAAGGAAGACAACAUAAUGAAUUGUGUUUGCUUGGUUCCGAACAAUGUUAUAUGACUAGAGAUCCCUUAGCAUGUGACGAUUGCUUUCACCUCAUAUUAGCCAAAACUCCCGCACGAAGUAGAAAUACUACUUGUGCAUCCGCAAACCUUCAACCCAGUUUUGCCAUGAGAGUCCACCAUACCUACCUAUGGAUUGAAUAAGAUCCCUCAAGUAAGUUGUCAUCGGUGCAAGCAAUAAAACUUGCUCCCUAAUAUGUAUCAUCUAUUAGUGUGUGGAAAAUAAGCUUUGUACGAACCUGUGAUGAGGAAGACAUAAAAGCGAAAGACUGCAUAAUAAAGUUCUUUAUCACAGGAGGCAAUAUAAAGUGACGUUCCUCCACACUAAGAGGACACACAUCCAAACCUCAAAAGCGCAUGACAACCUCUGCUUCCCUCUGCGAAGGGCCUAUCUUGUACCUUUACUUUUUGCCCUUGAAAGAGUCAUGGUGAUCUACACCAAUUCCUUGUUUCGCCUUUAUCUUGGCUAACGUCAUAUACUUGGGAAAGAUCUAUAUUCAUAUGUCAACUUGGAAGUAAGUAUUCAUGAACUAUUAUUGUUGACAUUACCCUUGAGGUAAAUGGUUGGGAGGCGAAACUAUAAGCCCCUAUUUUUCUGUGUCCGACUAAAACUUUGAUCUCUUGAGUACCACGUGAGUUGUAGAAAUUGUAGAAGACAAAAGGAUGAUUGAGUAUGUUGUGAUGUGGAAGACAAAAUGAUGUAGAAAUUGUAGAAAUUGUAGAAAUUACAAGCUCUUAUUUGACUCUUUUUGAUGUUGUGAUAAAUUGCAAUUGCUUCAAUGACUAAAAGCUAUCGGUUGUUAAUUCUCGGUAAGGUUCUUGAUCCAUGCUUUACUUUGUGAAGGAAUUGUCACUUUAGCAUAAGAGAUGAUCUGAUGGUAUUGCUGUUUUGAUCAUUAUCAUGAUGCCUGCAUGUUCGUAUCUUGUUUUGUCGACACCUCUCUCCCUAAACAUGUGGGCAUAUUUAUUGAUCUCGGCUUUCUCUUGAGGACAAGCGAGGUCUAAGCUUGGGGGAAUUGAUACGUUCAUUGUGCAUCAUGCUUUCAUGUUCAUAUUUAUCGCUUUUUGGGCUGUUAUUACACUUCACGGUACAAUACUUAUGCCUUUUCUCUCUUAUUUUGCAAGGUUUAUAUGAAGAGGGAGAAUGCCGACAGCUGGAAUUCUGGCUUGAAAAGGGAGCUAGUUUGAGAUGCCUAUUCUGCGCAACUCCAAAAGCCGUGAAAAUCAACGUGGAUUUUUUUGGGAUUUAUAAAAAAUACUGGGCCGAAGAAGUGCCAGAGGGCCGCCAGCAGGAGGCCACAAGCCUGCUAGGCGCGGCCUCCCCCCUGGCCAUGCCUAGGGGGCUUGUGAGCUACCUGCUGGCCCACUGGCCCCCCCCCUCUUUUGCUACAAGAAGGGUUUCGGUCUGGAAAAAAUUAAGAGGAGGCUUUUCGGAGGACUCACCGCUGCCACGAGGCGGAACUUGAGCAGAACCAAUCUAGAGCUCCGGCAGGACGAUCCUGCCGGGGAAACUUCCCACCCGGAGGGGGAAAUCGUCGCCAUCGUCAUCACCAACACUCCUCUCAUCGGAGGGGACUCGUCACCAUCAACAUCUUCAUCAGCACCAUCUCAUCUCCAAACCCUAGUUCAUCUCUUGUAACCAAUCUCCGUCUCGCGACUCCGGUUGGUACUUGUAAGGUUUCUAGUAGUGUUAAUUACUCUUUGUAGUUGAUGCUAGUUGGAUUACUUGGUGGAAGAGUUUAUGUUUGGAUCUUUGAUGCUACUCAUUACCUCUCUGUUCAUGUUUAUGAUUAUGCUUUGUGAGUAGUUACUUUUGUUCCUAAGGACAUGGGAUAAGUCAUGCUAUAAGUAGUCAUGUGAAUUUGGUAUUCGUUCGAUAUUUUGAUGUGUUGUAUGUUGUUUUUCCUCUAGUGGUGUUAUGUGAACGUCGACUACAUAAGACUUCACCAUUAUUUGGGCCCAGAGGAAGGCAUUGGGAAGUAGUAAGUAGAUGAUGGGUUGCUAGAGUGACAGAAGCGUAAACCCUAGUUUAUGCGUUGCUUCGCAAGGGGUUGAUUUGGAUCCACCAGUUUAAUGCUAUGGUCAGACUUUGUCUUAAUUCUUCUUUCGUACUUGCGGAUGCUUGCGAGGGUGGUUAAUCAUAAGUGGGAUGCUUGUCCAAGUAAGGGCAGUACCCAAGCGCCGGUCCACCCACAUAUCAAACUAUCAAAGUAACGAACGUGAAUCAUAUGAACAUGAUGAAAACUAGCUUGACAGAAAUUCCCAUGUGUCCUCGGGAGCGUUUUCCCUCCUAUAAGAUUUUGUGCAGGCUUGUCCCUUGCUACAAAAGGGAUUGGGCCACUUUGUUGCACCGUUGUGACUUUUGCUACUUGCUACUUGCUAUGAAUCAUCUCACCACACAACUACUUGUUACCGAUAAUGUCAGUGCUUGCAGAGAUUACCUUGCUGAAAACCACUUGUCAGAUCCUUCUGCUCCUCGUUGGGUUCGACACUCUUACUUAUCGAAAGGACUACGAUAGAUCCCCUAUACUUGUGGGUUAUCACGUAUCACGUGUCCAGCGCGACAAGGCGCAUCAGAUGGUGGCCGUAGGGUGGCCGAAGAUGGCCGGAGUCGAUGGCGGGGUUGACAACCGCGACGAUAGCGAGGGGUGGAGAACGGACACGGCGAGCAGCAUGGUAGGAGGAGCAGCUGCACGAUCGCAAGCGGGUGGCAACGAGCACACGUGGGCGACGCACCACGGGCACAACACACACGAGUGUUGGUUCGAGACGGGAGGGCCGAGAACGACGAAGACAAGCACAACGGAGGUGACGGAAGCUCGACAGCAGCAUCAACAUGUUACGAGCUCGAGAUCGAGCUAAGAAAAGAGGGGUUUCAUGGGGAUGCUCACUACGAAGCUCAAGAUGGCUCGAUGAUUGGGUUAGUAGCAUUAGUGGCUUAGAAUUGAUUGAAGAGGCGCCGACAACCGGGGCGGGGAAGAGCUCGAUCCGCUUGUUGGGAUGGCGCCGUGCUCGAGCUGGUCUACGUAGGCGAAGAAGAGGAGUACAUCGGAGCUUCUAGAUAGCGCGGAACGGCGAAUGAUGGUCGGUGUCCAUGCCUACGAUGGAGCCAAGGCGACGACAUAGGUGGCCAUGGCGAGGGUCGGAAGGAGCGGUGCAAGGAGGGAGAAGUGGGCCGAUCUAGGGUUCGGGGGAGGCCGUGGGGUCUUGUAGACCUCGGGGAGGCGGCGGAUGGCCGCCUAGACGGCGACCGUGGCCGUGGCGAGCAUCGGCGGCGUCCACACCCCUCUUGGUAAACACAAGAAGGAGAAGGGGGGCUAGGUGGGCUGGGCCUCACUAUGGACUAAGGCCCAGUCCAUAGUGGCCCUUUUUAUUUUAUUUUCCAUUUUCUAUUUUUUUUAUUUUUCUUUAUUUUGUUUUGUUUUGCAUUGAAUUUUAAAAGAAAACUAGUUUUACAAAAUAUAUAACUUGGUCCAUAAUUAGCAUUGCAUUUUUGGAUAGUGCCACAAAAAGUUUGGGAGGCAAUUGGAAUGUCUUAGAUUUUUCAUAAUUUAAAAGACAUUUAUAUUAUUGUUUUCACUUUCGUUGUAAUUAUUUUAGAGCUUUUAGUUACUUACAAAAAUGUUGGUUCCUCCAUCAUAAUUAUCUUUAGAUUAUUUAUCACCUUUGAAACAUCUUAGUUUCCAUGUUUGUGAAUUUUUUGAUGCACUUUUUAUUUGAAUGUUGAAUUUCAAACUGGAAUAUGGAAUGAGAUAUGAUUCUAAAGAUGGUCAAGCAUUGAUUGGUAAAAUUAUUAGCUUAAUAUCAUAGGGUUUACUGUAGCUUAAUUACACGGGUGUUACAAGAAAGAAGAGCAUGUGGUGCACCAUAUGAUUGGGAUUUAUUACAACAAGAAAAAUGGGGAGAAGUUGAGACGAAACCGGACGAGCCCAAGUUUCGCCAUGGAGCCGACUGAGGGAUGCCAUCGACGGAUCUGCAACCACAGAUCAUCUUUGCGUGUCUCCACGAGCGUGGCCCCACGGGAGAGUUAAAAAAACCAUCUAAACAAGAUCCAAAACACAGCUCCACUUUAUUUUUCUGGAGAGAGACACUCAUACAACACUAGACCUACGAUCCACAUCUCCAUCCUACCCAGCGUCGACCACCAUGGCCGCCGGCAGCGAGGGGGAGGGAGGCCGAACGAGGAAGCCUUAGGUGAAGCUCUUAAGUAAACGGCAGAAUGCAAGUUUGUUGCAUGUUGCGGCGAACUGUUGCCGCUAGCAUAAGGAAAGCGCACCAAUGAAGCAUGUCGGCCAGCCAUUUUUUUAGCGAUAGGCACAAAAGGGUUCUCGUUUUGGUUUUGAAACCUUCUUCAAAAUUUGAGCUGGCGUUUACCCUUCUUGUGUUUUUUGUUUUUCCCUUUGUGUUUUUUUUUCCUUUUCCUUUUUAGGAUCAGUUUAGUUAUUAUAUAAUGCUCAGAAAUUUCAAAAAUAUCUACGUGUUUAACAAAGUGUUGUGAAUUUCAAAUAUUGUUUGAAAAUUUAGGAAUGUGCAUUGCCAAAAAUUGUUUGGGAAUUUCCGAAAGUUUGAAGAAAAUGAAAAUAAAAUUAUGGUUUCGAAAAAUAUUCAAUAAAUAAAUAAAUAAAAAUGCGUAUUUUCAAAAUUUAUUAAUAUAUUCAAUAUAUAUUCUUCAAAAUGAAAUUAUUUGGACAAAACUUAAUUUAUGUUUUCCAUAAGGCAUUUGGGAAAUUCACAAGUGUAUGAAAAUUCAAAAUUUUAACAACUUUAAAUAUUAUUAUUAUUUCCAAUUUUCCCAUUUCUUAUUCCUUUAUUUCUUUUUUUCCUUAUAGUUGAUAAUAUCCUAAAUAUUAAUAUUACAAAAACUUUUCUUAAAUUUUAUGAAACGUUAAUCUUACAUUUUUGAGGAUUUGAAUAUGUAUCAUAAAAUGUUUCUGAUGUAUACAGAAAAUGUAUAAAUGAGAAUGUAAAAAGUACUUCCUCCGUCCCAAAAUGUUAAACUGUUUUUGACAUCGUGAUAGUGUCAAAAACCGUCAUAUAUUUUGGGACGAAGGCAGUAGAAAAUGUUAAUCAUAGGUUUGAAAAAAGUUUGCGACAAUUUAAAAAACAUAACAUAUUUCGAAAUAAUGUAUGUAAAAUUUUAAAAAUUAUUUAUACAAAUGUAAAAAAUGUUUGUGUAAUCUAUAUUUUUCAAAAAAAAUUAAGAAAUGCAUGUCACAUUUUAUAAAAUGUUAACAUGUUUCCAAGUUGUCUUUGUGUCAUUUCAAAACAGUAUGUACAUUGUACAAAAAUAUAUUCAUAGUUAAAAAAGAAUGUUAUUUGUCAUUUGAAAAAUGUGUUAACGUAUAUUUGAAAAAAUAUAACCUGAAUUUGAAAAAAUAUUCAAAACAUGCUUAGAUGAAAUGUUAAAAAAGUUAAACAUGCAUAAAAAAGCUUUUGCAUGUAGACAAUAAAUAUAAAGCGUGUGUAAAAAAGUAGACAUGUGUCAAAAAUCAGAAAAAAAUAGCAAAGAAACAAAAACAAAUGCGAAGAAACCAGAAAAAAACUUGAAAACCCCUAGGAAGAAAAAAAAAGAAAAACAAAGUAAAAAAAGAAAAAAAGAAAAACCAAGAAAACCCAAGAAAAUCAUUGAAUAACCAAAGAAAACUAAUAACAUAACGUAGAAAAAAGAAAAUACGAGGAACCAGUGAAAAGAACAAAGAAACCCAGAAAGAAAAAACUGAAAACAAUAAAAGGAAGGGAAAAACCCGGACAGGUCAAGGGAUUCAGAUAUACAAACUCAGGUCAAGGUACUAGGCCAACGCAUAGUCGCCCCCGUAAGCCAUAUAUGUACAACUAUAUUAAAAUGGUUAAGGAGGAGCUCCUCUCGUGUGUUCCCAUAAUCCCAGUUUUAUGAGGUAAGUUUUUAUACACUCACACGUGCUAAAAAAAUUAUAUUUUUGAAUUUUUUUACUAUCUAGCAGGGAUUUACUACUUAAGGCACCACAAAAUAUACAACUAUAUUAAAAUGGUUAAGGAGGAGCUCCUCUCGUGUGUUCCCAUAAUCCCAGUUCUAUGAGGUAAGUUUUUAGACACUCACACGUGCUAAAAAAAUUAGAUUUUUGAAUUUUUUUACUAUCUAGCAGGGAUUUACUACUUAAAGCACCACAAAAUAAUAUUUUUUAAUACAGUACAAUCGAAUUCGUUGUGCACCAGCAUACAUUCACCUCUAUGAACACACACCCACCUUACCCCUAUAAACACCUCUGAGAGAAUGAACCGUCAUAGCAUCUUGAGAUUCUAGAUUUCAUCACAGGCGUCUCGCAAUCGACAGAAACGUAUCCUCUCACUAAACGAACAUCGCCAGAAGCGUUAAAUAUAUCCAGAAAAAUCCAGUCAUCAUUGUUAAAUCUAGAACUUAAACCGUGACGGACUAAAGAUACUACUGUCCUCCUAACUAUCCAACCACACGGGUUGGUUCGGACGGCUACAAAAUACGUAAAGGAUGAGGUUUUGCUCUAUCUCUCACCGCUUAAUGCGAACAGCUGCGAAGCCAUCAUAAGAUUUACGUCGUGCCUAUUCUUUCUCCCCUAAAAUAUUGUUCUCUCCUGGGCUCUCCCCCUCUUUUAGACGGUGUUGGUUGAAAACUAUUAGUCACUCAAAAUUUAAUAGUUGACAAAAGUAUUCCUUAAAUUCUAAUCUUAUCAUUCAGACUUUAUUACCUGCAGGUAAGGAAAAGAUGAGGGUUCAAUUCUGGGAUCCAUGCCAAUAUUUGCAAUAUUUUUCUAUUGCUCGGUGGUAGAAGCUAAAUACGCAGUAUGUAUUCCAAUAUUUUAAAUUUCAAAGUCCGAACGGCACUGAUCUGUUUUUGUUAUUUAUUAAUUUAGAAACACCUUUAUAUAUGUCCUUGUUUUUUUAUUUAACUAGGCUUGACAUGUUUCAGUAUAUUCAUAUAAUUUACAUCGUGCUCAUGUGUACUUUCUGGCAUUUAUCGCUAUAUUUUCUUCUGGUGUUGUCAGUUAAAGGAAAAUCGAUGAACUUCUUAUAGCCAAAAGUAUAGUUGCUUCAGGACUAAAACAGAAUGCAUCAAUGUCAUUUCUCCUUUGUGCUCAAGGACUUGAUCCACGCCUUGGUCGGAUAACUCUAUCUAUAAACAUUUAUGUGUUGUUAGUUCUGAAUUGGUGACCAGCUUUACAGCCAUCUCCCGGCUUUCAUGUUAGGAAAAUAAAAUGUGGUAUGGUGUGUUUAUAGGAUUUCACACAGUAGCCUAAUUUAACGUGAUAUUCAUGAUCUUCAUGCACAAUUUUCAAGGCAAGUUUCAGAAUUCUCCAUUCAUGUAUUCCAAGUCACCGUGAAGUCUUCUUUUCUUAAAUUAAAAAGUUUCGUAAUAGUUUGGCUUCUUUGAUGUGGGAACUACUAUACCAUAUAAACAAUUUAACUUUCAUUUGACAGAUUUUUCUUAAAUGAAGUUUCUAAAUUAGUUUGGCUUCUUUGCUGUGAGAACUACUAUACAGAGAAUUCAAAUUUAUUUUCACCUGUUAAUCAAAUCAUGUCCUUCUAAUUUUUUCAAAAGGGGUGCAAGUGUCUAAAGAAGUAUUUCACUGUAUGUAUGUGCAUGAUGUACAUCAAUUUCUUUUACCGGAUGCAAAAUAGAAAAUUCUUGAAAAAUGUUAAUUUUGGUAGCACUACCUAGGAAACUUUUGCUCAUAAUACUGUAGGAGAGUGCAAUAAUGGAUUGAUUAUAAGGUACAACCCACAUGAAUAUACUCUGGAAAAUAUUUUAAUUUUGAACUUGCAACAAUUACGAAGUUUACUUUUCAUCGAGUCAUAUCUGUCGAAUUUUUGUUAAUGAUGCAUAAUAUUUUGAUGGCUAGAUAGAAGUUUGAAGUGUCAAAUAAUGAAAAACCGAUUCCAAAUCUUAAUUAUGUUUUCAUAGUCUACCAGCAUGCAAUGAAAAUUUUCGAAGUCUUAUCAAAAGGGCAGUGCUUUGCGCCUGCGCGUCGGUCGAAAUUUUCGGCGGGCCGCCUGAUCCGUCAGAUUGAAUCUGGUUUGAUUGUCAGAUCUGACCAUGCAACAAAAAUCCUCGAUGCAGCAAAUUUCGACCACGAUGCAGCAAAUUCCGGUCAUGGAUGAAGGAAAAAUAUGAUUGUAACAAAAAAAUAUCAACGUGGUCGUACCAAAAACGACGCUGAUGAUGCAUGGUAGCAAAAUGGGUUAUAGCAAAACAAUCCAAUGAACUCGGGUUGCAACUCUCACGAGCGUGUAUGCAACUUUUUUAGUUAACGAUUGUAGCAAAAAAGGAUACCGGUUGUAACAAAAAUUAACACGGUUGUAGGGNNNNNNNNNNNNNNNNNNNNNNNNNNNNNNNNNNNNNNNNGUAGGGAAAAAAUCCGACGAACUCGAACUGCAACUAAACGUGGAUGCAACUUUUUAAUGAAUUAAAUAUAGUAAAAAUCAACAACAAUUAUAGCAAAAAUCUUAUCGAUAGUAGUAAAAAAGAUAAUAAUUACAGCAAAAAUGACGUCUCGCAGUAAAAAAAAAAAAGAUACGACGCGCGGGAUCAGACUAUGCAGGCAGGACCGGCCGACGCACCCUCCAGAAUCGUUUCCCUUAUCAAAAAUUUGUAACCAGCCACAACUUCUUUAUUUUGGGACGGAGGGAGUAAAACACACAGCGUAGAUAAGGGCGCGGCGUUCUAUUCUAUUCCUACGGGCGAGGCAUAGGCCUGACGGAGUACAGUCUCCCCUGCAAUAAUUCUAGACGUACGGACCCUUACAGACAAUUACGGACUCUUUCCUUAAAUCUCUUCGCCCCACCCCCUGAUUUCAACCGGGAUGGUCCCGCCUCACUCUCCUUGUUUACAAUCCUGUUAAGCCAACUCAGCCUGUAAUUAGUCCUUGCCCGUAAUUUCCCGUACGUGUAGCGUUACUCGUCUCCCCUGCUAGCCAGGGAAAUGUAAACUCUAUCACUGCUAAAUUUAGACGAAACUGCAAUAUUUACGUUUUCAAGUGACAUCUCUGUAAGGAGAAUUUUUAACUGAGAUUUAGUACCAAAACUAGCAAUGCGAAUUACAAAUCAAGACAGUGUUGCAAACAAUCUGGGUACGGAAUCAGUCAAACCCUGCCAAUACACAACCGCUCCAACAGUUGUAGUAGGCCUGUAAAAUUAAAACUGGAAUGCACAUCCGACAGAUCAUGUUAUGUUUGCACUCAGGUUAUUUCCAAUUUAAGCACGCAACCGAGGUUAGCAAGCUGGAGAUCGGGCCACGAGGCUAGGUCAGCAGAAGCAGGCAAUCGAUCUAGCCGACGCAUCGGCGGCAAGGUUAGCUUCCCCCCGUAUGCGAUUCCCAAAUCGCACGCGCACGCACCAACAGAUCUGAUCGGAACCAACAGGCAAGAACACAUGAUCCCCCCCGGUGAUUUUUCAAAAAGAAAACAGUCUCCCCUGCUGUCCGAAUUUCAGCCCUAAUAGAAUAGACCGAACAGUCAGCAGAACGAACACAUGGGAAGAAGAUUGAACAGCUGCAGAAAGAAAUAGCAGCCUGAACGCUUCAAGAGUCCAACCAUGUGAUCUCCGGUCCAAGUUCAUCAAUUACUAUUUUAUGGAUCUCUUGCCUUGCUCUGAAUUUUUCUUUUGCACCUACUCUAUAUAAAUCAGCCCCUUGCUUGCUCUCACUCAUCACCGGUCUUCACUCUUCACUAGAACUUGCCAGCAGCGCUAGUGUGCAGCGAGCCAGUGACCGACGGACAAGAACAAGAUGGUCGCCGGCUGUGUCAUCACCGAGCAGUGUGCCCUGGCGGUGUCGACAGAGCGGCUGUGGAAGGUGGUCUUCUCCGGCGAGGACACGGCCGCCCUGCCCAAGGCCUGCGCGGGCUUCAUCGACGUUGUGGACGUCGAGGGCGACGGCGGACCCGGCAGCGUCUUCACCAUGACGCUCAGUCCGGCGGCGGCGGAGCUGUCAGGCUCGGGCGUGAUGAGGAGCCGCGUGAUGGCCCGCGACAACGCGGCUAGGGUGUUCAAGACGGAGAUACUGGAGGGCGGCAAGGUGAGCGGCCAGCUCAAGUCGCAGGUGGUCGAGAUGAAGCUUGAGGCGGCCGGGGACGGUGCUUGUGUGGCGAAGCUCAGGGUGGAGUACGAGAGGCUCGACGGCGGCGGGGCGCUGUCGGCGGAGGACCAGGUGGCUAUCGCCGCCGGGUACCUCGACCUGCUCAAGACGGCACUCGCCGCCGGGUACCUCGACCAGCUCAAGAUGGUCGAGGCAUACCUGGUCGCCCACCCUGCCGAGUACGUCUAAUUAAAACAACGCGACAAACAUCAGAAAUAAAUCAAUCUUCCUUUAUAAGAAAGAAUAAAUAAAUAAACUAUUAAGGUGAGUACAUAUCUUUGUUUUGAAGAAAUUAUAUGAGCAAGUAGCCCGGUGUUGUUUGCUUCGUGGUUG